GUUGAUGUUGUUGAGGAUGGCCCCGGACAUGGGGACCGCAAAGUGAAGCUCGUACAUGGCUGGGGUGUUGGGGGCCACCACGGAGACCACCUGGGAGCGCUUGACGAGGGAGGAGAUGGAGGAGGCCAGCUGGAGGCAUCGACGGUGAGUUUGGGACCAAGUGUAGGUUGUGGUAGUAGUGGUGGCGGUGUAGAUGAUGGAUGGGCAGUCGCCGUUGACAACCGCAGCUCUUUCGAGGAGAGUGAGGGGAGUGAGAGGGCAGAGAUUUGCAGGGCUUGGCUUCAACUGGUCCAUUUUUGGGAGGAGUUUGAAAUGGCGAGAGAGAGAGAGAGAGAGAGAGAGAGGAUGAAGAGGUUGUGAGAGUGGUGAAAGGAGAGGGAGGUUUGCAUUGGUUUUAAGUACACAAAAAGCUGAGGCUUUAUGGGGAGUGUCAAGCAACUUUCUCUCACACUUUCUGUUUUGGACAUUUUCACUUCUUUCCAUGACAAGUGUUAUUUUUCUUACACUAAAAACAAUAUUAUUAAUGCAUCACAUAAACUAAUUUUUAUUUUCUAAAUUUAUCCUUAUUAAAUGUAUUUAUUUUUUUUAAUAACAAGCUAAUUUUUUUAUAACUUUCUUACCACAUUGUUAAAAAUUAAAUAAGAAAAUAAAAACUAAAGUUUUUUUAAAAUUUUAAUUUUUCUAAAGAGAAUGCGUAACAAAAUAAAGAUAAUAACAAUGUCAUGAAACAAACUUUAUUUUUAUUUUAUUUUUAAAUAUAACGUUUUUCUUAUGUUUUUUUUAUUAUUUAUUUUUUUACAAUGUGCUAAAGAAAUUAUAAGAAAAAUUUGAAUAAAUUGAAGGAAAUAUAAAAGCCAAUACAUUUUAAAAGAUAAAUUUGAAAAACAAAAACUAAAUUGUGUGAUGCAUUAAUGACAUUAUUUUAAAUGUAAGAAAAAUGACACUUAUCAUAAAACUAAGAGAAAAAAUCCAAAAAAAAAGUUGUUAACAUUCCUCUUAUCAGGAUUCAGGCUUUAUUAGGAGUUCGUACGGUCUUUCAUUUAGUGAAGGUAGGGUCAAGGGUCAAGGGUCAAGCUGGUACGUGAGGCCGGCUUGUGAAUAUUUUAAGAAAAUAAAUGCGGGUGGGAAAAAUGGACCACUGGGGACCAAAACACGUGAAAAUUAAAAAACAAAAAAAUGUUCGUUAAACGCAAAAAAGGGAAAAUCAAAACAGAACGAAGGCAUGGUUGUUGUUAGGGAAAGAAAGAGGUGGAUAUCUUUUUCACCUCUUUACUCUUCUCUAAGCAAUCGUUCCUCCAUGAACCAUUGAAUUCUGUUUAAAUGAUAUAUUUUGUUUGCCACACUGUUUAUAUGAAAGAAAGCGAGACCCAAAAGAAACAAAGGAGACAGAAAAGAGAGAAAUAUUAGAUCAUCCUGUGCCGAGGGAAACAGGGGCGGAGGCUUGUUAAGGCCUGAAGGGGUCUGGGUCCUCCAAAAUUUUGACACAAUCUAAUAUUUGGUCUUUGCUUUCUAUUGGUGUAGGAAGUAUACAUAAUAAUUAUUGUUUGUGGCUCCCUCACAAUAAAGAAAAGAUGUAUUUCUCUUUACAAGUAAAAGACUAGGUGAUUUCUUCACAAAAUAGAAAGACUAAAAGUGAUUUUGGAGCCCACUAGUUUCAAAAAAUCUCCUUUAUCAAAUAGGAAGUGGACUUUUACCUAAAUAAAAAAAGAUUGAAAUUUUAAUUUUUAUUCCUAUAUGAAGCAACAUGAACUUAGUUUGAAGCAGUCGUCGCACACAUCAAAAUGAAAUAAUUGAAUUUGGUUGUUUGCUCUCCAACAUCCUGCUUCAAAUUUUUUAAUUUCAAGUUAGAUAACUUUACGUAGUCAUAGUUUUUUUCCUUUGUUUAUUUAUUUUUUAUGAUAAUAUAUUUGUAUAUGUUUAUAUGAGUGAAAAUUUCUCACAGACUCUUUGAUUAUGUACAUCGAAAGGAAAAUUGCAUAAAAGUUUAGCAUUGACUCAAUCAUAGAUAGUUUUCGAGAUAUGAUAGAACGACGAGUGUUAUUUUAAUACCUAAUUGAAUGAACAAUUGUUUUCUGCUUUUUAUUUUUCCAAACAUUGUUAAGGUUGAAAAAUUGAAAUUUUUUAAUGUCUUGUUUGGUUUAUAUGUUGGCCCCCUAACACAUAAAUUCUUGGUUCCGCCACUGGAGAGAAAUACUGUCAUGCAAUGGAUAUAACACUUUUUGUUAUUCUCAGCCAAUAACGUAAUGACAUGUUGGAUUAUUUUUUCACAUGUCUUUAUAUUAUUGGUCGAAAAUAGCAAAAUAAUAUUAUCCCCGUUAGCAGAAUUUUUUUUUUGCACCACUAGCCAUGCUUCUCCCACGUUUUUAUUUUUAUUUUUAUUUUUAUCACCUUUCUUAGUUCGAUCAUUUUUCCCUCCUUGAAGCUCUUCUCAACAUUUAAACGUAAACUCCAUUAUUUACUAUUAUAAAGAAAAAGAUUUUGUCCUAUUGUAAUUUAUAUCCGGUGUUGUAUUAAGAUGGGCUUUCAUUGUAACCAAAAAAAAAAAUGUACUUCAUGAAAAGGCAGCCUAAAAGGCAAUUAAUAAACGCAUUGAAAACUUGGACCGAACAUAUCAAGUUAUCAUGAACCUCGUUAAAAAGAGACACUUCAAGCACGGAAGUAAUAAGUUGUACCAUGAAACACAUGAAACACAUUGGGCACAGACAUCUUCCGAAACUUCAUUUUGGACAAACGAGCAAGCAAUCUUGUUAGCCCAAAGGUAAACCUAGCUAGACAAAUAAUUUAACGAACACAUGGCGUGCAUUACUCAAAGACUCAUGUGAAGCAAAUUUGUACCAAAAACAAAGACAUGUCAAGCCAGCCAGUACGUUACACAUGGAAGGGAGGACAUUUAAUUAGAAGACGCAUGAAUGGUUUGAGAUAUGUGUUUGUUCUGUUUAAUAUAUUUUCUUAAAAAAUAUCUUAUUUUACUUUUAAAAAAAUUAAUUACAUAAAGUUGUGCCAGGUAAAUGCACAAAUUAAUGUCAAUCUUUCUUAAUCUCCUGAAGUAGAAAAACCCGAUCAACAAACAUUGAGUAUGGGAUGGGCUACAAUUUGUAGGACCCAAGUAGGGUUUCUAGGCUCAGAGUCCGAGAGAUAUAUCAAGAAUUCUAUAGUGAGGGCCUGUUUGUCCUUUCCUUUGUCCACCGCUCCUUUUUGCCGCCUGCGGGGGUUGGCUUUGCUCAAAGGAGCGGAGAGGCUUGCUUGAUCAACACCAAUGCCUCGAUUGGAUGCGUCUCUUGGCUCGCAGAGAGGACUUCUUCAAUUUCUGAAUAAAAUUGAAAGUUGAAUCAGUUUGCCAAAAGCGAGCGGGCUUGAUCGAGGCCCUGUAUCUCAACUCUUCGUGACUAUGAUUCAUGGUGUUGCGUAGGCGUGCCACUAUUGGGUAUAUGACCAGCCCAAUAGAUUUGGUGUGGAUGGUUAUGAAUGAUUAAUCCUGAUGAAGUUCGCGCGUCUCUUUCUGGACCUCUUCUCAAGCCAUUGUGCUCCAAAGGGGGUACUGGCCUGGAUUGAUUCUUUUCUACGCCUCAGUUAAGAAGACUUCAAUAUUCUUUCUUCCGCGAGUGUCAACCUAACAAGUAUGAGCAGUACCUGAACAGGUAAGAGAGAGAGAGAGAGAGAGAUAGAAAGAGACCAAGAUCGUGGUUAGUAAGACCUUAUCUGGGUUUUACCAACCAGUUUCAAUAUCUAUAUCGUCCUCGGGCUGGAUUAAUAGUUAACUCAGGCCCAGUGGUAUAAUUCAGGCCCAACUCAACUUCCUAUCCCUUAUCUCGUUACUGUUUUAUUCGGGCCCUAGUUCCCUUUAGGGCUCGAACGUUGGUUCUUUGGACUUUUAUAAAGGAACAAAGGUGGGAAUUCAAUUUUACUUGUUAAAAUAAUCUAUAAUUCAUUUUAGGCAAUUAGAUGAAUUUAUUUAAGACGAUUUUCUGCAACUUAUACCUGAUCUAAGUGUAAACAAGACUGAAUAACAGAACCUUCUUGAAUUAAACCCAUCAAUCAUUCUUAAAUUCAAAUUACAAAGCAAGGAAUGAGAGACUGGAGAUUUCUCAAUCCAGUUAAGUGAUUACAUGAAUUGAAACAUAUUACUUUUAAAAGAAAAUCAUACUAUGAAUAUGGCAGAGCAACGAGAGAUAAACACAAGCGUUGUCGACUGGUUAUCUAAAGAAAGUAGGCAGAUUGUUAUCUUUAAGAGUUGUCAAGUGUUUUUUAAGACGCUUGCGUGUGAUUUUGGGGAGAGAGUCCUCUUCUUUUGAAGUAGAGCCUCUUUAUUAAUAGAGAUGGAAGGAGCUCGUAAUGAUAGAAAUUGCGAAGACCUUUGGCUUGCGGUUCAAGGUCAGCUAUUGGUUUGUUGGUCUUAACCAGUUCAUAGAGGGAAUGAUGGAGGGAUUCUGUCAGGAACCGUCGGUUUUCUUUAUGAAGUUCUCUUGAUUUGACUCCUUCGUACUUGAAGACCUGGCUGGCAAUUUGAUCCUACUCUGGUUUUGGUGGCUUCUAUAUGGCUUGUUUUCUUGUUGGGAGAGAAGGAGGUCAAGUCGUCAUUAAUGAUGAUAAUCCCCUUCAGCCUCCCACGUGGGCCUAGAAAACAUGUUUGCCGAUUUUUAACCUUUAGUGCGAGAUAAGGAUUUGAUCCUUUACAAUUUGGGCAUUCUUAUUGAUUUAUACCAAAAAAAAAAAGCCCGUUAGGAAAAAGAUGACUCUUUAAGAAAAGACAAGUGUUAAUGGGCCUGCUUUUUCCUUUAAAAUAUUCUUUUUGACCCGUUAGACCAUUUUUGGUCCAUUUACCAAAACUGGGUACAAACAUGGCCUUAUAUAUGGCCCUUAUAUAAGGUUUUAUCUCUUAAUCGUUGGAUCAAAUUAGUCAGUCGUUGAAUCAAAUUAGUUAGCCUAAUCCAACAGUUAAGAUAUAAGACAUCACCUAAGAGCCAUAAAUAAGGCCCUUACUAUAGAAUGACUUAUCUGAUUUGGGCCCUACUAAAUUAUUGACUCACUUCCUUCCACUAAUUGGGAUAACAAGAAUGUCAUUUUAAGGAUGAUGAUACCUAAAAUUCGAUCAACUUUAAAUAUGUGAGAUGCAUGUGUCUUUGACAUAUAAGUGGGUUGGUCCCAAAGAAAAGGGGACAAAAAGAGUCCUCAUCAAAGUAUGUAACUGGUCUUCGUUUUAUAGGAGAUGGAGAGUCCUCAACUUUAAAUACGUUAACGUAUUACUUCGUGGCAAUACGUUAAGGUGAUAGCCUAUCAAAGUGUGGCACGCGGUUAGUAUGGCUGAGUGGGUUGUUGGGUCAGUUAUGGUAAAAUAUUUUCAUGUUGCUCUUGUAGGUUCUAAGUGAUUUUAGGAAUUCAAGAGUAAAUGGAGAUCUUCAAACAAGUAAGCUAAUGGAGAUCUUCAAAAAUUUGGUCAACUAAUAUGGUCAAUUUUGUUUUGCGUGUCCAAUAGCAUUAUUGAUUGUUUUUUUUUAUCGACAAUUAAAUUCAUUUAAUACCCUGUUGAAGUAAUUUUGCAAUUUUCUGUUUCAUGGACCACCUUCCUUCCUUGCUGCAGUAAACCGACAUUCAACUUUACAGCGUUAUUAUAUUCCAUUUUCUUUCUCCAUCAAGCCUCAAGGUUUCGUACACAACCAGAAAAUGAGGAAUAUUAAAUCAUACGUGAAUUUGAAAAUUCACAGAAAAGUACACGUACAUGAAACGAUAUGUAGCACCUUGUCGUACCUAAACAAAAUCUCCCCCAUCAUAAUCAUAAUCAAAUCAUUAUCGUUCCUUAAUUAAUUAAAUUAAUUGACUAAUUACAUCCUGCUCACCCUGCUGCUGGACGACCCAAUCUCCUUGGCAAUCUCUCUGAGCACAAACUUCUGAAUCUUCCCAGUCGACGUCUUCGGCAGCUCCUCCUUAAACACCACCGUUUUGGGCACCAUGUAGUGCGGCAGCCUUCCCCUACAAUACUCCAUCAUCUCCUUCUCCGUCGGCUUAGGGCUUACGUCACUCUUCAUGCUCACAAACGCGCACGGCGUCUCCCCCCAAAACUCGUCAGGCUUCGCCACCACCGCAGCUUCGUUCACUGCCGGGUGCGUAUACAGCACCGACUCAACCUCCACGCUGCUCAGAUUCUCGCCCCCGCUUAUAAUUACGUCCUUUGAUCUGUCCUUAAUUUCCAAAUAGCCAUCGGCGUGCAUCACCCCCACGUCACCGGUGUAAAACCAUCCGCCUUUCAUACACUUGGCCGUCCCCAAUUGGUCCUUUAAAUACCCCAGCAUCACAGACCCUCCUUUCAAAACGACCUCCCCAAGCGACAAACCGUCGCGUUUCACACUCCGCCCCGAGUUCGGAUCCACCACGUCCAUUCGAGUCAGCCCAACCGUUCUCACUCCUUGCCUCGCCUUUAGCCUCGCUCUUUCACUCGCAGGCAACAAAUUCCACUUCCCCUUCCACGCGCACGACACCACUAGCCCCGCCGUUUCGGUCAACCCGUACCCGUGGCUCACCACGAACCCCAUCGAUUCGGUCCGGAGCAGAACCGCUGCCGGUGGCGGAGCUCCAGCUGUCAAGAUCUGAACCGGGUUCUCGAGCUUUUCGGUUCCGGGAGGGACGUUUGUGAGCAUGUUGAGCACCACGGGUGCGCCGCACAUGUGAGUUACACGGUGUCGUUUAAUCACGGCGUAGAUGAUUUGGGCGUCGAAUUUGCGGAGGCAUAUGUUGGUUCCGCCAAGGGCCGCGAUCCCGUACGGGUAGCUCCAGCCGUUGGCGUGGAACAUGGGUAGGGUCCACAAGUAGACCGGCUGUUUGUGAACGCCCCAAUCGAUCAGGGAAUCGACGGCCAUGAUGAAGACGCCUCUGUGGCAGUGAACCACGCCCUUCGGCGACGACGUGGUCCCCGAUGUGUAGUUGAGGGUCAUCGGGUCCCACUCGCUGGUCGGCGGAACCCACUCGAAGUCCUGAUCGCCUCUCUCGACCAUGUCCUCGUACAUGCAGAGGAAACGAUCGAGCGGUGUGCGUUGGGGUGCGUCAGCAUCGUCGGCAAUGAGGACGAGGAGAGGUUUCGGGGUGUCAGGCGGGAAGAGAGAGAUGGCGUCGAGGACGAGGGAUCGCGAUUGGUGGUCGACGAAGACGAGUUUUGAUUCGCUGUGGCGCAGGAGUAUGGAGAUGGUGCGGGUGUCGAGGCGAAGGUUGAUGGUGUUAAGGAUAGCGCCGGACAUGGGGACGGCGAAGUGGAGCUCGUACAUGGCGGGGGUGUUGGGAGAGAGAACAGACACCACGUGGCCACUCUUGAUGCCGAGCGAUGAUAUAGAGGAAGCGACUCGGAGGCAUCGACGGUGGGUCUGCGUCCAUGUGUAGGUGGUAUCGUUGUAAAUAAGAGAGGGGCAGUCACCGUAGACGGUGGCAGAUCUUUCUAGAAAGCUGAGGGGAGUAAGAGGAGAUGAGUUUGGAGGGGAGGGCUUCAGGUCUUCCAUUAUUUUCAGUUCAGUGUCAUCAGAGUGCGUUUUGUUUUUAUACUUUACUUGAUAGAUAUAGAGAUAAGGCCAACAAUAAAAUAUUUUGGAAUUUUGCGAGGGUAGUCAUACCAAUCCUCUUUCGCGGCUGCCAGCUUGUCUUUCUCUAUAUAGAAAUAUGAAAUAUGGACUCGCCCAUGCCAUCAGAAAGGAUAGAACAUGAACUAUGGAAAUAUUUACCUAACAACUUUUAGGAGCAAUUUGACAUUGGUAUAAUGUGAAAAUAAUUCUUAUCAGAUUUUUUAUGAGAGAAAUUAGUUGUGAGAGAAAAUAGUUUGGCGUUUGACAAAUUUUUAAUUAAAAGUGUCGUUGGUACCGAUUCCCACAUAAUCAGAAAAUAAUUCCUGUAUAAUCAGAAAAUGAAAGCACCUCAUUAGCUACUUUCCCUUAUAGCUUUCUCUUAUAGCAAUUUUUAACAAUAAGUGAUUUUUUCAUAGUUUACCAAAUGAGCUGGUCUCCCUAAUUUUUUUUAAAAAAUCACUUAUUACCCCAAAUAAGCAAUGUCAAACGGGCACUUACAUGAAUCCCUAAGCCUCUCCUCCUCCCUCAACCUCUCUUCCAUCUCAACUCAAUAUCUCUCACUCUCAGAGCCAGUUUGGCAUUGAUGUGUUGUGAAAAUAAUUGCUGUCAGAUUUGCUGUGAGAGAAAUCAGCUGUGAGAUAAAGCAGUUUGGUGUUUGAUAAAUUUUUUGUUAAAAGUGUUGUUAGUAUUAAUUUUACGCAUAAUCAUAAAAUGAUUGCCGCAUAAUCAUUAAACCCAGCGCUUAUUUGAAACUGAUUCAUGCAUAAUCAGAAAAUAAAAGCACCUCAUUAGCUGUUUUCCUUUAUAGUUUUCUCUCACAGUAAUUUUUAACAAUAAGUAAUUUAUCAUAGUUUACCAAACGGAUUGGCCUUCUCAAAUUUUUUUUUAAAUCACUUAUUACCCUAAAUAAACAAUGUCAAACUGACACGCAGUCUGUCUCUCACCCAAACCAACCACCGUCAUUUUUUCGUUGACAAAAAAACAAAAAACCACCUUCAUUUUUUUAAAAUUAUUAUAUCCAUAAAUAUAUUUUUAAUACUUAUCCCUCGGUGUUCCCAAGGGAAUCCUUUCACUGCCGAAAGAAACACAAAAAUACGAGCCUUCACUUAUUUUCUUAUCCUUCCCCUCUCUUUUCCUUCUCUCUCUCCUCCCUCUUCUCUGUUUGAUCUCCGGUUUUUACCCUUCGCAUCUUUGUUCUCACUUUUUUUUCGCAUACUUGGUAUACCGCAAAAUCCAACCGCACUUCAUGACAACCGUCAUCCCCGGUAACCGCAAUUAUGCGGUUCGGUGAUGAUUCAUAUUUUGGCUAUACCGCAAUCAUUCGGUCGGUUUUCGAAUUGCAAUCACCCAUAAUUCUAAUUUAGCUAUAAAAAAAAAACAGUAUAGUUCUUUUAAAACUAAGGUGAAAAAAUCCGGAAGUAUAGUAUCCAACUAGUUGAGGGUAAAAAUAUGAUAGUAUUUCGCCUAGCCCAAAGGGCUUAGCCACAUAGGCGUGCUUGGCCCGAUAUUUUGAAAUCUUCGUCCCUCUCGAAAAAAGUGACUAAGCCCAAUUGGCCGAAUUCUAGUCCCGCCUGAGCCUGAAAAUUUAAGGUCAGUGCUGCCCUGACCCACUGAUGUACCAUAACCAUAUGCAUAACUCGUCCGCGAUGUAAAGUAAAGCAUCUUAAAUGAUCUUGGCGUUUAGGUGUUAUUGGGUUUAAUUUUAAGGGCAUCUAAGUAUAUUCUAGUGAGUUUUUUUGUUUUUUUGGCUAUAUUUUAAAUUUAUUCUAAAAGUCUACAUUUAUGAAAUUAAGGACUAAAUUUUGUCUAUAAACAAUUAAAACUCUUCUUGUGGUUCGAUUGACAAUGAUAAUAUGGUGGCUUUGCUUUGAUUUUCUUUCUUCUAUUUAUAUUGUAUAUAAGUUAUAAUAUUUCGCAACCAUUUAAAAGAAAAUUGCACAAAUACUCUCUGAAAUAUUAGGACUGUAUAUUUGCCACCAAUAAUUUUUUUUUUGUUGACAAUUUGCAAGCCAAACUUCACGUUUGGUUUGCUUUCCUUUCUUAGCACACACGGAAGUUAACUUCACAAUCUCCUCAUAGCAAUUAAUUUUUCCUGUUAUAAAUCGGAUUGUAUUCAUGUCUAUAUUAUUUCCUACCUUAAAUAGAUUUCCUGUAUCAGUAUAAAUAGGGACUUUGUGUAAUAUGUUUAUAUUCUCUACAAAGUUAAGUUCAGUCUAAAAGUAUUUGCUUAUUUACUGUUUUAGAGUGAUUAAGUGAGAGCGAGUUCGAGUUCUGAAAAGUAAAACAGUAAAUAAGCCGAAAGUAUAUUCUUUUGAGGGUCCGUGGCAUAAAAAUUUCUAGACAACCUUCAAAAUGACACACAAAGCCCUAUGUAACGGACUCGAAUUUGUUUGAAUUUUUUUUUUGUGGACAAAUUACUCGAAUUUGUUUGAAUGGUUUAUUCUGUUAUUGUGCUUACCCUACCCCCAGAGUGGAUGUCUCUAUCGAAGGGAAAGCGUCGGAAUUAAAUUACGGGAAAGUUGAGCAGGGAGACUUACAGGCGAAGGAAGCGAUUGCCUGCCUCCCUUGCCUCCAUUCAUUUUCAGUUUCUUCUGUGAUUCAAUUUCAGUUUUUAUAAGUUGAGAGAAUUUCAAGCGAAAGCAGCAGAAGCAGCCGGUGGAGAAGGAAUGGGGGUGCUCUCAAACAAGAUCCAGAGGGAUCAACUCAGACCUGGAGAUCAUAUUUAUUCCUGGAGGCGCGCCUACCUCUAUGCCCAUCACGGUUCUCUUCUCCUUUUCCCCCUGAUUUUUUAUUUUUAUUUUUAUUUUUCAUUAUUAUUAUGUAUUUCAUGUUCGUGAUUUUCUGAUGUCGUUGUUUUGGAUGGAUUUUCAAUUUUGUAUAUAUCUUUGUUGUUCGGUCUUAUGGAAAUGAAUCUUGAGUAAAGACUCUAUUUUUUUCUUCUUCUUUUUGAGUACAACAGUAAGAUAAGACUAUUGUGAAUAGACAUACAAUAGCAUAUGAGCAUUGAUUUAUUGAUAUUUUGUUUGUACGAAUUGAACUAAAGAAAUGUCACAGUGACUGUAGGUGACAAUGGCGAUCUGUUUGUAUUUUAGCCAUUGUCUCACUCAGGGCAUGGAAAAUAUGUCGAAUCUCCAAUUGUUAUGUCCCUAAAUUUGUUCCCAAAAUGUGUGGUUUGAUUUUAAAUAGAUUCAUAAUAUGAUAUUCACCGCCUCCUCCCCCUCCACAAGAAUAAUCCUGGGGUUGGAGUAUGAACCUAUUGUUUGGAUUGAUAGGAAUGACCUAGAUGAAUCGACUACCUCUGAAGAGGUGGUUUGUUGAAGUUAAUAAGUUUUGUUUGAAGCAGGUACAAAAGGAGUGUUGACAUCUUAGUUCUUUACCUCUGCAUCUGUAAUUUUUAUGGGUGAAAACAGUUUAGCACAGUUUCUUUCCCUCGGCAUCCAUUAUAAUUUAGUUUUUCUUCUUUGUAGUUUUCACCUGUUUUCCUUAAUUGUCUAUGAGGAGAACCUUUGUGUUUUUGACAUUUAAAUGCUGCAUUUAGGUCACCAUGGCAUUGCUGAUAAUUUAUCUGCUAUGUGAUAUCAGGGAUAUAUGUCGGUGAGGGAAAGGUUAUCCACUUCACUCGGGGAGCUGGCCAGGAAAUUGGCACAGGAACUGUGUUAGACCGCAUCAUUUUCAGCUCCUCCCCAUCCCAUUCCCCGGACAAUCCCUGCCCAAAAUGCGGUGAUCAAUCAAGUCUUGACGGUGUCAUGUCUUCUUGCAUAGAUUGUUUUCUAUCUGGCGGUGAUCUCUACCUCUUUGAAUAUGGUGUCAAUGCUGCUUUCUUUAUUGCCAAAGCUAGAGGGGGUACCUGUACGCUUGCCGCGUCUGACCCACAACAAGAUGUCCUUCAUCGUGCUUUUUAUCUUCUCCAGAAUGGUUUUGGUAGUUAUGACAUUUUCAAAAACAACUGUGAAGACUUUGCAAUAUAUUGCAAAACAGGUUUGCUCGUGUACACUAGCAUUAGUGUGGGCAGGAGUGGACAGGCUGCUUCCUUUUUAGCAGCUGCAAGUGCUGUUAUUUCUUCACCGCUUCGAUUUUUGACUACUAGUUUUACUGGUCUGGGUGCUGUUGGUUGCGGCAUGUAUUGUGUUAGCCGAUUGGUUUCUGAUAUCGGAAUACGUCGUGAUGUUAUAAAAAUUCCAGUGGAGAGACUUACUGCUCCGUGUGGCCUAGAUGAGGCAGAGUUUGCGACUGAAGUGGUCAAGACAGAUUAAUUUGUGUGCAUAAACCGAAGUUGUAUGGCUUGAAGGGGUUUGUUUCUGUUGAUUGUUGUAUUAUGCAUGGAGUGUUUCCAGGAACAUUUUAUGAUUGCUUGUAUUAAGGCGGACGUUGCCAUGAUCAAUGUGCCUGCUCUUCUUUUGAACUUUUUUUUUUCCAGAAAAAAUAUGCUCAUCAUUUUAUAACCAUGGAUAAUUUGUUCGUUUGUUGGUUGGUUUAUUUUACAAGGCAAUUGUUAAGUUGUAAGUCUUAUGCACUUCAUGUACUUUGUUCAUUUACUUCAUUUUUCCUUAACCGUGGCAUUAAGACCAUCAUGAACAGGCCGGUCAAGAAAGACCAAUACUACAAUUUUCAGGAGUUCAAGGAAGCCUUGCUCUUUAAGUUCUCCCCCUGCUUCUCGGCUUAUGUAGAAACAAGCACCAUAGACAAAAUUGUGCAAUAUCGAUAGCUGUUGUUUAAUCAUAUAAUUACAACAAAAACACGGAUGGGAAGAAAUCCUGUAGUGCAACAAAAAAAGUCCAUAAUCAAAAUACCAAAUGUUAAUCCAACAAUGAGAUUUCCAGCUAGUACGGCCAAAAACCACCUCCACCUGGCUUUUUUACGAGAAUCUGACUGUAUUCCGGCCUCGAUGUCUGCAGUUUACACAUUCAAAUGUUAAGAUGCUGGUCACAAAAAAGUCGAGUUUUUCUAUAUAUAUAUAUAUUUGGGUCUUUUUACACAAUAAUAAAACUUAAGAGCUUAAGGAUUAAGUAUUGGGGUGAACAAAGAAAAGUGCGGGAUUAAAAUAGAAAAACUCAAAAAUUAAACCAUUUCAAUUGAGAUGGAAAGAAAAAAAAAAAGGGAAGAACAUGAACUAAGUCACUGUCGUGUGCAUUAAGCUUCCGUCUUGGAAGGUUUAGAAACAUCUAUAACUCAGAACAUCAAGAUACUUAAAAUCGGAUUGUUCGCCAAAAGAAAACAAAAGAUACUAAAAGCAGGUUGAAACAGCAAAGAGGAUCCUUAAAGUGGCCCUUCUUUAUAUCACAAAUCAUAUAACCUUGUUGGGAUGUAAGUGAAGGUUCAGAAGAUCAAAUAGUUGUUUCAUUUUCACCUGGUGCAUUUGCUGGUUGUUUUUACCCUUUACUUUUUCAAGGGUUUCUCAUACCAAUUUUUGUUCUGGUCUCUAAUUAAUACAAGCUGGUAAUCCAAUAAGCAUCAACUUCAAUAAAUUUCUAUAGUAGCUUAAUCAUCAAGCAUUGGGUGAAAAUAAGCAAUAUUACCUUCCAUCCAAUGAUCCAAUCAGGUUCUCAAAAUAUUUUUCAUUUGUUAAUAAAGUUUAGCAGUGAAUUUAAAGUAUAGGGAUUAAAAUGUGAUGUAUUCAGAAUUUGUUCCUAGGAGUGGUGGAUUUUCAUUGUUUCUUUGCUGGGUUUUUGUUUACGUUUUCAUAAAUGCAAUGUCUGUGAUCACAUCAGAUUUUGGCUUAGUUGUACUGGGUAUAGGUUUCCUUGAGAUGGCCAGGGAAUUUUGUUCUUUAUAUGCACUUGCAAUUAACUUUUUAGCUUCCUAGAAAUGCAUAUGCCUAGCUUCCUUCCUUACUUAUGUCAAACCUCCAAUUCAGCUACACUCCAUGUGAUGGGGCUUGCUACGCUAGCCUAGCUAGAAAAGGCGCCAUUUCUUAACUAACUUCUAGAGCAGACUACAAUUGCGAGGUUGAAAGAAGAGUUCCCAGGUUGAAAGAUCAAAUUGGGGGUGUAAGGACUGUGGAAAUUGCCAUAUGAAUGGCCACUUAGGUAAAGAAACAAACUUUGAAUACUACCAAACCUUAAUAGGACCCAAGGUUUCUGAUUUAAGCUUUUCUUAUGUUCAUCCAUAACUCUGAGUCAGAAUAACUCGUCUAAAAAACCUCCAAAAGUUUCAUUUAAUUUCAUCACAUAUCCCAAAAGUUUUAUUUGGAAAGUUCAAUAAGAAAAAGUUACCAAAUUGCAAGAAUCUGUAUAUUUCAAUCGUUGUGUAAGAUUCACAUAUCGCAUGAGGUGAUUAGCAAUAUGAACAGAAUCAAUUUCAAGAAUCGAAAUUACUUUAUCAACCAAACAACAGAAUAUAACGAGAAUUGGGAAACCUAAAAGCAUGGAUUAUAAGAAGAGAAAGAGAACUUACGAGAUCUUUGAAAACGAGGAACGCGAUCACGAAGAAAAGAACAAACAGGAUUUCAAACUCGGCGAAUUUGACGAACCCAAAGACCGACUGAACCCACCGAGUCAAUGCGGACUCGUUCGAAUUCCUGCUCCCGACUCGCUUCCCCAUCUCUCUUGCUCCUCCUCUGUCUCUUCUGCCUUCGUUUACCUUGGUAGUUGGUAGUAAAGGGGUUCGGGUCCGACAGCUCGAAGAUGGCAUUGAUUUUCACGGGUUUCGUUUUAUUUUAGAGAAAUUAAAAAAUAAAAAAAUAAAACAGAAAAGUCAGAUUCUGAACAAAAAGAUAAAAAAUAAUGGUCAAUUUGUAAUUUUAGCUAAAUUGUGAAAUGGUAAAUGAGAUUUCUUUAUCUACACACAUUGAUAAAAUGUCAAUUUUACUACUCAAAACUAUUGUCAGUUUAGGUCAUUUAUAAACGGACCGUGAUUUUGGUUUCAUAAUUUUUUUCCUUUCCUCCUAUUAUCUCUUUUGAUCCUUGCAGAAUUCUAUUAAGAACUUGAUAGCAUGGAGUAUAACUUGUAUGAAAAUUAGGUUGUUGUCUUAAAAAAAAAAAGGUGAGUUAUUGAGUGGACGUGAUUGGUAACGACAAUACCUUUAUUUCACCAAAUAAAAUUAUUUUUGCUCACCACCUUUUAUAAAGCACAUUGCAACUAAAAGUUUUUCAAGCUUAUGGAAAGUGUUUUUGACACUAUAUAUAAGACACAAUCUUAUGAAGUGAAAAUAUAUUAUCGAUAUUUUGAAUUUUAUACAAGAGUGCAUUGAAGCCUUUUGGGAGUACAACUAAUGUUGCUCUAAUUUUAUUAUUCUUUGCAAUAAAAAUUUGAUUACCAUUAAUUUAUAAUAUUAUUAUUAUUAUUAUUGUUUUCGUUUUGGAAAAAAUAUACAAUACUAUUCAAUUUAGUAAUAUUAAAUUAAAUUUACCAAAUUUUUUAGUAAUCUUAAUUGUAUUUUACUUGGUCUAGCACUUGGUGUAGAUUAGUCAUUUUACUUCUCUUGAUGGGACAAAUAAUAGGACAAAAUAAUGAUGUAAAUAUUUAGACUUUGAAUGGCAAACAAAUAGGGAUUUGUGUGACUCGUAUUAUCGUGCUCGCCAAAAUACACGAAAUCCCUAAAUUGAAACACGGAAGACGGAAAGACAGAGAGAGAGAGAGAGAGAGAGGAAGAAAGAAAGAGAGGCUCACGGUUCUCAUUGUUCCUACACUGUAAUCCAUGGCGUCAACGAGUCAACGACCCCUCCUCAUCGCCCUCCUAACCCUCUCGAUCUUCGCAAUCUCAGCCACCGCAACAAGGCCCUGCAAGACCCUCUUCAUUUCCUCCUACUCAUUCUCCCUCCGUCGUCUCCCCUCCUCCUCUUCCUCCUCCGGCUUCGUCACCGUCGUCACCGAGAUCAGCCGACUCCGCCCCGUACGCUACGACGACCUUGUCCUCCAACCCCACGAAGAAGAUGAUAAGCGAACUCAGGCGGCGUCGCUCUUUCCCUUGAUCGGAACGUCGUCGGCCUCCUCCUCGUCCUACGACCUCAACUCUCUCCGCGAUCGCACCAGGGACAUCCUGAGCAUCGUCGUUUCCCUGCUCUUCGGCGUCGGCUGCGGCGCUCUCACCGCCGCUACCAUGUACUUGGCUUGGUCCGUCUUCUUCAGUCGCUACGACAAUGGCUCUGCGUCUUCCUUCGAUGACGAUUUCUAUGACGCCAGCCCUAAGAAGAUAGGUUAUGUAAAGAUUCCGGAGGUGGCCGCUGACUCCGUGCCAACACCACCGUCUCCAGUCAAGGAAGCCGCCGCGGUGUGAAUAUGACGAUUAUGGCAAAUUGGUAAUUCCAUAAAUAAUUUAUAAUUUAAAAAAAUGUUGCCUUUGGAUGAUGGGCACGUUGUGACUGUGUUGUGGAUUCGUGAUAAAAUAAGCUUAUAUCGGACGCUGUGUUAUGUAUUUAUCAUUUUAUGACUAAAAUAUUGGCUCUUGCUCUUUCUCCAUAUAUUAUCUGAAUAUGAUACAUUUGGGCUGUUGUUGUACUCUAUUAUAUAUUUCUGUAAUUGUUUUUACCUUAAUGCUGAUGAAUGGGUUCAGUUUAGCAUAUACAUAUGCAUAUAUGUGCACAUACAUUGAGUUUAUACCCUUACUACUUCACUUGGUCUGGGGUCUUUUGUUAACUGUUUCUCACCCAUUUAUUGUUGGGAAGGUGAAAGAUUGUCUCCCUGUUGUAUUCACGACUGCAUGACUGGUUUUGAUGGUGUUUGUAGUUUACCUCAUUUUACUUGGAGAUUUUGCACAUCAGGUAGGGAGAAGGCAAUCAUUUUAAUCUUUGUUUUUGGUACAGUUAACUGUAAAUUUUCUUACUUUAUAGAGUUAUGUUUGCUGUUUUCAUUUUUUGUCUCUGUUUCCUAUGGAAAGAUUAAUAUUUUUUUGAAAGAUAUGCUUUAUAGAAGGCUUGGCUAUUUGGAGUUUGUUAAUAGGAUGAUUUGGAAAAUUUGAUGAUGAGCCAGAUAGCAUAAUUCAAAUUGUAAAGGUUAUAUAUCAUAAUACUGUGAAUUGUUUGAUUUCAUCAAUUAACUCAUGUGCUGACAUUUUACAAUGUAUACUGAUAGUUGGCAGUGCAUACUCUACAGGAGUAAAAACAAAAAUAUGGCGUUUUAUUUGAGAAUAUUUAUACUUAUUUGUGUGAACAUGAUAUUAUUGAAUGCUACUAAUGUAUAUACCAUUCUUGGCUGUACCUUGGAUAGCAUUGUUUUCUCAGUUAUUGUAAGUGGGCAGUUUUAUGAUUAAUAUGUUAAAUUUUAAAUAAUAAGCUUUCUUGUUUUUAAGUGGGAAAGAGAAGCACAUUCUGAAGUUGCAUAGAUGAUAGCAUGAAUAUCUCAAACCAGUUAUGUUUAGUGAGCAUGGUUUUAGUGACCUUGGGAAUCAUGGGAUUUAAGGGCUGUUUAACCAUGAAAGGUGCUGGUUCAUAACUAGCUAGGAACGCUUGCUAGGGGUGUUUAGAGGUCACAAGAACCAUUAAUUUCGGAGCAAAUUAGAGUCUUAAAAAAGGGUUGGAUUGUGAUAAUUCCUUGGUGGCAAGUCAUUGAGGAACAAUAGGGUUUCAAUGGGUUAAGAUAAAAAGACUUUGUUAUGGGUUGGAUGUGAAAAGUUAUACACGAGAAUAUUUCAGAAGUCAUAAGAGAUGGGUUAUGGGUUGCAGGUGAAAUAGAAUUUCAGAGGUCAAGUUAUGGCCGUUGUGAUGGUAGGUGAUAAUCGCGCGAAAUAGUGUUGCUGCGCACUGGAUUUAGUGUUAUGUUGUAUUUGGUAGAUAAAGAAUCCAGAUAUGAUGAAGCCUUCAUGUAGCUGAAGAGUGCGCACUGCGCAGUAAAUUCUUGAAUAGAAUGGAAGAGGGAAACAAGAGGAGGUUAGAUUAACUCUCAGAACUAGGCCUUUCCAGUUGUAAAUCUGCCCCGUUUGGAUCCCCAGGAUUUGAAUGUGUAUUUAGAUUUCAAAUCUAUGAACCUAUGCAUUUGAAAUUCAUAGAUUUCAUAUCUACAUGUUUGGAUGUAAAGUUGCAAAGCAAGAAUAAUUGUCAAAAUUACAUCACUUUUCUUUUCCUUUUGGAUCAUCACGUUCUCAUAUUUUCUAACCAACUUUCCAUUCCACUAAACACUCCAGAUAUGAUCUACUUUUAUACUGAUUACUCAUAUUAUUAACACGCAUAUUUGGAGAUAUUCAAUAUUUAGCAACAAUACAACAAGAGCAACCAAGAUCUGAACUUGCUCGUGACUUGACUUGUGAAGCUCAACGGUCUUGGACUUGCCGAUGGUUUGGUUGCCAAGAUUGCAAAGGGAAAAUGCGGGUGAGAUUGGAGUGAUGACAAACCACAACCAUAGAAUUGAAUCCAACUCAGAGAACCAAGGCCUAGAUUUCGAUUCCAGCCAUGAACAAUCAAGAGCAAGCCUUGAACGAGAAAAACGAAUGUAGGGAGAGCGUGAGAGAGGAGAGAUGAGCAAGCAAUUUGACAAAGAGUUUCAGAUCUAAGAUAUGGAAGACCUAGACAUGAGAUGAAUCUUGGCGGGAGGAGGUAAUUGCCCCUCCUCUCCUCUCUUCCAGCUUUCUUUUUUCUCAACUCCUCUCUCUGUCCUCUCUGUAUGCAUUUUUGGUUUUCCUCUCUUCUUCAAUAGCCCCUGCAAUUUUGGUUUCCCCUUUUGCUAUCUCCUUUUUGUGAGAGUUUUGCUCUCCUUUUGUGAGAGUUUGCUCUUUUUGUGUGAGUUCUUCGUUUUUCAGGAUACGUUUCAUCCACGGCUCUCUCCCCUUUGGCAUGCCGUUGUGUAUUGGUGAUGGUUUUCUACCACAAUCCUCUGCUCCUCAGUUCCACAGGUGCCGCUGUUGUUGAUCUUUCUCGGUGGCGUGUUGUGGUCUGGGGAUGCUUUUAAAGUGCAAUAUGUACUAACUACUUGGAUUAUGGGAGAGCUUUGUGUGCGGGUGGCUUGUUCACCCCAUUCUCAGUUCAAAGCUUUGGUUCAUCUUGUUACUGGUUACUUGUCCUUAGUGGUGAUGGUGGAUAUGCGAUGGUGGCGCCGAUGGUGUACUGGUGGGGAGCUGUGGUUUAUUCCUAGAUCAAGGGUUUUUCUUUUAUGUGGUUGUGAGCUUUAUUUUUUUUAAAGAGAGUUUGUUGGCUUUAUCUUUGUAUUUGGGCCUUAACUCGAGCCACUUUGUUUGGAUUUUUAGCUUUUGUAAUGCUUCCGCUCUUAAUUCAUUUGGUCGAAUUCGUUGUAAAAGAGAUCUAAAAGUAAAAUGAGAAAUUCUCUCAAAUACCACUAUUAUUGUGGUAAAGUUCUCAAGUAGCAUGAUUACUAGUGCGUUGACAAUAUUGAUAUUUUAUUUAUGCUAUAUCAUGAUUAUUUGGCUUUUGACAAUUUUUUAUAUUAUCCUUUCUAUUGAAAGUGACGAUAAUAUACUAAAUUCACACACACUACAUAGAUGCUAGGACUCGAACUCAGGAGUGUGCCUGGGAGAGCAAUUGCUCCACACCACAACACUAGUGGGUUCUUUGCGGCUUUUGACGUUGAUACAAUGAGACUUUUUCCCUAUUGUUAUAAUUUUACCAUGUGACCAUACUCGUUUGGUACGUCGGACUGUACUGACUAAUUUCCGUCGGAUAGUAUUAAUCUGUUCCGGAGAGUACUGACUAUUUAUCCAUAAUAUUAUAAGGCGUUUGGUGCUGUUCCGGAUAAAUAAUCUGACUAAGUUAUACUGUGUUUGGUGAUGUUUCGGAUAACAUCAGAUCAGACUAUUUAUAAAUUAAAAAAAAUAAAAAAAAAUCUUUGAUAAUUUUAAUGGAAAUUGGGAUUCAAAUGACACAAAUUUUUUUUGGUAAGAUUCAUAUGACAAGAUUUGUUUUUCAAUUUUUUUUUGCCAAGAUUUUUUUUCAUAUAACCCAUUAUCAUAAUUGUAGUAUCUCAUAAAAAUUCCAACAUACUCGCAUACGUUAAUAAAAACAGUACCAAAUAAUGUAUAAUUCAAAGUGAUCACAUAUUAAGGUGCUAAGAGCAAAAGAGAAAGUUGUUCAUAAACCAAACUACAUCAAAGAGUGAAUCACAACUCCCUCGCCCCAAGUAAGAGAAGAACAAAUGCUUUUCUCAUAGCACCAUCCAAUGUCAAGAAUGUUUUUUCAUCACUUGCUUUCUCCAAAAUUAGCCGUAGUGCCUUAAUUUGGUCAUUAAUAGACAAAUCCAUCUUUGCUUUUCUAAUAGCAAUUGACAAAGAAAAAUAAAUGGUUCCUAGAAUUCAGGUUCAUACAAUUUUAAUUUUGUAAUUUUGCUCUCCUAGUCGUCAUGUAUGUAUGUAUUCAACUAAACUACCAACUCUAGCACAGUUUUUUAUUUUUGGACGAAAAUUGGCAAUACUCUGUUUAAUACCAACAAUCUAAAUAUUCCCACAACGUCGAAUCACUAUAUCACAUACAAAGAAAACAUUCGAUUAAAAAAAAUGCCAAAAAAAAAAAUUCAUAACCUAAUUUCCACUAAAAAAUUGAAAUAUAUAAAGCAUAUUGGAGAGAGUAUGAAAAAGAGAGAGAGUGAGAGAUGGAUACCUAGAGAAGAGUGAAGAAAAUAACUUGUGGAGAAGAUAGUAGAGAACAACCCUAGGGAGAAGAAGAUGAAAAGAGCGUCUGAUUUUUUUUCGUAGAACGAGUGUUCUUUUUCUCUAGCCGUAUAAUUAAGCGUGUAUUAUCUAAACCGGGGUGUGUGAGUUGUAUUAGUUAGUCAGGUAAGGAGAGUAUUAAAAGCCCAACCCGUAUAAAAUAGUCGGGUAAUUAAAUAAUACAAGUUGACACCAAACACCUAACAUAGACUAUUUACUCCUAUCCAGAGUCUAAUACGGUGUACCAAACGAGCCGUAAUACCAUAAAAUCGUUACACUUCUCAAUAUUUAUAAUGAAUAUGGAUAUGAGAAAUAUAGCAUUUAACUAAUAUUUUUUUAUUUUUUAUUUAUAUUUUUAAAAGAAGACUGUUUGUUAAGCUUUUUCUCUUUUGGUCCUUAUAGAGGAAAUUUAAUCUUUCAACCGUUACGGAUCUGUUAAGCUUGUUCUUUUUGGUCCUUAAAGAGGCAAUUCAAUCUAUCAAUUCAAACUAAUGACAACGUUAUGUUUUGCUUUUGGAUUCAAGUAAAGACAUUGUUUCACUUAAACAAUGAAGUCGUAUGGAUUAAACUUAAAGCAAAAAUUGCUUAAAGGUUAAUUUCCAAUAAAAUAAAAUGAUAUUGCCUAUUAUCUCUUAAGUGGCAUUAAGAUUUGAUGUAAUGGAUAUUGUUUCUAGCUUCUGCGUGCUAUCGAUAUGAAGACACUGGUUUCCUGAUUGAAGCAGCAAGCAAAGAAAUUUGGGAUGAUAGGGCAGCAUGCGGGCAUCUCUUCGAAUUCAGGUGCACGGGGCCUAUAAAAAAUAGAAGGAAUACAAACUCCUUGCACUAAUAAAUCCGUUGUAGUUGUAAUUGUUGAUUAUUGUGCUUCAACCCCAAAAAUAAAUAAAAGAAAAAUAAAAGAAACAUGAAUUGCAAGUAUAAUCAGUAAGCCUUUGGAUUUAAUUUGUUGCCAACAUAAUAAUGAAUGAAGUAUAAACUUGAUUUGAUAGUGUAUGUAUAUGUUUUCAAUCUCACGCGUUUCUACGUUGCAGGAUUCCAGGGAAUGGCGGGUAAGUUCCAGGAUCCAAGGAAAAGCAGCAUAUCAGAUCAAAGAAAACAAGGACAAGAAGGAUACGUUUUGGAGACACAUCAAGAAAAAAUAUAAAUAUUGCAGAAACUCCUACCUUUUUGAGCAUAUUACUGUUGUUUGUUAUUGUUCAACUACGAGUUUGGAUAAUGUAGAGGUAAAUGCUCCUAACCACUUGAGUUAUCGCUUGCAUUGUUCAAACCUGUGUGUGUUUAAUGCCAUGCAUAGGCCUUUCUGUUGGAUAUGUGUUAGAAGAGUGAUUUUUGAGUUGCUAAAACUUGAGUUGCUAAAUUACUUUGUAAUCAUCCCUGUCAAACAAAUAAGACUUUAGAUGCUUGUCAAUUGCGAGCGACGCCAACAAAAUAUCGUCCCUGAGCACAUGUGACCUAUCUCCAACAACAAACUCAAAAACCUCACCAUUGACUCCAACUAGGUUAUAUAUAUUUUGAUGUUCAACUACGAGUUUGUCAUACACAUGUGUGUUUAAUGUCAUGAAGAGGCCUUUCUGUUGAAUGUGUCAAAUCUUAAUCGAAUGUAAAACAGUGUUUACCUCUAGAAAGAAGUCGAUCCCAGAAGAGUGAUACAAACAGUUCAACACUGUUGUGAUGCUUGGCCAAUGACAUUUGAGUUGCUAAAACUUGAGUUACUCAGUUAUUUUGUCAUCAUCCCUGUCAAAGCAACGGGACUUUAGAUGCUUGUCAAUUACAAGCGACGCCAACAUGAUUUCGUCCAUGAGCACAUGCGACCUAUCUCCAGCAACAAACUCAAAAACCUCGCCGUUAACUUCAACUAAGCUACAACCCGGCACCUUUCUCACCUUUUUUUCCUCCAUUCCCUUCCUUAGCACUGUGACAUCAUCCCACUGGUUGGCAGAGGCAUAGAUGUUUGAAAGAAGAACAUGCACACCACUGUGGUCUAAACUUUUCCCGGACAAGCGCUUAACCAUUUCUUUACCCAACUCAACAUCUCCAUGAACUCUACAAGCAUUGAGCAAUGCACCCAAGACGUAAGAGUCUGGUUCCAUGGGCAUCUCUCUCACAACCUUAUUUGCCUCUUCUAGCAUCCCAGCUCUCCCUAGUAAAUCUACCAAACAACCAUAGUGCUGGAUGCCUGGCUGUAUCCUGAAAGUACUAGUCAUACUUCCAAAUAUACGCAAUCCCUCAUCCACCAAGCCCAUUCGGCUGCAAGCACUCAACAUACAUAUAAAUGUAACUUCAUUAGGUGCAAUUCCUUCAUCCUGCAUUCUUGCAAACAGCGAAAUGGCACCUGCACUAUCACCGUUAUUGGCAAGCCCCGAAAUCAAAGAAGUAAAAGCAAAGACAUCCCUACUCGGCAUCUCAUUAAAUACAGCACGAGCAGUUUCAAUACAACCACACUUUGUGUACAUGUCGACGAGAGCAGUGCCCAACACUCUAUCUAAUUGCAUCCCCUUCCUGUUGACAUAUGCAUGUAUCCAUCUUCCCUGAUCCAGUGCACCAAGAAAAGCACAAGCAGUGAGUGAACCAACAAUCCCGGCGUGGUUAGGCAAAAACCCAGACACCUGCAUAUCGACAAAAAGCUCCAAGGCCUCCCUAAACAACCCAACUUGCACAUACCCAUUAAUCAUAGCGCUCCAAGAAACUGCAUUCUUUUGAGGCAUUUGAUCAAACAGCUCCCGUGCAAUGACAACUUGGCCAGACUUGACAUACCCAUUAAUCAAUGCAGUCCAGGUAACAACAUCUUUAUAUACGCUCAUGUCAAACAAUUUACGAGCUGGGUUUAUGAAAUCACAAGUCACAUACAAAUGGAUCAACCCGUUCUGCACAAAAUCGUGAGAUUCCCAACCAAGCCUAAUGGCAUGGCAAUGGAGCACCAAACCGAAAGAGAGAUAAGAGAGGUCAGCGCAAGCUCUAAGAAGAAAGGAAAAAGUGUAGUUGUUGGGCAAUAAGCCACUCUGAAUCAUAUCACUGUAUAGAGAUACGGCUCUCAUGGACUCAUUGUUCUCAGCUAAAGCUCUGAUCACGACGUUCCAAAUGUAGGUGGUUCGGUAAGGCAUAUGACGAAAGAGUUGAAACGCAUGUCGUAAAUCGCCGGAGUUGGAUACAGUACAGAAGGUAAUGAUCUUGGCAGCUGCAUAAGGGUCGAAAAGGGUACCUGAAACUGUGAGGUGGCUUUGAAUUUGCUUGAUAUGCGCCAUGGUGAGACAUUGAUCCAAGAUUGAUAGAGCUCUCUUACUUGAUUUCAUAUAUUAUUUUAGAGUUUGGAGUUUGGAGCCAAUCUGAGUUUGUUUUGAAAAAUGACCCAAACCCCAUAAUAUAUCUACUUAAGGGAAGUGGAAUGAUACAACAAAACAAAUGCCCUGAUAAAAAUUCAGAGCAUACCCCAAUAAGCUUCACCAUUCUUCUCAUAAUAUUCUCAUUAUAAAACUGAGCUUACAAUGCUUUUGCAGAACAUGGUGUUUACACGUAAUCCCUCUAAAGCCUUGUGAAAUCUGAUAUGAAUAUAGAUGUAGAGCUUUUCCUUCCAAAAUCGGCCCAUGAUGUUCUGUUUUAUUUUUCCAAUAUGAUAUAUUGGAGAACAAGGUGAUUCGUUCUCUUAUACAAAAAAAAUUGGUGGAGAGGAUUCAAACACAGGACCUUAGGUGUGAUUUUGAACCCCAUACCAACAAGCUAUGCUUAGUAUGACUCCAACAACAAUGGCCAUUUUAUUUGACAGUUUAUUGAUGCAGCAGUGUCACACCAUAUUAACUACAGGUAAACAGAAGUUGGCAGUACAGGUUUAGGAAUUGCAAUAAGACUCUUGUCCUUUUGAAUUGUAAGCCCCAGUCUCUCUUCCAUAUUGUUCAGGAUCUCAAGAGGGCACUCCCACUCAAAAGCAUGGAGCAAAGCUGCCAAGUAAAAGUGCACCAUGCGAUGAGCAAGGGGCUGUAGGGUGGAGUCCGGAAAACUUCUUUCACUGCUGCUUGAAAGUAAGCUAACUUGGGAAUGUCAUUCUCUUCAACAAACCUGUCCUUUCCGACCACUUGGUCCAACUCCAUAACUAUUUUCUUGUAUGCAUCAGGUGUUCUUAGGAUCUCUGUCAUACCCCACACGAUAGUACUUGAGCUUGUCUCCGUGCCUGCAAGAAACAUGUCCUGUAAAACCAAAAUAAAAAAAGAUCGAUUUCGGAUGGACUAGUUAAGCAAGCAAUAGCUACAAUACUGAAAUAGGUCAGCAACGUAUAUAAAUCUUAGACGAUUGACUUACAGAAAGCAACCCUUUGAUGAUAUUUCCGGAGAGGCUUCUCAAUUCGUCAUCUCUGUCACUUCUAUAUUCCAAUAACACAUCUCUAACAUGUCCAUUUUUUCCUUCUGGUUACUUUUGUUGAUUCUGUUUUCCCUCUCUUCCAACUUCUCGUUGAUUAGUUUCUCAUAAAAAAGCAUCAAAUCUCCAAAAGAUCUUCAAUGUUCUCCGUUUCAAUCCUUGAGGAUCAAAUGGCUUGAAUGUUGGGAUGAGAUCAGGAACGUUUGCCGUGCCAAGAAUUUUUAUUAAUUCCCAUAAUGUCUGUUUUAGUUCCCUCCCUUUCUUUUGUGUGCAAUCAAAAAGGCUCGUACUGCAUACAACGGUACUCAUGAGGCUGGCUUAGGCGAUGAACGCCCACUUUGCAAUGUUCACUGGAUUCUGUAACACUAAAGUUGAAUAGAGGUUCUUCAGUAACCCAUGGACCUAGGUACCAAAAAAAUGAAACAAUAAUGAUUAUAUUCACAUUUUUCUUUUUUCUUUUUCCCUUCUUUUGCAAUUCAAAUGCCCUGUUACCAAUGAAUUAAAGAAAAAUAGCAUAUGGAGCUAGGUUCCUCCCUCGAAUAGCAGACUUAUUUUAGGUAUUGCUCUUUCGAGAGUAUAUUCUUUCCCUCUAUUAUUAUUAUUGAUGAUAUUGGUGAUGGCGGUAUGAGUGAAGAAGUUGUGUUAGUAACAGAUUAAGAUGGGAGUGGUGGUGUUUGUUCCUUUUAAAAGGGUGUAUAAUUUUCCUGUGUUUCCUUUCCCUUUCUAUUUUUCUUCUAGGGUUUGAAUGCUUUUGUAAUGGGGUCGCUUGAUGUAGUGGGGAUUUACAAAGCAUAGCACCAUGCAAAAAUUCCUAAAAAUGAUACACUUUUGAAUUUUACAUAGUACAGCCAAAUAUUUUAAACGUAUAGCCACACGGCUAUACUCCCGAAACAUAUUUAAAGAGUAUAGCCGCGCGGCUGUACUCUUUGAAUAGCCGCUCGGCUAUACCAUUUACAUGUAUUAAGCAUAUUAACAUUAAAAUAGUAUAGCCGCCCGGCUAUACUAUUUUAAUAUAUUCAAAUAUUUUAGAAGUACAGCCGGGCUAUACUCUUGAAAUUUUAAAGAGGUAAACCACAUGAACCAAAAGUGACCUUUGGCCUACUAAUUUUUAAGAUAAUGAAGGAAAAUAAAGUGAGUCCAGUCACAUAAUUAUAAUCAAUUAAAUUCUUCUCAAUAUUUUAAUAAACUUUCAGGCAUAGAACUUGAAAAGGAUGAGCAAACAAUUUUAUCCCAUGCAAUCGCAGGUGUGGUGCUUCUAGUAUUUUUCAUCAGACAACCAGGAAAAAUUGCUAGAUCAGGAAUAAUGCCACAUCCACAAAGCUGCACUUCACAAUCCAUUAAUUUCUUGACGCUAAAUUCCUUGCUGGAACCAAAGAAAAAAAAAGAUACAAUGCUAGAAAUCUUCAACGUUUAAUGAUUAUCUCUUCUGAGUUCCAAACUUCAAACAUAAUUUAACCACGUAUCAUAUUCAUCAGAGCUAAACAGUCUCUGAAAACAUAAGUCAUAUAAUACUGAUGGAAAUGCACGCUGAAAGAGGGAGAGAGCACCAGAUUGAGCAUAUACAUUCAACUGGAAGUUUCUCCCUCUGUAAGAGGACUAGAACCAACUCGUGGAAGUGUUUCAUACAAUUAGCUAAGUUCAAUAUUCAAGUGAGCCAAGAGAUGGGAGCCCGGAAACAAUGUCUUGAGCUUCACCGCCACCGCUGUUCAACCUUUGACCUGUAUUCGGGCUAAAGGGUUCAACUGCUUGGUCCCCCAUUUUGUGUACAUCCUCGGGCGAAAGUAUCUUGAUAUACCAAACAUUGUUCACAAAUGACCUGCAUAUCAUAUGAUUUCAUAUAUUAGUCAGACUCCCAAAAAUGCCGUUUCUAAUUGUUCCCUACUAUAAGGACAGUUCAAUGAACUAGAGAAACCACCUAAAAAGAAAAGUUGAAGCGAAGACUAAAGAAAGUUUUCAAUUAUUCUUGGUGCUUCUUUGAUUAAUAAUGUUAAUUCAACGUCAACAUGAAACCACUCUAAUUCUUCUUUUAAAAUUUUAGUAAACCAGUAAUUUGACAUCCAGGUUAUCUGUGUGAGGCUCAUAGCUCCAAUGGUACAGCACUUCCAUGCAAUAGUUCAACCUCACCCUUCCCCUCAUCCCCUCUCUUCCCCCAUUCGCUUCCCUAGUCCUCAAGCUCCCUUUUGACCAAGAGAAACAAGGCAGAUUUUCUAAGGCUUGGUUUAACAGUGAGAUUUUAUUUUUUGAAUACUUGCUAUAUGAAAUAAAGAGAGAGGAAAAUGGAAAUAUCGAAAAUUACUGUGUAAUACACACAAUUUCAAAUGUGUUAAUGCUCUAAGUGAAGGUCUUUUCUUUAUUGACCUAUAGACAAAAUUUUAGCAUGUAACAAAGCCUGUAAUUGAUUCGAUAUUUGUGGCAAGCAUCAUUGGCUAACUUUUACCCAGAAAACUUCAAUCAAAAGAAAAACUUUACUUAAAAAAUAUACACAAUAUAACUUAAGAUUAUCUAGCUACAGUGGGGGCCUGGAGUUUAGAUGUUGACUAGGCUUUAAGCUGUAUUACCCUUCCUUCAUCUGUUACCAACACAAAGGCAGAACAUCUUCACUUAUUCCACCAAAAAAUUAUGAGGUUAAUUUUGUUGAGUUGAACAAGAGCAUGGGUAAUUUUGUAAGGUUAAAUGAGUCCACAUCCUCCAUAAACUGAAUCUUCUAUUUUACAUAUAGCCCAUUUUACUUUCUUUCACAUGCAGAUCAUGCGUAUGUCUUGUAAUAAGUGAACACUUGAUCCAGAAAAUUCCUGGACAAAAAACGCUAAAAAUGGUGUAAAUAGAUUAGGACCAAAUCAAUUUCCCCAUCACAUGCAACAGCCUCUUUAAAUUAUUCCAUUUACUGUUCAGGAAGACUUAAAAGUAGUCAACAGAAAGGUCCCCAGUUUUCUGAUUAGUAUAGCCAAAAUAAUCAUAAAAUUAAAAAACUUUUGUUGCUUUACCACUGUUAAAAGAAUCAUAAGAUUUUGAACUCCGUGUUUUUAAUGGUGUCCUUGAAACACACCUCAAGGAAAACCAACAAAGGAGAACCUUGAGGCGGCAUCUGCAUGCCUGUGUCUUACGAGAGGCACCGCUUGGGUACCAAUCUCUUCUUAAAACUCUUAGGCCAAAUGGCAUUGUUUGGCCUGGGCUUUUAUAAAUUUUAACAGCCCAUGCCAAAUGGCCUGAGUUGCUAAAAUAAAGAGGAGAAACCAUAAGACCAAAUAGAAAUUAAGAAACCAUAACUAAAUUCUCCAAAAUCCAUUCCCCUCUUUCACAGCUCCCAAACCACAACCCAGGAGCUCUAAGGUGCAUCCCACUUAUCAUCAGAAGCUCUAAGCCCCCUUCUCAAGGUACCCAGUUAUCUUUUUCUUUUGUUCCUUUUUUCUUUUCUUUUUUCAAUUCUUCCCAAAAAGUAAGUUACUAGGACCUGAUCCAAUAAUUAUUUUAUGUUCGAAUGAUGAUGAAGACCAUAUUCCAUUAGCUUAGUCAUUGUUUCUUUAUAGGAUAUCUAUUAGUGUAAUGAUCAAGGAUUAAAUUCGGAUAUGAGAGGAACUCCAUGCAUACAAAUAUCUAAUGGCAAACCAGCUAUAUGUAACUGAACCAAGAACUUACUCCCAUGGGUCGUCACCAAGGAGAAGCACAUCAUUCUCCCUGUCAACGAAUACAAGCUGCCAGCCUGAUCUAAGACGGUCUUCCAACUUCCCCUCAAUUCCGAACAUCUGCCCCAGCUCUUCUCGCAGCUCAUGGUAACUGCUGAACCGGGAUAUGUCCAGUGAGCGGCCAACCGAACCUGACUUGUAAACCUGCACUAACAACACAGUAUCAUCCGUCCAACAAUUUUAAAAAUGCAAGAAAAUUGAAAGAACAAAAACACCUAAUUACUUUCAUCUCACACCUUGACAAAUGUACAAUUUGGGGUUGGUGGGUCAACUUGCCCUGCACUGUGCAACAACUCAGAUGAGUCUUGCAUGCAACCAUACAGAGAGCUCUGAAAUCCAGAGUCUCCUAAUGGCAUUGACAUGUCAGCAUCAUUUGAAGAAGUGGCAAAACUGGGCGCUGUGGUGGGGAACAGAAGUCCAGAUGAUUCAAUAUUAACACCAAAGAGAGUAGGAUUCUGGGAAUCUGAAUUACAAUUCUCUUGCUCAACUGCAUUGUCUUUCUCAUUAAAUGGUGGAAAUGACAUUGAGUUGGCAAAAGCAUUGACCUGUGCAUGUGCAUACUUUGGAGCCCAAGAUUGUUGAGGUAACUGCUCAGUUGGCAUAGAAUGACCAGCCCUGGAUGAGCUUAAAAGAUUUCCACUCCCUUCAGGACAAAGUGUACCAAGCAUGUUCUGUCUAGGGGUAGUAGAUGCUGAGAACUUUGUGUUUGAAUCACUGAAGUCUGUUUUAGGAAAUGAUGGAGAUGGCACAUUCAUUUGUUGACUCUGUUGGAGCUGUUCAGUUUGAACCUUGAGUGCAUCAUGAUAGUUGUUUUGCUGUUGCUGCACCUGCUCCUCUGUUUGAUUGUUAAAUUGUUGCUGUAGAAGGUGCUGAGGCAGAUUCUCCAGUGAAACUUGUGGUUGUGCCUGCAGAAUAUUAUGAGGGAUUGAUUGCUGAAUUUGCUGUUGCAACUGCAACAUCGGAUUGUGGCUACUCGACUGCUGAACAUACUGAAAGGGCUGCUGAAAGUGCAUCAUAUGUUGUCUUAGCUGAUCUCCACUUCCUACAUUCUGCAAACCAGCAGCCAACAUGGCCUGGUACUGCGGAUUGUGAUCAUUUCCAAUCAAUGUUGAAUCCACUCUCUGUUGCAUCCAAGGAAACAUACCAACAGGUUGAAAGUUCAUGGAGUGAAGACCUUGCUCUCCAGUUCCCCCCCGUAGCCACAUUAAGCUGUUAGCUUCAUCUCUAUUAUCUGCAGUAACAACAAAAACAAAAUAGAAUUUAAGCUAUUUGGGCCUCUAAUACACCUUUGGAGUGAGCUUUCAUGGAAAAAUUCUAACAACAGACAAGCUGAUGACAGGGGGUAAUGGAAACACCAUGGUCUGCCUUUAUAGUGAAUUAUAUAGUGUUUCAAUGAAAUACCACAGUUUGACCAAAACCAUAUAAAAUGGCACUACCUUGACUGAAACCAUGGAAAGUGGAACUCUAAAUGGGUCAUGCUUAUCUCAUUGGAAAAUGAAAUGCUUGCGUCUUAUGUUGGAAUAAAGUGAAGCAAUAUGUGCCACGGCCUUCUUGCUCAAUGUAUUUUAUAUGAGAGUCAAGAGAUGAUGCCUAAAAACUCAACGAUUCUUAACAUGAGAAACAAACAGCAUAUUGAAUGGAGAAAAAUAAUAUGCGUGUGAUUUUCAACAGCCCUAGACUUACUAUCUUAUUGUCUCUUCCUACUAUUGUCAGUUGUAUCCUGCCAUUCUCAGUUUCCUCAACCUUCCUGCAUGGCUGUGCCUAGGUACAUUCUUGCUUACCAAAGCAUUCAAAUACUCGAUCUUUGUUCCCUAAAGUCAGUUUUGUGCUAAAAUAAAAAGAUUUAGACUUAAUCAAAAACCUGUCCCCAAUCAUUGUUGCCUCAGUGAGAGACUACAAAAGCAUGGAGUAGAUAUGAGGAUAAAGGCACCAAAUAAUAUUAUCAACACUAAACAUCAGUACAUGCAUAAAGAAGAGUAUUUUACUGAACCAGUUUUGAAAUUUUAAAUUAACACUUCUCCAUAAAGAAAUUUAAUUGACCUCAACUGGGUCACACUAAGAAUAAGCAUAUCAAGCAUAAGCGUAUCAAGAUGAAUACACUCAACCCCAAAAGCAAGAAAAAAUAAAUUGAAAACUGCAUUUGGUUUUUCUGAAGAUAAAGGCACCAAAUAAUCAGCACGCAUAUAGCUUUUACCUUGCAUAGAUGAGGCCCCAGGAUGCCAAGGGCGUUUUAGUCGAAGGGGAAACAAUGAUGGGUACAUGGGGAAAGUUGUCAAAGGCUCAAUCUCCCAUAACGAUACCCUGGGCUGCCUCUCACCUGCAGUGGACUCAUCCCAACCAACCUACAAAUAGGAAAGAACAAUAUAUUAAAUAUAAAAACUACUUUCAAGGGAGAAACAACAUGGUCUGGACACAUGAAUCCUGUUAUGGAUCUACAUAGUUCACCAGUCAUAAAAAAAGGAACACGGUAACAACUUUUUGUUCUCUCUUUCUUUCAUAUCCACCUUUUCUUCUUUGAUGAGUGGAAACAGGUUAAUUAAAAAAUUGUAGAACCAUAAAGAAUUCCCCUUUUUUAUUGUACAUUCUAGUAUUGCAUGAAACAGCAUCCUAGACAAGUUGGUGUCAUUGUAUAAUAAGCACAAUCAGAGAAAGUAGAUGGAGAUUUUUUCUGUCUUUCAGAGGUCAUGUUAUCCUUCAUCAAACAAUACCAGACACUGUCCUACCUACUACAUUAUAUAGGAUUAGAAGUGGAGUCAUAUACAGAUAAUUGGAAGGAAACUUUAUUGCACUACAGUAGAAAAUUAUGCUCUAUUACCUUGACAGACCGCCAAUGAGAAUUUGGCCACCGAACAGAUCCAGAUCACUAUGCCAGUUAUCGUACCCAUGUACCUUGACAAGAGAAGCAUUGGAUAUGUCAAUAGUGCACAUCUAAGUAUAACAAUGCAACACGCAUAAGGAACAUCUAUGUUUGCUGAUAUGAACUUGUUGCCUCAGUAUUAGGUACGUUGCACGAACACUUCAAUUAGCUAAAGUGUUGGAGUGUCGGACACUCAGACACAGCUUGGACACGCGUUGGACAGAGUCAACGUACUUGGACACAGUCAACCCAUGGUCCAGACACGGCAAGGGCGAUUUUGUAUUUUUUAAAGAAAACUGGGGUCAAAACACAAUUAUUGAAACUUUCUGAGGGACUAAUUUGAAAUUUUUUAAAAUAACUGGGGGGGUUUAAAUUAUAAUUUCGAAACUCUUUUAUACUUAUACCAACUACUUUCUCAGCCCUUCCUCUCUCUCCCAACUUUCCCCACCUUUUUCUUCUCUUCUUUUUCUCUUAGUUUUCAUUAUAUUUUCUUCUUUUCUUGGUACUUGAGAUAAAUUUAUGUUUUAUUUUGUGUGGUUUUAAUUAUUAUGUGGAUGAAUCAUGAGAAGUACAUGAGUACUUUGUUUUAUUUAUGGUAUUAUAAAUUGAAGUAUGAACAUGAACAGUUUGUUUAUUUAAUAUAUAAAAGCAUUAUUAUAAAUUUAUUUAUUUUUCAAUUGCCGUGUUAGUGUCCUAGUUUUUAUAUAUUUUCCGUAUCCCCAUAUCCCGUGUCGCGUAUCCGUGUCCCCGUGUCCGUGUCCGUGCAACAUAGGGUAAUACCCAAUAAAAAAAUAUUGAUCUUUUGGUGGUUUAAUUCUAGAGAAAUGUGCACCAAAAUCAAUAAAAACUACUUAUGCUAUGUGUAAGUUAUAAACAAGCAAUAAAUGAUUCUACAGUUGCAAGAAACCUAUACAAAUGACAUAAGUGAUCAUUAGGUUAACAAUACUAAUAUCGUAGUUAACCAUGAAAAGCUAUGAUACCUUCUGACACUUGACUCUUCAGUCUCAAAUAGCAUCCGAAAUCGCAUCCCAACUGAAACACGUGUGUGAAAUACUGCUUUAAUGUAUUUUGAUAGGGGUAUGACAAACUCAGAUGGACUAGCCCUGGACAUCAUAAACAUAUAAGCAGAAAGGUAAUACAAGCAUUGCAGGAAAACAAAAAUCUGGAAGACUCUUUUGCCACCUUGGAUUAUAAAAAACUGUAAAACAACUAUUAGUUGAAGCAGCAUGAGCAGCAGCAGCAAGAAGUCCAAUAUGCAUGCUAUCACUUGACAAAACAGAUGACGGCAUCACAGUUUGCGGUCGAGUGGCACGGCGAAUACCCAAAAGAAGCUGAUUUUUUUCAUUCCUAUUAUGGGAUUUACCAGAAUAUUAAUGCACGACUUUACAUGCAAAUACAGAAAUCACAGGAAAAAAGAAGGCGAAAGAUAUACCAAAUAAAAAGAACAGAAUCUCCUGCAACAAGUCUUUUGGCACUAACAAACACACUCCAUCCUGUGGUAAGAAGAUGUCGUUUGGGUUGGCCUGCAAGAUGAACAAGAUAUAGAACAGGUCAGUUUUUCCAAGUAUCUCCUUAUAAGUACUAGUGGACCACUUCGGCACAUAUAACAGCAUUAUCCACUCAGCAGUGUAGCAAAAUUUGUUUUUAAAGUACUUUCAGAAAUAGAGAUCACCAGUUUUUAUUAAUAUUAGAAGAAGGGGAUAUGGAUAGGGUACAACUGAGUUAAGCACGUCCAUCAAGGAACAAUUUGAAACAAAUUGCAUUUAAAACUGUUUCAUAUAGAAUUACCAAAAGAAAAACCUUAUGAACAAACAACAGUAAAAUUUGGCUAUGCAAUCCCCUCCCAAGUGUUCAUAAACUCAACUCAACCAAGCUUUAAUUCCAAAUAAUUUGGGUCAACUACACAGAUCAUCUCUUACUGUUAAUCCUAUACAACUAUAUCCCCUUUUUUUCGGAAGAGAAACAUAAUUUUAUUAAAGUAGGAAUGCUAAUUACAAAGAGCGGAUAAGGAACCCACAAUCUGGGAAGUAGCAAGUAAAUACAACAAAAUACAACUCUAAAAGAUGGAAAAAAAAACUAUAUCCCUUUAUCAUAUCUUCAACAUGUUCUGCUCAUGCAUUUCAUCCUCUUAUUAGCAUUAUGGCACUUUGGACUUGAAUCAAAUUUCUCCCAUAGCACUUGCUGGUCUUCACCACACGUUUGUGCCCUCACUAACAUUAACCGGAUUCUUAUCUUAUUUUAUCCUUGCUCAUGUUUCCACUAAUCCAUACCAACACCAUCACCUCAGCACUUACUCUUGAGGCAAGUUUUGAGAAGAGAUAUUCUGCUUUAUAGAGCAUAUCUAUCUUCAAUAAUCCUACAAAAUUGUACUUCUGACAUUUUUGGUAUUCUACAAUCACAUAACAGUGGAGGCAUUGAUAAUGGAAAGCAAGCAAGAAGAAAAGUUGUCUAUAUCUUAAGCAUGAGUACAAACUCAUAAACUAGGUUUAUUUUAACUAUAUCUUAUUUACUAUAAUUAGUAUUUCACUAUUUAUUUGGCUUUAUUUUAUAAUAUUUUGGAUCUUCCCAUUAUAUAUGGAGGUUAGAACUUAGAAGUCCUGUAUAUUUUUUGGGCUCACAUACUUUGAUUUGAUAAAAAGAAUUGCCUUUAUCCGACUUUGCCUCUCUUAGACUCCUCCUUGAUCUCUUUCCAUUAUUUUUUCUUCUUUCCUUCGUUAAACCUCUAUUCUAUACUUUUUGAGAAGUACUAUUUGGUAUCAGAGCAUUCUUGCAUAUCAUUCUUGUCCUGGCCAACUAUUAAAGCCCAAAUUCAAUUCAUCAUUUUUGCAACCAUUCCAGGCAUCACAUAUUCAACAGAACCUAGCCAUGGGCCACCUCAGAUCCACCACUGAUGCAAACUACAUGUACCACUGCCAAAAUCGUGUAUGUCGUACAUGCCAAUCUAAUCAUAAGUUAUUUCUUUCCCAAACAUAGAUAUCAUAAGAAUCAGAGCAUGUAGAUCUCUUGUUUCCAGGAUGUGUCAUCUGGAACCAUUGCAGCACAUGGGCCACACACCAGCAAAAGUUCCGGUGUUUGGCGUCAUGCACUGCUUCCUCCACGCAACUACUCAAACAGCAAGGGCACCACUGAUAUCAGAAAGAGCCAAACUAUCUAGCACUGUCAACACAGCAGUGAUCAGUGAACUACUCAUCCAAGAUGAAUCCAAAGAUAAAGAGCAACCACAGCUCAGAAGAUAUGUGUUAUCUAAGUGCCACAAAUCUAACAGGGAGCCUGGCCGUGUGAAACAUGAAAACAAAAAUAUAAAAAGAAAAGAAAACCAACUUAUAAUACUUGGAGUCAGAUAACCAUUAGAGCUCAAAAGCUCAAGUUGUUAAGGAAUGGACCAACAAUGUCUAUUGAGUUAACACCUGGGACAGCCAGUCAAACAUCUUCAAAUAAAGCCUUCACUCACAACAUACAGCCAAUGUUAGCAGCACUUCCCCAAAAGGCUUCAACAUGGAUUACAUGUUCUCUUAUCUACCAUAAUGUUCAUUACUAAUUAGUAAUUUACCUUGAUAUUGCUAUAAGGAAUAUCUCAUCCAACAACCACUGGUCAAAUAUCAUUACCAUUUAUUCUCUCAAUAAUAUUAACAACUAUAUCAACCUUGCUGACACUAUCAAGAGAUUAUUAGGUUUUUAAAUGUCACAAAUUUAUAUUACUCUAUUAAAUGGGAGCAAAGUUCUCCUGCCACACUCUGAACCUAAUUCAUUGAUCCGUUUGACUUUUCCCUGAAUGUGUGGUCCAGAUUCACAGUCUGGCAACAAACGUCUAGCAAGAAAACAUUACUCAUUAAGUGGAAAACGUGGCCUGUGCAUAAUGAUUAAUAUCGUCAGUAUGCUGGAUUAUCUGAAAGGUAAAGGAGAUCACUCAAUAAAACACUAUAAACACGAAUAAAAUAGCAAUAUGUCCUCUUAUUUAUCUUCUUCAUAUGUACUUCUGCCCAAGAAUAACAAAUUUAUUCCUCAUAUGUCACCAGUUCAGGUGACUAAACUCUGUCAGGGACCACACCAGGUAGAUGAAAUCUGACCAAAGAACGUCUCAUCAACAAAAUUACUGUUCCAAGAUUAUUCAAGACAACUUUAACCAGAGUGGUAAGUCUAGUGACCUCAACAUAUUCAUAGGAGACUGAGCGUCCAUUACAUUAAACUGUCUCUUUCAAGAUUUUGCUUUCCUCUGAAGCAGUUUUUUAUUCAUACAUUAUCUCAUUGCUGCUUAUCACAAUCUCUUGUGCACGUUAGGACUUAGGACUAAAAUAUUCAGCGGGAUUGGUGGAAGGGUAGGAGCAGGUGAAACAUCCAGGAAUUUAUGCACAUUGUUAAUAAACACUUUAAGUGCUUUAUGCACCAUUGUUGAACAUGAUAUGGCAUGGGAUGCAUGUGCUGAAGGCAAUACAGCAAUAAAGAACUUAAUGCGGUGUCCCACAGAGGUAUAGAAAAUUUGGCUAACAUCUCAUUUAUGAACAAAGAAUUAAUCAUAUAUACCAUGCCUGUGUUAUACAUUGAUGUGUUAAAACAGAGUCCAACAGAAUCCUAUAACGAUACCUAGUCAAAAUACAGGAUGCAUGACAAAUAGGUGGAUUAGUCCACUGGAUAUAUGUAUAACACCUGCAUGUGUUAUACAUUGAUGUUUUAAACAGAGAGAGAUCCUAUCCUAGGAAGAGUACCUAUGCAAGAAAGGAUGCAUAUACAAAUAAGUGGAUUAGUCCACGAAAUAAGUAUUAAUACCAUUAAGACAGCAUGAGCAAAAUUUUAAAACAAGAACCUCACAACCCAAUUGAUCCUGCAGCUACAUGAAUGAUUGUAACCUAAAGUUUCUUCCAUUGCGUAAAUAACAGAAGAUGAGAAACUACAAAUAUGUGCUUGUCUUGGGCACAUGAUGACUCUGAAAACUGUAGUUUUAUGUUGCAAGUCAUCAGAAGAAUAGAUCCUGAUAGAAUUGGCAGUUGAAGCAUUUUGAACUUUUUCAAAAUAAUCCUAACUUAAUGCAGAAAUUAUACAUUACGAAAAAUAGAUGGAAAAGUGAAAUAUAAAAGCCCUAACAUGCAAUGCCACAAAGAAAUGCUCCAGAUCCUACCUCGGAAAAUAUGCCUAAACUUCCAUUCAACAUCAUGGAGAUCCCUGGCAAUAAGUUCCUGCGCUGGUGGCUGUAGCGAGAAAUCCUGCAGGAUACAAUAAAGGGGUUUAAAUAAAAAAUAUCAGCAACCAAAUACGGUCAAAUAAAAGAAUAGAACAGACAACAAGAGUUUGAGAAGGGAAAUACCAGUGGAGGAAAAACUUUCUCGGCAGCACGACGAGGAACAGAGAAGCCUCCAUGUGUACUUGUAUCACUCGCCGUCAAUGUCUUGCAAAAGUAAUUUGUGGGUUGCUUGCUUGGAAUUCCCAACUCCAUUGGAAGAAAUGUUUCUUUUUGCUCUUGCUGUGUGAGAAUGUGUGUGGUUUCAACAACAUUACAACUUAUUAUGUUAAGCUAAAACUCCAACAAAUUAAACCAAAAAAAGACCAAGAAGAAAAAGAAAAGAAUAAUUUACUGGCGUCAAAGGCUGUAAUGUCAUUUGGGCAUAUACUUCAUCUGUCUCCACAUCUGCCUGAAAUCCAAUGCUUAAUCAAUUCCAUUUGUGUUCCAAUUUUUAACUCUUUUUUCUUUCUUUCUUCUAGAAGAAAUAAACAAGUAAGAGUGACGUAGCUGAAUCAAAAUUCACAAAGACAAAGGGAACCCACAUGCAUUGUGACAUUGUGCAGCUGACAGAUCAACUGGGGCGGCAAGCUCGGGUAGUUUGGUAUGUGGGCAUCAACUUGUUUGUUAGUAGUGGCAGCAACCUGGUCACUGUGGCCCUGAGGGAAGUAAACAACACGAGUUCCAGGCGUUGGCAGGGAAACCAGAGGCCCUGCGCAUGCAUGCCAUAGCUCCGAAUUCAAGCACUUCUUUUCAGCUCCUCCGGCUGCUGUCAUUUUUAAGCUCAAUUUUAAUUUUUUUGUUUUUAUUCUCAAAAAGCAAUAACAAUGACAACAACAAUAGUAAUGAUUGAGAUUUGAGAAAAGUUAAACAUAGAAGUCAGAAAUAUAAUAAACAAAAGCAGAAUAUGAGGAAAUUUUAAAAUAGGGUUACCUUCAUGAUCCUGCUGACCCAACCCUGAUGUUGAAAGCUUCAUAUCAAUAUAACUAUCAAUAUCAACCUUAAGCCUUUCUCUAUCUAUAUAAAAACCAUAAUAGAAAACCCUAAUUUUACAGAACCAGCCAUAACCAUCAAAGAGAGAAAAUGAGCUCUACUGACAACUACUGCUACUUAUUGGCUUCAAGUCACCCCCUUUCUAGACCAUGCUCGACAGAAUUAAGAUCCUUUUUCCUACUUAGUCCCAAAUUGAAGCCCCAAAUGGAGGAAACCCCUCCCUCCAUAGAAACAUCAUGCUCUGCUCUAAGAGAUCGCCAUGGAAACAAGCAACAGCUGAAGCAGGAAGAAAGCUCUGAGAGACUACCCAAAGUGGUUGUUUUAGUAAAAAGCUUUUUCUUCCUCCUUUUCCGGUCUAUCACUGUCCAUUCGAUUCAAACCCCAAAGUGAGAGAAAGAGAAAAGGAAAGAGAGAGAAAGAAAGAAAGAGAAGAGAGGAAGAUUUUGCUUUGAAAGUUGAAACUCACAGUGAGAGAGAAGAAGAGAAAGAGAAAGAGUGAUGGUCUUUACUCUUUUCCCUCUUAUAAGGGUCCCGACCGAGCUGGACCUCAUACUAGAAGAGAGUCUGGGAGCGUUAUGGGAAAGCUCUAAUCUCGGCCGUCCACGGAUCCGUACUUUUUAAUCUUAACCGUCCACUCUGAGACUGAUGUGACAGCAGCCAUGUGCCACCAUACUUCAGUGGUCCUUGUCAGAGUACGGACUAUGUUUUAAAGUGUUACGUAAUAUUUAUAAAAAAAAUUCCUCAUCAUCGUAUUAUUCAUACUACAAUAAAAAAUCAUCAUACUAGAAAAGAAAAAUGACCCAUCCUACCCAACUCAAGGAAAAAAAAAUGUUAUGGGCGUUAUAUAUAUAUUUUUUAACAAGUGAUAUUCUAAUUGCUCUAAAUAUGUGAGAAAGGAAAUCGACUUCGGAUGCAAGAAAAACGCAUAUUUACUUUAAACAACUGAUCUAACUCACAUCAACUACAUUAUAACCUUUUUUGUUUGAACCUCAAGUUUGCGUGGCAUUUACCCAAGCACUUUGAGUAGAUAUCAAUUUGUGCGGCAUUUAUGUGAUUAUAUCGUCUUUUUAACUCAACUCUUUUUUUAUUUCUAAAAUUCCCAAGUAAUAUUGUUUGUCCUCAGCCCAACCUGGUCUCAACCUCAGCCCAGCCCAAAACUUCAGCCCCACUAACCGUUCAAGCUAUCCCACUCCCACUCUGCUUUAUUUUCUCUAUGUCUAUCUCUUCGUAUGCUCUCUGUUCCUCUCCAUCUUCCAACCCACCCAUCUUCUCCUUUCCUCCACGGUAUCCCCAAUCCCAAUCUUUAUCUUCUUCUCUAAUCUUCUCCAAUCCCCUACUAAUCCCAGGUUGGUUCUAAGUUUAAUUCUUGAUUCAUUCUUUGUACAUGAAGCUCACCAGAACAAUGGCAUUCAAAUCAGCUAUAGUGCAACCGAAAAACCCACCACACUUCAACCCCACAUUUUCUUGCUGCCUGAAACCAUCCUUUCAGUUCAGGGAGAAUCCACUGAAGGAUUUUGAAUUCAAUAUCAAAAGAAGAAUUGGGGCAAUAGCAGCAGUAAGUUGGGCACUAAUGGCGGCGAAAGAAGCAAUUUUUGUUGAAGCUGCAAAUGGAUUUGACUUGCAACUGGUAGCACCUGGUCAGACAAUUGAAGAGGCACGGAGUGGAAUCAAAGGGCAUGCACAAGCUCUGUUACAAGUGAAAGAGCUGAUAGAUUUAGAGUCAUGGAGAGAAGUACAAAUAGCUCUCAGGAAGAGCUCAUCGGUCUUGAAACAGGACAUAUAUACCCUAAUUCAAGCAAAACCUGCAAAUGAGAGGCCUCAACUGAGAAAACUUUAUUCUGACCUCUUCAACAAUGUGACCAGAGUAAGUUUUUGCCAUUUCCACCCAAUAAACAUAGGACUUGACAAAAUUAUUUCAAUUGACUUGACCAAGUUUUUUGUGCAUUGCAGCUUGAUUAUGCAGCUAGGGAUAAAGAUGCAUCAUAUAUCCGACAAUGCUAUGAGAACAUUGUUGCCGUUCUGAAUCAAAUGCUAUCUAGAAUAUAAAGUAUCAAGUAAUUGUUCCCUUCCUUAUUUUUCUUCCCUGCAAAUUAUAUGCAUCAGAAGAUGUUGUGUAGGAAAUUACAUGAAGCAUAGCCACUUAAGGUCGUCUGUUAACAACGAGUUAUUUUUCUUUAUGAGUAAGCUUUUGUGUCCUUCAUAGAAAUUGAUCAAUCUGCUGAAAGCACUUGUUACAACAGGAUCAUUAUUUUAUGAUGCAAUCCUCUUUCAUAAGGCUUCAUUUGCCGAAAUUGUAAAACCGUAAUUCUUUUGUUGAAUAUGAGUUUCUCGUUCUUGGAUGAAUGGUUCCUGUGGGUCAGACAGACACCAGAAUUGUAAGUUAUAACUGAGGGUUCUGUUCUGUGCAAGUCACCGUCUUCUACAUUGUAAUAUUUCUAGAUUACCUUAUAUAUAAUUAAACUAGAUCCCACAUAUUUUUAUUUCCUCUACACCAACUGGUACUUUCUUUCCAACGUUGAAAGAUAUCCGAAAUUUAAAUCCUCCACUCUCAAUAAAAAUAAAAAUAAAAUCCUCUACGCAUAGAGUCGUAUAUAAGAGAUCAGAAAAAUAGGCAUGCGUGUCCUCAAUUAUUCUGAAAAUUUCAAAGUUAUAAUAAGGCAGCAAUUUCAACCCUGCAGCUUGUUUGCUGUCUUCUAGCUUACCAGAGAAACACACCUGUGCGUCUUCAAUCUGCUGCUAGUAGUAUUCUGCUCUUAAUUUGUGUUGCUGUCUUCUAGCUAAUUGGCGAUUAAGCACUAUGUAAGCAUGGCGGAAAUUUUCCUUACUUUUGCUGCUGAGGGAAUACUGAAGAAGGUGGCUUCGCUUGCAGCUCAAGAAUUCAAUCUUGCCUGGGGAUUCAAAGCAGAGCUGACAAGGCUCAGUGAAUCUUUGAACAUGAUUCAAGAUAUCUUAAGUGAUGCUGUCGAGCAACCGCAAGGUCGGGGCAAGGCGGUAGAGGAGUGGGUGAAGAAACUUAAACAGAUAGCUUAUGAUGCUGAUGAUGUGUUGGAUGAGUUCAAAUAUGAAGAUCUUCGGAGUAAAGUAGGGCUCCGAAACCAAAUCCACAUAAAGGUAUUGAUCACCCUCCUAUCCCAGUGCUUUUCAUCUUAAAAUGGCACAUAAAAUUAAGAUCAUAAAUGCAUCCUUGGUAAAUCUGGAGAAUAGAGCAUUUGUUAUUGGAUUAGUUGCAAAAAAUGUUAUGGCUACAACGCAGUACGUCCCUCGUGGAAUUGUAGGGGACAGAGAAACCAACUCAUUCUUAGAUAAAGAUGAAAACAUCGUUGGAAGGAAGGAGGUUGUGUCAAGUAUAAUUACAACCUUGAUCAACUCCAAAAAUCUAGAAAAUGUUUCGAUUAUGGCCAUUGUUGGAAUGCCAGGCCUAGGAAAGGCAACUUUGGCUAACUCAGUUUACAAUGAAUUUGAGACAAAAUGACACUUUGAUAAGAAAAUAUGUCUCUGACACUUUUGACGUAAAUUCUAUAUUGAGUCGAAUGCUAGAAUCCCUUAACUCAACAAGGGUUGGGAUCACAAGUCAUGAUGCACUGCUUAAAAACCUUCAAGAAAAUUUGAAAGGAAAAUAUAUAUUCUUAUACUAGAUGAUGAGUUGCUUGACAAAACUUGAUUCAGCUCAGGGAAGCAACAUUAUUGUCACUAUACCAAAUAGUUAAUUCUAACCAAAUAGGAAUGUACUUGGAGACCAAGUAUCCACCACCUGUAUAAAUAUUCUAGUUCUAUGUGAAUACAAAUCAUCCAAUUUCAAACCUAAUUGAAUCAUGACAGUUUGUGUGAGUGUGCCUAACAAAUUAACUUCAUAUUAUUGUUCUUUCUCUGUUUUUUUUAUAGCUCUGUGAGAAUGCGAAGGUAAAAAGUCCCACAUUAGAAAGUUGAGAAACCUAGCAAGGGCUUAUAAGGAGUUGAGCUACUUCUCCCAUUGCCAAUUGGUUUUGGGGUGAAACCCCUUUGUUCCCUUUUCCAUCUGGCUGAACUGAAGAUGAUGCCUUCAAUUGUGGUGUCUCAACUGGAACACCAAGCUCAGCAAGCUCGCUUUAGCUGUAGGUUUGGGGGACGACGGUAACUCCAUGGUUCAGAUGACCUUAGGUCCAAUAUAUUUUCAAGGUUAGCUAGAAUAUCUGGUGAAGCACUAGCAGUAGCUUGUGAUGAUACCGUAAAUAUAUAGUCAAGGUUGCGUACGGCAAUGUCCUGCAAUAACAAACACAGCUUCAAUAAUUAAAUAAUUAAGUAGCAUGUAAACUACAAAUCUGCAAGAACUUGGAUCACAAGUCCCAUAAACAGAAGCAUGAGACAAUAUUCAAGACAAUAACCUGCCCUCCACUAUACUUUUAUCUUCCAAAAGAAGAUAAAGCAGACUGUAUUGGAGAUAUUGAUAACUAAGCCACAAAAACUUACUGGAAAAAAACAAAAACAAAUACACUCAAAGGCCACCCAGUAUCGGCAUAUACCACCUUAUAUAUUAGGCCCAAGAGUGGUGAUAUCCAGGUGACCCAACAACAGGAAUUAUAUAUAUAUAUAUAUAUAUAUAUAUAUACAGAGAGCUUCCAUUGAGGGAUCUCUCAAAUAAGUUUAUUUGAGGGACACCUCUUGUAGGCCCCACUACGGAUUGUAUUUCACUAAUCCAAACCGUCUAUUUUGUAGAUACUCAUUCAAAGAUCAUCUCUACAAAAAAUCACUUGAAUCCGAUAUCAUGUGACCACUCAAUUGAGUUAUUGAAAUUUUAGUACUUUUCUUAAAGCACCGUGUUCAUUGAUUUUGUAAGACACAAUUGGAUGUCGAAACGGUUUCCGAUUUGUCUAAUUUUUUGUAAGGAUGAUCUAUGAAUGAAUACCUAAAAAAUAGAUGGUUUGGAUUAUUGAGAAAAGAAUUGUAGGGUACUCUAAAGGGCGUCCCUCAAAUAAAAUUAUUUGAGGGAUCCCUCAAUAGAAGGGGACUGUAUAUAUAUAUAUAUAUAUAUAUAUAUGACGUGAGGUCCAAAAUCACAGAUUAUUAUGACGUGAGGUCCAAAAUUCCUGUUGUAUAAUAAGUUCACAACUCACCAAAACAUUGGAAAUACACAUAGGAAUGAAUGAUGGAACCCUAUCACACCAGAAUUGAGGCAAAUCUGGUAAAGCCCAUUCAGGUUAUUUUCACUAUCUUUCAGAAGUAUCUGUAACAGGGCAAAUCUCCAUCAAUCCUCUUCUUUUCAGUUUAUCUUUAUGCCCGUUCAUGCUCGUAUACAUUAUUCGAAGAAGCUUUUGGCAUAUGGCAUGUAUUGUGUGUGAAAUGCAUGAAGACAGGUAUACCCGAGCGGCUAUACUUGUUAAAUAGAAUAUUUUAACAGUAAAGCCGGUCGGCUAUACUUAAAAAUUAUAAUAUUAACAAUUUAAAAGUAUAGCCGCGCGGCUAUACGUUAGGAUGAGAAACAUCGAUAGUCAUUUUCCCUCCCUCCGGAAAUUGAAGAUUUUAAGGUGUGAUAAAUUGUCAAGCCUGCCGAGUGGUCCCGUCCGCGAAUUGAAUAUUACAGCUUGUGAUGAACUAUCGAGCCUACCGAGUGGGCAAGAAAACUUGACCUCUCUUCAGAAGUUGGAAAUAAGACAGGGUCUGACAUCCCUCCGCAAAUUGGAGAUUCAUAGGUGUGAUGGAUGUUAUCAUUGGCAGAUUCUACACCCCUCCAUGUCUUGAGGAGUUGUCUAUAAGCUACUGCAAAAAUACUGGAGUCUGUUCCAACUUUACAGGGAUGCGCAUCCCUCCAUGAAUUGAGAGUUUUCAAAUGUGAAGGAUUUGUAAGCAUACUGAGUGGCCUAGAAUCUUGUACUUGUCUUCGUUUUCUGCGUAUCCAGUUUGUCAAAAUUUCAGGAAUUUAUUGGAUGUGCUACAAAGCCCUGUAUCUCUUGAGGAGUUAAGAAUAACUGACUGUCCUUAUCUAGAGACUAUUCCCAGCUCAGACAACCUCAAAUCCCUCAGUCUGUUGUGGAUUGAAAAAUGUAAUGCAUGGAAGUCGUUCGCCUCUAAUAGACUGGACUCCUCCUAGUGCAUGUGUGGGACCCACUUGCUGUAUUAGAGAGGUGUUAACAAUGUAGUAAAUAAAUGUGGUAAAAAAGAAGCAAUAUAUUAUACACACACUUUACAAAAGCAUUUAGAAAGGUUUUAGUUGCUUACUAAGCUUUCUGUUAAAGAUUGACGUGUUGCUUUAUGGAGUCCUCAAAACCAAUUAAGGCAUGAGGUGGGAUAUGUUGGCAUGAGGUGUAAGCACAAUAGGUAUUCAUAAGGCUAUUUGGAAUGGCAGAUUAUUUUCAAGCCACUGAAGUAGUCUAGGAACCUAUAGACUAUCCUAUAGACUAGUUGUGUGGCACAAAAUUAAGUUUACAUCUAUAUCUUUGCCGACUUUAACUAUCUAUAAAUAGCACUACCUAGUAUUCCUUGUUUCAUAGGCAUGGCCGGGACCACACUAAGGGUUCCAGUGGGCUGUAGUCAAGCGUGAUUUUUUAAGGGAAAAAAAAACUUAUAUAUUUAACUUAUUUUUAAUAUUAGUUCAGUCAGUGGCGCUGUGCAGAUUACUUUAUUUUUAUUUUUAACAUUUAAGUAAAUGGAGUAAUAUAAAAAUAAAUAUUACUUAAGUUUACAAUGUAAGUAAGGAAGUACCCCCUAUUUGGAUUCAAAUAAAAAUACUAGAGAAUCAAAUUCCCACAAAAUCAAAAUAUGAAAAAUCGGUUUUAGUUCAAAAUACGAUUUAGGCUAAAAAUGAUAGCUCAUUCGCCUAUGAAUCAUAGGUUCUUCAAUUGCUUUAAUUUUCCUAAAAUCGUAGACAAAUUGGAGAAGCUCAAAGUGUUUGGACUUGCAACUGAGAGUUAUACAAUAGCUUUGAAUUUGAGGUAGGGGUUUUUUCUUGGGGAAGCUUUACAUAAAUUGAUUUAAUUAAAUAUUGUGAACACUAUAUUAUGCUUGGUAAUAUUAUUUGAUUAUUAUCCUUGAUAUUGGGUGUUUACAUGUUGUCAAUUAUCAUUAUAAUUUGAUUAAUAUUGACAUGUUCAUAUGUUAUCGGUGGUGGUUGGAAUUCUUGGGUUGAUAAAAAAAUUAUGGAAAAGAGGGUAAUGGGAAGGUUCUUUUGUGUAGUUGAGUCUGACCAUUGUAGGGACCAAGUUUAGGCGAGCCUGUGUGCUCAGUAGAUUUGGAAAUCGACGGUAUAAUUGUCGAUUGAGUGAUUUGGGCUAGGAGAUCAAUGGUGUAGACAAGAUGACUAGCAAAAGGGGAAUUAUGGGAUAAUUGAGAUGAGUGUUAGUUUAUCUGAAUCACAGUGGUAAAAUACCUACAUUAUAAAUCUCACUAAUCACAUAAGACAUAGGACCCCUACUGAGCAUGUAAUGCUCACCUCUUAUUGAAUCUAUUGCAGGUUUUGAAUCUGAAGUUUAGUUUGUGACGAGGAAACAAGAAGAACGAGUUGUGGAUAGUUUUGAAUGUUUUGUUGAAAGUUUGUUAUUUUCUUGUUAUUUUGCUUAUAAAAUUACAAUGUAAAUUACUUUGGUUUAAAUAGAAGUUUGUGUUCAAUCUUCAUGUUUCUUGAUAUUUAAAUUUUUAGUUUUAAUUUUUCUUUUACCUCACACUCCCAAAAAAUAAAUAAAAUAAUUGGGGUGUGACAUAUAUAUAUAUAUAGGCGAGGCUAUGUAAAUAUAAUGCAUUGCGUCAUGGAUGAUGUUGUCUUUUAACAUGUCUUGCCUCCAUUGGCCGCAACAUAUUAUAUAUAAGCUCACCUCCCGGUCUUCAUAUAUAAUGUGUGUGUUAAUUAGCAACUACCUUGUCCUUAAUGGUAGGUCAAGCUACGCAGGCACUGAAGAUGAAGCAAGGAUAUCUGGGUAUGGUAUUGCCAAUAACAAUUACAUCAAUAUGGUGGUGGAGUUGUCUGAUCAGAGGCGUUGAUGCAAGCCCACAGAUCAAUCUACUAAACAAGGGCUGCAGCCAAUACAAUGCCACAAACUUGCCUGACUUCUAUACUAAUCUCAAUGCCACUUUCUCAGACCUCAAAACACAGCUCAACAAAAACAGCACCCACUUUGCCACGGCACAGCAGGCCAGGGGUUCGGAUCCCGUCUACGCCAUGGUGCAGUGCAGGAACUACCUCUCCGCGGCUGACUGCGCUGCUUGCUUCGCUGCCGCGGUGUCCCAAAUUCGCAACUGCUCCGCUGCCAACGGUGCCCGUGUCAUCUACGACGGUUGCUUCCUCAGGUACACCCUGGUCUCUACUACUCUUCCAUGAUUUAGUUUUGUAUAUUUAUUUGUUUUCUAAACUAAAUGACAACUAGAUACACCCACUUGCUGGAAACAAAACACAAAUGCAUUAAUAUCUAUCACGUCUUGCUAUUUCUCAUUCAAAUUCAAUUAUUUCUCAUUCUAAUAAUUGCUUAACUAAAUGACAUUCGUGCCCUUAUUAUUUUCCAAAGUUUCCAUCUGCUCCACAUAAUAAUGCCUUACCCUUUCUAGAAUAUUGAACUAAAAAUCUAUGGCUCCUCACCCUAAUUGGCAGUCGGUGUCAUAAUUCAGAAAGUACAGAAUUAGAAGAAGUCAAAUAUACUUGGAACAUAUUGCAUCCUUCCUAGGGUCGUCGACGUUGUCGUGGCAGCCUAGCAUCUUUCCAAGUUGCUGCCAGCCACAUUUUUUAUGUACAGAGACACAAUAUCACCAAUAGAGCUAGAUAUUAGUGGGAUUGGCCUAAUCAGUAAACGGGUAUGGUGAUCGUUGACCAAAAACAAGUUCAAUCAUAACUUCAUUGAAUCAACACUAAGUAGUAGCUACAAAAUUUGAUAAUUGACUUCAAAGUCGUUAACAAAAAUAAUAGGGACAUGUUCUAACAUUAAUUCUCACAUGAUGAUGUGGGUCUUAUGAAAUUAUAAGAUUAUGAUGGAAACUAUAUGUAAGAAAAUUCGGAAAUUAAUUUACGAGGGAUAGUUUUUAGUCAUCAACUUUUUAUAAAUAGUCUUCCAUCCUCCAAGACAACAAUAUUCAUGUUACGCCUUAAUUGCACAUGAAAUGUAGCCAUUUUGCUAGUCUAGUCUAGCCUAGUCUAAUCCUCCCUAACAAACGAGGCCUAAGGUUAUGAAUUAAUGAUCCUUUAAAAAAUGUAAAUAAUAUUACUGGAGAAAUAAUUUCGAUAGCUUAGUCAAAGUUGCCGUCGAUGAUUAUUGUCGAUGAAGAUUGAUCAACAAAUUAAGAUACGGCAACCUAUAGACACAUAGAAAACGCUGACAAUAGAAACCAAACGUACUGCCAAAGUUAGUCACUUAUUUCUUUCUUUUUUAAACGAUAAUCCAAUAAGAAAAAUUUGGCAGUGGAAGAAAAAUAAACAUAGCGUGUUGCUAAAGUUAGUCACAUCGUUGUUAACUUUUGUCUGGUUGGUUUAGGUACGAGAGCGCUGGGUUCUUUGACCAGACUUCCCUUCCUGGUAAUGUAGGGCUUUGUAGCAAUAAAACUGCAUCACAAGCUACCGCAUUUAGUGCAGCUGCUGGAAAAUUGCUAGUGGAUCUCCAACUUGCAACUCCCAAGAUCAACGGUUUCUUUGCAGCAACUAAGAAUGAAGUUGUUAGUAGUGGUAGUGGAAAUGAAACAGUCUAUGGUGUGGCACAAUGUGCUGAGACAAUCAGCAAGACUGGUUGCCAAGAUUGCUUGAAUGUGGCAUACGCCAACCUUCAAAGCUGCCCGCCUGAUACGGAUGGCAGGGCCGUCGAUGCCGGGUGUUUCUUGAGGUACUCUAGUACUUCUUUCUUCCCUGACAACCAGACUACGAACAUAGUGUCCUUCUUAAAAACCGGUAAGAAUAAACUUUUAUCAUGUAGUCAUUAAAUUUGUUCAUUAAAUAAUGUGUCAUCGUUACAUGUAAACUUUUUAGAAAUAUAUAAGCUAGCUAGGCUUUACGUGAAUCCGAAUUUAGAUACAUGAAGUAUUGUUAUCUACUACAUCAUUUGGUGAACAAAUUUGAUGGUCCUAACAAUUUUAUGCGUACGAGUAAAGUACUUUGUCUUUAAUUUGGAAGUACCCGAAAGCAUAAUGUUUUUCAUAUAUUAUCUGGCAGGAGGCAAUUCAAGAAAGAAAGCCAUCAUUAUUGGAGUCGUAGUUGGAGGUGUAGGUCUUCUUAUUCUCAUUGUUGGAGUUUUACUCUAUUUUAAACUUUCAAGAAAGCCCGAGGCUGCUCGUAGAGGUAUUCUUCUGCCACAACCACAGAAUUCGAAGUUGCAUUUCCUCUUACAUAUAUACUAUUAUUCAAUUAGCUCCUGCUCUAACCAUGUUUACGUAUAUAUAUAAACAUAAAAAAAUUGCUCGUACAUGUCUUCAAUUGUUUAAAUUUACUCAUUUUUAGGUGAUAUUUUGGGUGCAACCGAGUUGCAAGGACCAAUGAAUUACAAAUAUAAAGAUUUGAAGUCAGCAACCAAAAACUUCAGUGAAGAAAACAAACUUGGAGAAGGAGGAUUUGGGGACGUCUAUAAGGUAAAUUAUAUGCUAAUUAAAGAGCUCUAAGAUAAUUUAGUUCAGUUCAGUUCAGUACGGUCGAAUAUGGUGUACUCCUUUUUGACAUGCAUAAAGUUUUGAAAAAAAUGGGAAAGUUGCAUUGUCAAGCUUUUGAUUAUCCAUGGGCAUAUUUCAUUUUAUUGCUCAAAAUAUAAUCCCUAAUGUUCAUUUACAACUACAUGAUUGGACAGGGUACUCUAAACAACGGAAAAAUAGUUGCAGUUAAAAAACUAGCAAUUCUCCAAUCCGACAGGGCAAAGGCAAAUUUCAUAAACGAAGUGAAGCUGAUAAGUAACGUUCAUCACCGGAAUCUCAUUCGUCUUCUUGGAUGUUGUAGCAAAGGACCAGAGUUACUUCUCAUAUAUGAAUACAUGGCAAACAACAGCCUCGACAGAUUCAUAUUUGGUAAUUUUAGGCUUCUUUGUUCAGCUAUACCUCUAAAUGUAUGCUUACAUAUACAUUUUAUUGUUUUAUUUGUUCAUCUAAAGAUCUGUUUUUUUUCUUCUUCUUCCAUGGGAAAUAGGUCCAAAAAGAGGCUCUCUCAACUGGAAACAGCUAAAUGACAUAAUCCUGGGUACAGCUAGGGGUCUUGCCUAUUUACAUGAGGAGUUUCAUGUAUGCAUCAUACAUAGAGAUAUAAAAACCAGCAAUAUUCUUUUGGAUGAUAGUUUCCAGCCAAAAAUUGCAGAUUUUGGGCUGGCAAGGCUUCUACCAGAUGAUCAGACUCAUCUUAGUACCAGAUUUGCUGGAACAUUGUAAGUUAAAGUACUUCAAUUCCCACAGGCAUCAACCGCUGCUGGAGAUCUAUAUGAUCAUUACUCUUGUACAAUGUUUAUACCGAUCUUUUGUUUUGACCUACUUGCGGUUCUAUUCGCACUCAAAAAGUGAUAUGAAUCUACUAUAUACAUGGCCGGUACACUAGGGUGACUCCACUAAUUUGAUCUUGUGUGACACUGACAGGGGAUACACAGCACCUGAAUAUGCAAUUCAUGGACAAUUGUCAGAAAAGGUGGAUACAUAUAGUUAUGGUGUGGUUGUCCUUGAAAUCAUAAGUGGCCAAAAGAGCAGUGAAAUCAAAUCUGAUGCUAUGGGUGAAUUUCUACUUGAAAAGGUAACUUCCAAACUCUAUAUAUAAUUCUUCCCUGAGAUUUCUAUUCUGCUUAAUUACUUUAGAAUUGUGACAUGUUUUAUUUUAUUUUAUUUCUUUUCACAUUAAUGAUUAGGCAUGGAAACUGUAUGAGAAUGGCAAGCACGUGGAGCUGGUGGAUCCAAAUUUGGAUCCAAAUGAAUACAAACCAGAAGAUGUAAAGAAGAUUAUAGAAAUUGCUCUGAUGUGCACUCAACCAUCAGCUGCUCAAAGGCCUACAAUGUCUGAAGUUAUAGUUCUACUUAAAAGCACUAGCUCCUUGGAGAAUAGGGCGCUCACUAGGCCUGUUUUUGUUGAUUCUGAUAAGAGAGUGAAGGGAGACACAUCAACCUCUACUGCUUCCUCCACAUCCAACGCCACCGUAUCGGUUUCUCAAGUUUCAGGUCGCUAAGUGCUUAAUUAAAGAAGUAUAUUUCAACUCUUGUACUUAAAAUUUGGAAGUUUCCUUUCAAUGUUUAGUUUCAAAGCAAAGACCUUUUUUUUUUAUGUCUACUAGGAUUGUUAACAACAGUGAUUUCACACUCCUUUUUCUUUGUUUGAAUUCCUCUUGGUUUUUCAUGUAAAGCACAAAUGCUAGUUGUAUGCCCCAGAGCCAAACAUUUGAUGUACUUAAAUCUUUAGUAUUCAAUAAUACUGCAUAACUGUUGGUAUUUACAUGAAUGGUUCAUAAAAUUGAAGUGGAGAAGAAACUAUCUUAAGAGUUGAGAAUGAGUUUGGGUGGCUUGAGUGAAAAAACUUUAUCCAUCAACACAAGGAGAUGGUGAAGGCAUCUUAUUAUGGUGGGAUCAUUUGCAUCCUCCGGAGCCUUUUUUUUUUUUUUCGAAAUACGGCCAGAUUUUAAUCAUUAAACUAAGAAUGUAAACGCUAGAUCUGAAAGCAGAUUCAAGGAUUUCCAUAAAAAGCAUAAUCAACAUUACGUAGUUACAAACAUACAAGAUCCAUCCACAAUUGUUAUAUAUACAGCAGAAUCAGAGCAUCAUUGUUCCCUCACAGAUACACACAUCACCUUAACAUAUGCUUUUAUUCUUUUAUUGAAUUACACGGAGUUUCUGACUAUGUUUCUUUUUCUUUUAUUCUCUUAUUUGUUUAUGGAAUUACAUAUAUUACUUUGAAGCAGCAGACCCGGUAAAGGGUGCCUAGAAUGACACUUGAAUAUCAAGCAAUGUCAUCAACUGAGAAAUAAGCUCUGGUUGGCCAUGCCACGCUGCUGCGGUAACCAGAUUUCCAUCAGUGACACAACGAUCUAUUGGAUCCGCUUCCACAAAUGUCCCCCCUGACGAAACCACACGAGCCUUAAUCCCUGGGUAUCCAGUACAUUUCUUCCCCUGAAAUAUAGCCAAUUGAACCAAUUAUAUGACAUGAUAAAAAGUGCCUAAUCGGUUAAUAAGUACAUUAACCACUAAUCAAAAGAAACAGAAAAAAAUAUCAUCUCCUUUGCGAUUUUAAAGAGCACUCACCUCCCUCUUCCCCAUAGUUAUUUACAAUUGAGAGGUUAAUAGGUCACAACAGAUCAGCUCAACAGAACCAAAAUACAAAGCACUACCACUAUGUUUUUUUCUUAUACCUGCAGAACACCAGCAGCAACUAAAAUUUCCAGGCCAUGGCAGAUGGAUGCAACUGGUUUCCUGGCUUCCAUAAAUUGUUUCACUAGUACAAUAACAUCCUCCUUUAGUGCCAAAAACUCUGGAGCUUUACCUCCAGGGAGUACAAGAGCGUCAUAACUUGAGGCAUCUAUGGAUUCAAAGUCAGCUGUUAAAACAAAAUUAUGUCCCCGGAUCUCACUGUAGGUUUGGCCCCCUUCAAGAUCACGGAUAGCAGUUGGGCAGGUAUCACCGGCUUUCUUCUUGGGGCAAACCACAUCAACAUGGCAUCCUAGAACUUUGAGGGUCUGAUAAGGCACAGUUACCUCAUAAUCUUCCGCGUAGUUCUACAAAUAUUGGGAAGGGGAGCAAUUAAAUGAUGAUGAUUAGUAACUAACAGUUUAAUCAUUGGCUAUAUUUUGUCCCAUAUUUGUCAUUGCAAUAUAAAAGAAACAGAAAAGAAAGCUUACUCCAAUGAUGAUGAGGACCCUUCUCUCUGAAGCACAUAUGUUGCCUCCUAGUGCCUUGAGAAAAAGCCCAAUGAACUCAGGAUUGCCAUAAUAUGUGACCCCAGUAGUUAAAUUAUCAUCAGCAACACACACUGACAAUGUAUCGGGUUCUACCCAGUGAGCACCAGCAGCAACCAAUCCAGGUUUCAUAGUUGAAACCGCGGUGCAUUUGCGACCUUUAACAGCGCCUGCAGGUGCUAAGACCAACAGCCCAUGGCAAAUAGCAGCAAUUGGCUUUCUGGAGUCAGAAAAUUUUCUCGCCAAUUCUACAACGGAUGCCUUCAUAGCAAGAUGUUCAGGAGAUCGUCCUCCUGGUAUAACUAGACCAUCAUAUUUGUCAAAUUCGAUGUCAUCAAAUGUUGCAUUCAGUGUGAAAUUGUGACCACGAGAUUCUUUAUUAGCCUGUAACCAAAAAGGUACACGAAAGAAAACCAAACACAACACACACAUUAAAACAAGAGUAAUGGUUAGGGGAAUUCAAGCUUCUUUGUCUUGCUUGUCUCUCAAACUCAAACUCAUCAGAGGUUGUUUUCCAACAACUGUGUUCAAUAUUAAAUAUAUAAAACAUAUUCCUCUUGUUUACAAAUAAAAAAGAACAGGAAAGACAGGAAAGACAGAGUUUGACCUGGUCAGUGGACUCUACUUGAAUGGUUAUGGCAGUGGCGCAGAUAUCACCAGCUUUCUUGACAGGAGAAACUGCAUCAACAGAGACUCCAAAUGCCUGCAGUGCUUGAAAUGGGACCAUUGCCUCGUAAUCUUCCAUGUAGUCCCCGCACAGUAACAACACCCUCCUCUGCACCUCGCCUUUCGGAUUCCCCAUUUCUUUUCUUAUUUCCUUCUUUAGUUUCUUUCUUCUUUUUCACACAGAGAGAGUUUUCAGAGAGAUUUUUCAGAGAGAAAGAGAGAGGGAGAGAGUCUGAAUACAAGAAGGUAGGUUAUAGCUUGAGCUGCUCCGCUUUGCUUACUUAAAUACUCACAAAAGCGUUUUUGGAGGUUUGUGGAGUCAGCUCGAUACGGUCGCUCGCAAUUUGAGCAACACAUCGCAGUCAGUUAUCGUGGCAUCUCUCUAUUCGCCGCUUCUUUUCAGUUCGGAUAACUAUUCUAUUAGUUUCGAGCCUAUCACCGUCUCCAUGUUUGAUACGUUUUUUUGUUGUCUUCUUUACCGACCAAGUGAGUCUAAAUUAUUGAAACUUGAGUUUGUUCUCUUCACGGACCAAGUGGGUCUAAAUUAUUGGAGGAAGAUUGAAACUUGAGUUUGUUCUCUUCACGGACCAAGUGAGUCUAAAUUAUUGGAGGAUGAUUAAAACUUGCAAAGAGGCGGAUUUAUUCUCUUAUUGUGAAUACAAAUAAUGGUCUAAAUUAUUAGGGAAGUAUUCUAACUUGAGUGCAAAGAGCACAAAUUUAAGUGCAAAGGAGUGGACUCACUGUCUUAUUACGAGUGCAAAUGAUAAUCUAAAUUAUUAGAGAAAUAUUUAAAUUAUAUAGUGCAAAGAAGCGUACUCACUGUCUUAUUGUGAAUAUUCAAAUAUUCGAGCUCAAUGCUUCCUUUUCGAUUGAAAAAAAGAAGAAGCUCAAUGCUUCCAAGCCUAUACUAUAGAAAAGCUCUUUAGAGUCGUCAUCUUCUUCUUCUUGCCUUCAUUGUAGCACGUGUGUGGCCCAAUAGAAAAGCUCAAUGCUUCCAAGCAGGACCGGUCUUGAGAUUUUGAAGGCCCUGUGCAAAACCUUAAAUUGGGGCCUCACAUAAGCUAACACAAACUUACACCAUUAUGUAAUGCCAUACAAUAAAUUUUUUUUUUUUUUCAAGUGAUCAAAGUACCCCUACUCCCAAGGAAAAAAUUGAAAUUUCACAAAAGAAUUAAAUUGGAUUAAAUUGAUUACAUUGAGUCAGAGAUGUUACACCUUUUGAAUAAUCACCAUGAUUGUGACGAUGAGUCUUUGUCAUCAUAGGUCAUACUCAGAUAUUAAAUAUUUUUUAACACCUAAUUUAUUUUGUAUCAAUAUUCCAAGAACAUCAUUAAUUCGAUGCAAUUAUUUUGGUUGACUUAGUUGGAUGCAUUAUUUUUGCGAAAUUGAAUAUCUUAGCAUAAUUAUUGACUAAUUCAUUGUGAUCGGGUAUUUAUUAUUUCCGUUUGUGGUUGUGAAAGUAGAUGGGAUAUUGAAUGUUGGUGUUGACAUCGAACAAGCCUUUAACACAAGCAGAUUUUGAAGUCGAGUCCUGAAUAGAAGUUGAGGCCCUACAAACCAACACAACUAGAAACGUCUUUGUGUCAACAAUUUGCUCACUCUGUAUAUAUAUAACAUUUGUUAUACAUAUAGAGUGCUGCUAUUUCCACCCACUUGUCCUAUUUUCUCACCCACUAUGUAAAUUUGAAAAAUUAAAAUCCUACUUUUCCACCCAACAUUAUUCCUAAAAAACCCUUUAAUUAUUAAUUCGACCAAACACCAUCAACUCCAAGUUAAAAACAUAAAAAUUUUAAUCCAAAAAAAAAAAAAACAUUUUUCAUCUUCUUCAUGUGUUUUCAACAUCACGACCUUACCCUACCAUAUUAAUAUUCUCAUAAACCCCUUAGCAGUACUGGUGGCUUCACGACCACGACACCACCACCACAACAACAUACAACCAACAAGACUACAAUGGAUUUUUAAUUGAAGUGAUGUUAUAUGGAAUAAGGACCCGUAUGUGGGUUAAUCAGACUAAAAAAUCUUUAAAAUGGAAUAAAAUUAUAGGACAAUUUGGCCUCUAUUAUCAACACCUACCAACCCUGACACAAUAUUAAAGGUGGAGUUGAGAAUUUGAUUUGAAUUUUUUUUUAAAAACUUUUCAAAUGAUUGAGAUGGGUAGAUCAAUGCUCGCUGAAUUUGUUGAGGCCAGGAAGAUGGAAAGAAUAUGGAGAGUAAAAGAAAAAAUUUAUUUUCUUUUUAAAAUUUGUUUUAUUUUUAGGGUUUUAGAAGUCAUUUUACAUAGGGAUAAAUUUGUCUUUAAAUUUUUUAAAAUAAGGUGGGUGGAAAAAUAUGAGGUGGGUGAAAAUAGCUGUACUCUACAUAUAUUAUACACAUGAAAAAAAAUUGGGGCCCCUAAAAAAUUAAGGGCCCUGUGCCGUGGCACCACUUGCACACCCUCAGGACCACCCCUGCUUCUAAGCUAAUGUCCCUAUACUAUAUUAAAGCUCUUUAGAGUCCUCAUCUUCCUCUUGCCUUCAUUGUAGCACGUGUGUGGCCCAAUAGAAAAGCUAAUGUCCCUAUACUAUAAGGACCAUGCGGAUAAAUAAAUGUAAUGUUUAUCUCUGACAGGUCAUGCUUUUUGAGCCGUGAUAUUUUUGGAAUAGCGUUCGCGUGCAUUUUACCUGGACUGCCAUGUUGAUUUUCACCAGAGCAGCAAAGCUGCUUGCUUUGUGUUAUGAGGUCUGGUUUUGUUAACAAACUAUAUUGCUUGACCUAGAAGAAAAUGCAAUAUCAUGUGGAUCCUCAUUUCGCAGUUGCAUGAGGAUGGUUGUGAAAAUACAAGAGCUAAUUCUGGACAACAUGAUAUUUGUGGGAGCGAUUUCUUCCCACGAGAAUAUUCAAUUGAAAGAUUUCUCUUUCAUCUUCGCCGCCCCUUUCUCAUUGCAAAAUAGAUCGAAACAAGAGGACCACACUCGUGAGGUGUUGGCCAAAAGCCCUCAGAUGCCUAAGUUAGUUCAAUUGAUUCGUAGAGAAAACAAUAGCUAAAUAGGGUACGGAGAUAUAUAUAUAUGUAAGGUGAAAACCGGAUGGCCGGAGCCGUGAGUGGUGGUCGGAGCCUUGUGUAAAAGGAAGAGAGAGUAUGGCGGCUAAGGUUUGUGAGGGAUAAUUUCUGCAGAGUUUCAGUAAGAAUUUAGACGUACCUAAACCCUUGUACGUAGCCAUUUAUUUACAGGGGCCUCAGAGGCUAGGGUUUUAGAGGAAUAAUUCCGCAUAUGGAAAUGAAUUAUUCCUCCCUGAUUUGGCGAGAUUGGCUUAAUUAGGGAUUUGAAUGUAGGAAUCAAAUCAAUCCCAAUUAAAUUAGCAACUCUGGUUGGCCAUGCCACGCUGCUGCGGUAACCAGAUUUACAUCAGUGACACAACGAUCUAUUGGAUUCGCUUCCGCAAACGUCCCCCCUGACACAACCACAUGAGCCUUAAUCCCUGGGUAUCCAGUAAAUUUCUUCCCCUGAAAUAUAGCCAAUUAAACCAAUUAUGUCAUGUUAAAAAGUGCCUAAUCAAGAAAUAAGUACAUUAACCACUAAUCAAAAGAAACAGAAAAAAUAUUAUCUCGUUUGCGAUUUUAAAGAGUACUCACCUCCUUCUUCCCAAUAGUUAUUUACAAUUGAGAGGUUAAUAGGUCACAACAGAUCAGCUCAACAGAACCGAAAUACAAAGCACUAGAUGUAACCUUUUUUACUUCCUUUUCAAGUUCAAUCGAUAAAGUAUUUCAAUCUGUUUUACUUUAUCUUUAAUAAGUAGCAUUAAAACUGGAAGCAUUAUAUUAAUGUUUUAGUGACAAACGUUUAACCACUAAAAUGCAGGUAGGAUAUAUGUUUUUUCUUUAAGACCAUACCUGCAGAACACCAGCAGCAACUAAAAUUUCCAGGCCAUGGCAGAUGGAUGCAAUUGGUUUCCUGGCUUCCAUAAAUUGUUUCGCUAGUACAAUAACAUCCUCAUUUAGUGACAAAACCUCUGGAUCUUUUCCUCCAGGGAGUACAAGAGCGUCGUAACUUGAGGCAUCUACGGAUUCAAAGUCAGCUGUUAAAACAAAAUUUUGUCCCUGCGUUUCACUGCAGGUUUGGGCCCCUUCAAGAUCACGGAUAGCAGUUGGGCAGGUAUCACCGGCUUUCUUCUUGGGGCAAACCACAUCAACAUGGCAUCCUAGAACUUUAAGGGUCUGAUAAGGCACAGUUACCUCAUAAUCUUCCACGUAGUCCUACAAAUAUUACAAAUAUUGGGGAGGGGAGCAAUUAAAUGAUAAUGAUUAGUAUCUAACAGUUUGAUCAUUGGCUAGAAGCCUAAAACCAUGAACUUGUCGUGGCGAAACUGGUAAAGCCGACUCGGGCUUUCUCCCCUUUCUCUUUUAAUAAUAUUAAGGUUGGUUGUCACUUGAACUUGAGCAUACUAUUUUGUCCUAUAUAUGUCAUUGCAAUAUUAAAGAAAAAGAAAAGAAACCUUACUCCACAGAUGAUGAGGACCCUUCUCCCAGAACCAGAUAUGUUGCCUCCUAGUGCCUUGAGAAAAAGCCUAAUGAACUCAGGAUUGCCAUAAUACGUGACCCCAGUAACUAUAUUAUCAUCAACAACGCCCACUGACAAUGUAUCGGGUUCUACCCAGUGAGCACCAGCAGCAACCAAUCCAGGUUUCACAGUUGGAAACGCUGUGCACUUGCGACCUUUAACAGCGCCUGCAGCUGCUAAGACCAACUGCCCAUGGCAAAUAGCAGCAAUUGGCUUUCUGGAGUCAGAAAAUUUUCUCACCAAUUCUACAACCGAUGCAUUCAUAGCAAGAUGUUCAGGAGAUCGUCCUCCUGGUAUAAGUAGACCAUCAUAUUCGUCAAAUUCAAUCUCAUCAAAUGUUGCAUUCAGUGUGAAAUUGUGACCACGAGAUUCGGUAUAAGCCUGUAACCCAAAAAGGUACGUACGUCCGUACAGAAAACCAAACCAAACACACACAUUAAAACAGGAGUAAGGGGAUACAAAAUAAAUAAAUGAACAGGAAAGACAGAGUUUGACCCGGUCAGUGGACUCCACUUUAAUGGUUAUGGCUGUGGCGCAGAUAUCACCCGCUUUCUUGCCAGGAGAAACUGCAUCAACAGAGACUCCAAAUGCCUGCAGUGCUUGAAAUGGGACCAUUGCCUCGUAAUCUUCCAUGUAGUCCCCGCACAGUAACAACACCCUCCUCUGCUCCUCGCCUUUCGGAUUUCCCAUUUCUUUUCUUAUUUCCUUCUUUAGUUUCUUUCUUGCUUUUUCUUUCUUCUUUCUUCUUUCUUCUUUUUCAGAGAGAGAGAUGGUCUAAUAAAGGAAGGAAGGCCUGCUUUAAAUACUAAUACUCACACAAGCGUUUUUGGAGGUUUGUGGAGUCAGCUAGACACGUCGCAGUUAGUUAUCGUGGCAUCUCUUUCUAUUCCUCUCUUCUUUUCAGUUCGGAUAACUAUUCAAUGAGUUUCGAGCCAAGUUUGAUAUUCUCUGUUGUCUUAUAAUUAUUCGAGGAAGAUUCAAACUUGUAAUGUUUAUCUCUAACAGGCAUGGACAAUAAAUGUAAUGUUUAUCUCUAACAGGUAUGGAUAGUUUCGAAUAGCGUGCGCGUUGAUUGUACCUCGACUGCCAUGUUGAUUUUCACCAACGCAGCAAAGCUGCUUGCUUGGUGUUAUGAGGUCUGGUUUUGUCAACAAACUAUAUUAAUUGACCCAAAAGAAAAUGCAAUAUAAUGUGGAUCCUCAUUUCGCAGUGACAGGAUGGUUGUGAAAUACAGGCUAACUUUGGGCAACAUGAUAUUCAAAAGAAAAUUCAAUAUCUUGUCGAUCCUCAUUUUGCAGUUACAGGAUGGUUGUGAAAGUAUAAGCUAACUCUGGACAACACGAUAUUCAAAAGAAAAUGCAAUAUCUUGUCGAUCCUCAUUUCCCAGUUGCAGGAUGGUUGUGAAAGUAUAAGCUAAUUCUAGACAACUGAUAUUCAUUCAGGUAAAACUUCGAGGUGUACGAUGAGAGAGAGAGAAACCAAGGGGGCCGAUGACUAAUAAAGCAUAAGUAGUAUAAUACAAGCUUCAUCCACAACCAAACUUGCAUGGAACAUGGCAUAUACAUAUCGAGACCAGAAUCAUUUGUUCCCUCAUAUAUACAAACGUCACCUUAACAUAACACAACAUACAUGCCUUAUUCUUUCAUGAAUUACAUAUAGUACAUGCAAGCAGCUGACCCAAUAAACAGCAAAUGAUACUCGAAUAUCAAGCAAUGUCAUCAACUGAGAAAUGAACUCUGGGUUGCCCAGUCCAAAUUUCCAUCUGUGAAGCAAUGAUCUAUUGGAUCAGGUUCCAGCCAUGUUGCUCUUGACAAAACCGCAUUAAGCUUCACCGCUGGAUACGCAGUACAUUUCUUUCCCUAAAAUGAAGCAUACCACCAAAACAUUGAAAAUACACAUAGGAAUGAAUGAUGGAACCCUAUCACACCAGAAUUGUGGCAAAUCUGGUGAAGCCUAUUCAGGUUAUUUUCACUAUAUAUCUUUCAGAAGUAUCUGUAAUGGGGCAAAUCUCCAUCAAUUCUCUUCUUUUCACUUUAUCUUUAUGCCCAUUCAUGCAUGUACAUAUUAUAGGAAGAAGUUUUUGACAUAUGGCAUGUAUUGUGUGUCAAAUGUAUACCGAUUCAUGAAGACAGGUUCAACAGCACAUACACCAUUUUGACCUUAUUCAUUUAUUUUUGUUUAUUCUGGGUUACUGCAAUUUGAAUCACAUUAAAAAACAAAUACUGAACAGUGAUAUAUUCAAUAUUGAUUGGCAUCACAACUUCAUAUUUCUCAUUGCACUACGAAGGAAAAUAAAAAUUACCCCACAGAGAAACAGGAUCCUCCUAUCUGAACCAGUUAUGUUACUUCCUAUAGUGCCUUCAAAAAAGACUAAUGAACUCAGGAAGGCCUUCAUAUGUAGCCCCAGUUAUUAUAUUACCAUCAACAACACACGCCACCAUGGUCACGGGCUCCACCCAAUAAGCACCUGCAGGCUGCAGCAACAAGUACAGGUCUGACAGCUGGGAAGGCCGUUAUAUUUUAAAGGCAUCGCGGCGGAGCUAUACUCUAUAAUCAAAAUAGAAAAUCUAAAACGUAUAGCCGUUCGGCUAUACUCUAUAAAUAUAACUCCAUAAAUAGAAUAUCAUAAACAUAUAGCCGCGCGGCUAUAUGCGAUAAAUAGAAUAUUUCAAACGUAUAGCCGAUUGGCUGUACCCUAAAAUAGAACAUUUUAAAAGUAUAGCCGAUCGGCUGUACUCUAUUAGAAGAUCUUCAAAAAAUACAGAAAACCCAAAAACAUUUUAAAACAAAGGGGGACCAGAAAGACAUAUAUAGCAUUUGAAGAUUUGUAAAUUAAACACAGAUAAGAUUAUUUUCACUUAGAGACGAAGGCACUAAUGCAAUUUUGUUUAUUGAAUAUGGUGUACGCAGUGACGUUGGAGCCAAGAAUUUGUUCACGCUGUCUUUUCCCCAGAACUCAAAGCUCAAUACAGGUCGGUUCUCUAGCUCAUAAUGAAUGAGCAAAGCACUCUAACAAAACUCCUAACAUGUGUUCUUGUUUGAGCUUACUUUAGUCUCGCUGUCCACACAACCUAGAAACUAUGACCUACGGAUUGCUAUUUGUCAAUCUAAUAGAGUGGCUCUAAUCAACAGUAAAACUUAAUUCAUUUUGUCUAUUAUUAACGCUACCAACCACUGGCUGAUGCAAAAACCUAAACUUGUAAACUUGACAAACUUAUUUCCAGUCCCAACAUAUUCCAAAUUUUAGAGGAGGCAGCAUAAUCCCAUAUGUGAGAAUUGUAAGCACUUCAAUCUUUGAGACAAAUUUCUUGUUUUGGGUUUACAAAUUCAAGUGAAGUAAGCAUUCAAUCUUCAAUCCAAUUGAGUGUGCUUGAUUACAGAGCAUGGAAAGACCAAUUGACAGUGCUCAAAUGAUGUAAUGAGGCUAAAGAAUAAAUUUUUAUCAUAUAAUCAUUAAAUAUGUUCACUAAAAGAUGUGUCAUCGUUAUAUGUAAAAUUUUUAGAAAUAUAUAAACUAGCUAGGAUUUACGUGAAUUCGAAUUUGAAUACAUGAAAUAUUAUUACCUACUACAUCAUUUGAUGAACAGAUUUGAUGUUCCUAACAAUUCUAUGCGUACUAGUAAAGUACUUUGUCUUUAAUUUGGAAGUACCCGAAAGCAUAAUGUUUUUCAUAUAUUAUCUGGCAGGAGGCAAUUCAAGAAAAAAAGCCAUCAUUAUUGGAGUCGUAGUUGGAGGUGUAGGUCUUUUUAUUCUCAUUGUUGGAGUUUUUCUCUAUUUUAAACUUUCAAGAAAGCCCGAGGCUGCAACAACCACAGAAUUCGAAGUUGCACUUCCUCUUGCAUAUAUACUAUUACAGUCAUGAUUUCUUGGAUUACAAGUACAAGGGUUUAAGAGAUUUGUGAUCACUCACCGUUGGAUGUAAAUUCAACGGUUCACUCACUCUUGCACUUCUUUUAAGAAAUUUUUUUGAACCAUUGGAUUAAUAUCUAACGGUGGGUGACCACAAUCUCUUGGACUCCUGUAUUCCAAGAGAUCGGAUUGUAUACUAUAAGUCCUGAUCUCUUAGACUACAAGAGUACAAGAGAUUUGUGGUCACUCACCGUUGGAUAUAAAUUCAACGGUUCACUCAUUAUUGCACUCCUUUUAAGAAACUUUUUUGAACCAUUGGGAUUAAUAUCCAACCGUAAGUGACCACAAUCUCUUGGACUCCUGUAGUCCAAGAAAUUUGUGGUCACUCACCGUUGGGAUGUAAAUUCAACGGUUCACUCACUCUUGCACUCCUUUUAAGAAACGUUUUUGAACCAUUGGAUUAAUAUCCAACAGUGGGUGACCACAAUCUCUUGGACUCCUGUAGUCCAAGAGAUCGGGACUGUAUACUAUUAGUCCUGAUCUCUUGGACUACAAGGGUCCAAGAGAUUUGUGGUCACUCACCGUUGGAUGUAAUUCAAUUAGCUCAUGCUCUAACCAUGUAUAUAUAUAAACAUAAAAAAUUUAAAAAAAUUUGGUAUUAGACAUAAUUAUCUUUACUAAUUAGUAUUCGAGAUAAACAAUAUUUAUGUUUUAGUUUUAAUACAUAGGAAUUGAAUUUUGUUUUGGAUUUGGACAAAGAGGAGGCCCAGAUUCAUUAGCCCACCUUAUAUUAAUCACUAAUUUUAAUUUAAAAACCUGACUCAAAUUCAUUGGUUUACCUUUUUUUUAAGAGUGCUACUAAACGAACCCUAACAUUAACUGAGUACACCCUAUGAUCUAAGUACACCCUGAUAUUUUAAUUUAAAUGUAAAAUUAACUAAGCACACCCUAUAGAACUACCAAAAAUAUCUCUGGUACACCAUAAUAUUUGUAGCAUUAUUUUAUAGUUGAUUUUUAGCUUGAUUUUUUUAAUAGUGUUUAUAAAUCUUUGACUUUUCAUAUGGAUUUAUGCUUCUACUAAAAUUGUUGACACUUUUUUUGCAAUUUCAAGUUCUUGCAAUCACCACCUCUUUCGUUAAUAAUGAUUUUUUUAUGCAUGUUUCAGUUAUAUACUACUAUGCUACUGUGAAAUUUAUUUGUUCUCAACGAAGUUAAAAACAAGCUAAACAAAUAGAGACACUUUCGCAAAAGACACCUCGUUUGUGAUAAAUUCGUUUUUGUAGUCUAAAACACAUUGUUUAUUGAUGUCGGUGUCUUGCUUAGAUACAUCUUCUAGAUGCUGUAAAAAAAAAAACCUCAUAUUUGUCAUUUUUCGGUACACAUGCUUUAGCCUAAACCAAAAAAAAAAAUCAAAGUUAAUACCUCUUUUGAUGACUUCCUCAAAAUAUAUGAAGCAUCCAUUCCAAAAUUUCAAAAGUAACCCAACUUGCAAAUCUGCAUAAAAACAUAAGAGAAAAACAAUAAGAAAGGUGCAUGAGUGGCAAACGAAAGUCACUGCAAACUUCAUCAAAUUGGCCCUAGUAGUACUAAUUAAGAUAUUUUUAAUCAUACACGCUCACAAGCCAGAAAAACUAAGUCCUAAAAGAGGGAUGAAGAUGCUGCCACCACAAUUUUCAUUCAUGUUGUUAGUGAACUAGGCAAAAGUAAUAUGCAUAAAUUCUAUUUUUACAGUAUAUAAGUCAAUUCACCAUAAUAUUUUUUUGACAACUUAUUGGAUUGUCAGGAAUUCAAUGAUCAAUCAGGCCUUCACAUAAUCUCCACCGCUGCACUUCCUUUUGGACCUUGAGAAGAAGCAGAUUUGAGCCCAAGUCUUCUUCUGCUUAGCAGGUUGUGCUUUAACUUCUCUUUUCACGACAAGCUCAAUCAUGUAUUGAACAACAGCCUAAGAUUAUAUUUGCUCCAAACCAUUCUGACUCGCAGAUCACAAAGAUGAGAACCAAAUAAUCUCUUGAGUAGGGUUGAAUACGAUUAGUAGGGUGUACUUAUUAAAAUUAUAUUUGUUUCACAAUUUCAUAUAUCAUUUUUGGUCAUUUUAUAUUAGAGUAAAUCAGUAAUUCAAUAUAUGCUUUUGUAGUAGGGUGUACUCAGUUAAUUUUAGGGUUCGUUUAGCAGCACUCUUUUUUAAUCAUAUCAGAUCUGCUAUCAUCAAUCCAAGAUCAAGAGACCGAUCUGCGAUGCAAUUCUCAACCAUCUCCCUCCUCUACCCAACCCCCCCCCCCCAACCCCCCAAAAAAAAGGUUUGGGAAAGUCCCAAAAACUAAAAAACAGAUUUCUUCAGAUACAAAAAAAUUUAAAAAAAGAGGAGAGGAUAUGAAAGACGCAGAAAAUCGNNNNNNNNNNNNNNNNNNNNNNNNNNNNNNNNNNNNNNNNNNNNNNNNNNNNNNNNNNNNNNNNNNNNNNNNNNNNNNNNNNNNNNNNNNNNNNNNNNNNNNNNNNNNNNNNNNNNNNNNNNNNNNNNNNNNNNNNNNNNNNNNNNNNNNNNNNNNNNNNNNNNNNNNNNNNNNNNNNNNNNNNNNNNNNNNNNNNNNNNNNNNNNNNNNNNNNNNNNNNNNNNNNNNNNNNNNNNNNNNNNNNNNNNNNNNNNNNNNNNNNNNNNNNNNNNNNNNNNNNNNNNNNNNNNNNNNNNNNNNNNNNNNNNNNNNNNNNNNNNNNNNNNNNNNNNNNNNNNNNNNNNNNNNNNNNNNNNNNNNNNNNNNNNNNNNNNNNNNNNNNNNNNNNNNNNNNNNNNNNNNNNNNNNNNNNNNNNNNNNNNNNNNNNNNNNNNNNNNNNNNNNNNNNNNNNNNNNNNNNNNNNNNNNNNNNNNNNNNNNNNNNNNNNNNNNNNNNNNNNNNNNNNNNNNNNNNNNNNNNNNNNNNNNNNNNNNNNNNNNNNNNNNNNNNNNNNNNNNNNNNNNNNNNNNNNNNNNNNNNNNNNNNNNNNNNNNNNNNNNNNNNNNNNNNNNNNNNNNNNNNNNNNNNNNNNNNNNNNNNNNNNNNNNNNNNNNNNNNNNNNNNNNNNNNNNNNNNNNNNNNNNNNNNNNNNNNNNNNNNNNNNNNNNNNNNNNNNNNNNNNNNNNNNNNNNNNNNNNNNNNNNNNNNNNNNNNNNNNNNNNNNNNNNNNNNNNNNNNNNNNNNNNNNNNNNNNNNNNNNNNNNNNNNNNNNNNNNNNNNNNNNNNNNNNNNNNNNNNNNNNNNNNNNNNNNNNNNNNNNNNNNNNNNNNNNNNNNNNNNNNNNNNNNNNNNNNNNNNNNNNNNNNNNNNNNNNNNNNNNNNNNNNNNNNNNNNNNNNNNNNNNNNNNNNNNNNNNNNNNNNNNNNNNNNNNNNNNNNNNNNNNNNNNNNNNNNNNNNNNNNNNNNNNNNNNNNNNNNNNNNNNNNNNNNNNNNNNNNNNNNNNNNNNNNNNNNNNNNNNNNNNNNNNNNNNNNNNNNNNNNNNNNNNNNNNNNNNNNNNNNNNNNNNNNNNNNNNNNNNNNNNNNNNNNNNNNNNNNNNNNNNNNNNNNNNNNNNNNNNNNNNNNNNNNNNNNNNNNNNNNNNNNNNNNNNNNNNNNNNNNNNNNNNNNNNNNNNNNNNNNNNNNNNNNNNNNNNNNNNNNNNNNNNNNNNNNNNNNNNNNNNNNCCCCCCCCCCCCCCCCCCCAAAUAACACUGUUCGGACCAUCCUCAACACCCCAACACACGUCGCCCUCAAGUCCGAAGAACUUAUAAGAAUGGAGCAGGAAUUGAUAGUCCGCGAAAUCGAAAUGCGGAAAGCCAAAGAGGAUCUCAACCGUCGGAUUCACAAUGAUCAGGUCGCGAGGGAGAUCAUGAAGAUUCCAUAGGACGAGUGGCAAGAGUCUGGCCAACUCUUCGCCAAACCCUUCGGUGUAGGCUCCUCCUCAUCGUCGUCGACGAAGAGGGUCAAGAGUGAAAGAGUGUUCUAUCAGAUUGGUCAAAAAAUAAUACUUCAUUUAUCUUAAUAUAUAACAAAUAGGAAGGUUAUAUAUACAAAGCCUAGGAAACUAUUCUAGGAAAGUAAUUAUGUUCCUAUAAUCUUGCAUAAUCAAAUAGUUGACUUAGACUAAUUAGGAAUGUACAGCUCAUUGACACUCCCCCUCAAGUUGGAGCAUAUAUGUCGUCAAUGCCCAACUUGCUAAAUGAGCUGUGAAAUACCCUGCCUGUGACUGCUUUGGUAAGGACAUCUGCAAGUUGAUCUUCGGAUUUAACAAAUGAUACCUUAAUGAUCUUUGCCUCGAGCUUCUCCUUGAUGAAAUGUCUGUCAACUUCAACAUGCUUGGUUCUAUCAUGUUGCACUGGAUUAUGUGCAAUGUCUAUUGCAGCUUUGUUGUCACAAUUCAGUUGCAUGGCAUGUUUGGGUUUGAACCCCAAUUCCUCCAACAAAUUCCUUAUCCAGAGUAGCUCACAUACUCCGUGCGCCAUACCUCGAUAUUCUACUUCAGCACUUGAUCUUGACACUACUUUCUGUUUUUUACUUCGCCAAGAUACUAGAUUGCCUCCUACAAAGGUAAAGUAUCCAGAUGUAGAUCGCAUGUCAGUAACAGAGCCCGCCCAGUCUGCAUCAGUGUGACCCUCAACAUCUAGAUGACCAUGUCGUGCGAACAUCAAUCCUCUUCCAGUAGAUGACUUCAAGUAUCUCAAAAUUCGGUUUACCGCAUCCAUGUGGGCUUCACUUGGUGCAUGCAUGAACUGACUCACCAUACUUACAGCAUAUGCUAUAUCAGAUCUAGUGUGUCCUAGAUAGAUUAACUUACCCACAAGGCGUUGAUAUCUUUCUUUGUUGGUGGGUACUUGAUCAGGAUAUUCACCAAGCUGAUGAUUCAACUCCAUUGGCGUAUCUGCUGGUUUGCUGGCUAACAUUCCAGUGUCAGUCAAAAUGUCAAGGAUAUAUUUCCGUUGUGAUAGAAAUAUUCCUUGUUCUGAACGAGCCACUUUGAUGCCUAGGAAAUACUUCAGAGCACCAAGAUCUUUCAUUUCAAACUCACUUGCCAAGUGGUGCUGCAAUGCUGCCUUUUUCACUAGGUCAUUCCCGGUAACUACCAUGUCAUCAACAUAUACAAUAAGGGCAGUGACAUUACCUUUCUUAUGUUUCAAGAAAAGAGUAUGAUCUGAGUUACUUUGCUUGUAUCCAAAAUCCUUCAUUGAUUUGCUGAACUUGUCAAACCAUGCUCUGGGUGACUGCUUCAAGCCAUAAAGAGACUUUCUCAGUUUACACACCAUGUUGCUAGUAUUGGGCCCCAUCUUGCAUCCUGGAGGGGAAUCCAUAUAGACUUUUUCUUCUAGGUCGCCGUGCAGGAAGGCAUUUUUGACAUCAAACUGGUGUAAUGGCCAGUUUAGGUUUGCUGCCAGAGAAAAAAGUACUUGAAUUGUGUUUAUCUUGGCUACAGGGGCAAAUGUUUCCCUAUAGUCAAUCCCAUAAGUCUGAGUAUAACCUUUCGCCACCAAUCUUGCUUUGUAUCGUUCAAUGGUGCCAUCUGCCUUGAAUUUUAAUGUAUAUAUCCAUCUACAACCCACUGUUCUCUUUCCUUUGGGAAGGAUAGUCAUCUUCCAAGUGGAAUUCUUCUGGAGGGCCUCCAUUUCAUCAUUCAUCGCUUGAGUCCACUUGGGAUCUUUCAGAGCUUCCUACACAUUACUUGGAAUAGAUACAGUGGAUAAUUGACAUACAAAUGAUGCACAUGACGGAGACAACCUAUGUAGGGACACAUGAUUAGCAAUAGGGUAUUUAACUUUUGUUUUUGGGUCCGGGUCAUACUGUUGUCUAGGAAUCCCUCUAGUGGUACGAAUAGGUAACUGAUAACCUGUGUUUCCUGUAUGACUCGACUCAUGUAAAGUACUUAAGUUGGAGUUUAAAUGCUCAGUUACCUGCGGGGAAUCUUCAGGACCUGAUUGGAUGAUUGGUGAUGGUACUGUAGUUGGAGGGAAAUUAUCUGAACCAUCAUCUGGAGUUUCUAGUAACUCUUGAUCUUGUUGCACUACUGUAGCUGGUUGCUCGGAUACUGACUGCUCUAAAAUAGUUUGUUGAAUUUGGAUGCUCUGAGUAUCUUCUGCAAAGAUAGAGCUCUCCCCCUGCAGAGGAUGCUCAGAAACUCCCCCUGAGUAAUAGAACUCACUCUCGUGGAAAGUCGCAUCUGCGGUAACAUGCAUGGUCUGAGUGGGAUGAUGGAAACACUUAUAGCCCUUCUGAGUGUCAGCAUAACCCACAAAGACACAACGCAGUGCACACGGAUCAAGCUUGCCACGCUGAUGUGGAUACACCUGAACAUAAGCAACACAACCAAAGAGACGUGGUUCGAGAUUUGGUGUGGAUGGCAUGGUGAGGAGAGUGGUCAAUGUCUGAAAUGGAGUUUGAUACUGAAGAGUGCUGGAUGGGGUUUUAUUAAUGAGGUAAGCAGCAAAACAAAGAACCUCCCCCCAAAAAUGAUGAGGCAUACGGGCCUCAAAUAAAGAGGCACGAACAACCUCCAAGAGAUGACAAUUCUUACGCUCUGCGACGCCAUUCUGUUGUGGUGUAUAGGCACAUGUGGUUGAUGAACAAUUCCAUGUUGACUUAAAAAAAUUAUAUAGGUCUUGGUUGACAUACUCUCCUCCAUUGUCAGAUCGAAGCAUGGUGAUUUUCUUGUCAAACUGAGUAGCAACAUAUUGAUAAAAUAACUUGAAUUUGGCGGUGACUUUACUUUUCUGCUUUAAGGGAAAAACCCAGGUCAUCCGGGUGCAAUCAUCAAUAAACGUCACAAACCACUUAAAACCGCUAAUAGUAGGAACUCGUGAUGGUCCCCAAACAUCAGAAUGGACAAUCAUGAAAGGCAAAGAACUUUUAUUCAAUCUUAAUGGGUAAGAAAUACGAUGACUUUUGGCCAAAAUGCAAGUUUCACAAUGAAAGUCUGAUUCAGCAAACUGGGAAAAUAAAUCUGGAAAUAAAAGUUUCAGAUGACCAAAAGAAGCAUGCCCUAAUCGUCUAUGCCAUAGCCAAAUUUUCUUCAUCCUGAUAGACUCAUCUCCUCUCACAUGAUGUGUCUGACUCAAUCUUGUACUGCUGUCUUCUGUCAAGUCCAGAUAAUACAACUUUCCCCUCCUAGUACCACAUCCAAUCACGGUCCUGGUGAGAAGAUCCUGAAAUAGACAAUACAAUGGCCAAAAACACAUAGUACAAUUAAGGGAAUCAAUGAUUUGAGGAACAUAUAACAAGUCAUAGUCGAGUGAAGGGACAACUAAGACAUGAUCAAGACUUAAUGAAGAUGUAAGAGAUAAAGACCCUUCUCCCAUAACUUGGGAGGUGGUUCCAUUGGCACUGGUAAUAUGUGUUUGGCUUGAUGGUUUGGUAGAGUGCAACCCAGUAAAACUAGAUGUCAUGUGAUCAGUAGCGCCAGUGUCAAUAAUUCAUGAUCUAUUACAAAUAAGUGAAGAUGUGCAAGAGGUACCUGAGGUGGCCAAGGCCUUGGAGCCAGAUGUACCUGAUGGAGGUUCUGAUGCAGUCUCCUUGGAUGACUGAGCGGAUGCAAAUGAGGCUCUGGUAGAAUCCUUUUUUCGCCCUUUGUGGACCCAUCCUUCUGGAUAACCAAUGAUCUCAUAACAGCCCUUAAUUGUGUGGUUAUCUAAACCACAUUUGGUACACUUCAUUGGAGGCCAGUUACAAGUAGGGUCGACACUAUAGUUGUUCGGCCGAGAUUGUUUGGACCUCGCAGUAGCCAAGGCCGUGGCUUCAGAGGUUACACCAACUUCAGACAUGGUUCCCUGUCGGUUACUUUCUCUUUUAAUAUGUGCAUAUGCGGCCUCCAAUUCGGGUUUUGGCUCCAUCCGCAAAAUCUCUCCUCGGAUUUGAUCGAAAUUAUUGUCCAAACCUGCAAGAAAUAUAUAAACUCGGAGACGAUCAACCUCUUUGCGUCUAGUCUCAAUGUCUUUCGGAUGCUCCAUGGUGCUUGGACUUAAUUGAUCAAGCUCCUGAAAAAUCUCAGUGAGCUCACUGUAAUAUUUGGCAACUGAUGCGCCAGCUUGCUUCAUUAUUAAUGACCAUCUGUGAAGGUCAUAAAUCUUGGCUUCAUCAGCACCAUUUGAAUAGGUUUGCUUGAUUGCGGCCCAAACUUGCUUUGCUGUGUCAUAACGAAUAAAUCGUUUAAUCUGAUUAGGUUGCAUGGCGUCGAACAACCAACUCUUGACUUGGCAAUCCGAUGCAUGCCAUUUAUUAAAUGUGGGAUCUGUGUCUGUAGGUUGGGCAAUAUCACCGGUCAAGUGGCCAUGUUUUUCUCGCCCAGCUAUCUUCAUCUCUAUGAUUUGAUGCCAUAGAGAAUAAUUAUUCUCAUCCGAUUUGAUUCCUGCGGAGAAGUUGGAGGUGUCACUCUGUAAAGUGACGAUUUGUGUGGUAGUUUUGGAGCCUCCCGACACCAAGGAUUGAUUGGUGUUUGCUGACCCGUCAUCGUUGGCCAUGAUAUUGGCUGACAACCAAUGAAAAAAGGACAAAAAAGAAAUAUCAAGUUGAGGAAAAGCAAGUGAACGGUGGACAAAGGCAAUAAGAAAUAUUGGGUUGAAAGGGAAAAAAAGAACAAGGGGAACGGUUUGAAUGGGUCUGUGAGUGGAUCUGUGAGUGGAAAGUGAUUUGCAAUAUUGCAAAACGUGAUUUGACUAGAGGAAAGGUUUGAAUGGGUUUGUAAGAUGGAAUAUGGGUGGUAUUGGUGCUGGGUUUGUGAGAUGGAAUAUUGCUUUUGGUGCUGGUGCUGGUGCUGCGUACUAGAUGGAAUAUUGCAAAACAGUGAUUUGAGAUGGAAUAUGUGACAGGACCCACCCCGGAAUUUCCACAAAACCGGGGCGAAUCCAGUCUUUGUUCCGACAUCACCCCGAUGUCGGGCCCACUUACUAGAAACCGAGACUUCCUGCCGAAAUUUCGGCAGAGUCUCCCUUAUGAAUUGGACAAACCAACAAAAUUCAACCUGCAUAAAAAUAUAGAAUAAUCCCAACCAGCAGCAUGCUUUACAGCGAAUAAACAGUUUACAACAAAAUGGCCUCCGGCCUCACAAUUCAGACCCUAACAGGGCGAUAACAGAGCAUGUCUAAGAACUUCAAUUUCAACAAAACAGAGUACAAAGGAAAUAACAGGAAGAAAGAGUCCUACGAUGACUCAAGGCUCAAAAGCUCACGAUCCGGCUCUGCUGCGGAGCUCAGUCAACUACUGGCUGGGGGGCGCAAAACAGAAAAUUGUGAGUGGACAAAAAUAAAUUCAGUUCGGUGCAAACCAACGUAAUAUAACCCCACCGUUUAGAAAACCAUGCAAGAAAUACCAUGCAUCUCAAAACCGUCAUACACAAGUAUAUAUAUAUAUAUAUAUAUCAAAACAAAUCAAUACCAAAUGCCAAGUCCAAAAUUCAUAAAGAACACUUUACAAAACCCACCAUCCAAAAACUUAUAAAUCCCGCAACCAAACUCUCGAAAGCGUACCCAUUGGCACGACCGGCAAGGAAGUAUCCACACCGAGAAACAAGAAUGAAUGAAUAGAUAUAUAAUUAUAUAAUAUAAGAGAUAUAUGUAUAUAUAGUAUAAAUAUAACCAUCACCUAGUUGUACCGGGGAAACAAUCCAACCGGGGGAUUGUUUGACUAGUCACCCUGGCAGAGUCCUCGUGAUGAGUCCUCAAUCCACCAUGUGACUAGGGAACGAGCCGUUUAACUGAGGGACCAACUCUCAGCCAGAACGUACAGUCGAUAACCUCAAAACCCGUACGUCUGUGAACAGUCCUACGCGUGCAGACUACCCAAUUAAGGGUCUACAGCAACAUCCCGUCAAGGAUGCCCCGGGUCCCGACAAUUCCAAGUAUCUCAAGUCUCCGUAUCCAAGUUCCACAUCCGGGGAGGUACAUAGGGUAGUGCUUACCGCACACCAAACUGACAUUCUAUACUCACCACUUUCCACAAUCUCAUCUCAACAACCCAAGUACCUCACACAUAACCAAAUAUAUAUAUAUAAAUCCCCAAAAUCCAUAUAUUCAUACUCAAGAUACUCAAAUACGUCAAAACCCAAAAUAUAUUUUCAGUGCCUCAUAAAAAUAUCACUUUCAACAAUUUCAUAAAUAAUAUAUUCAAAAUACCAUUUAAAACAUCAUGCAUAAUAUUUCCCAAAAUCCAUAUAUAAAAUAUACUUUCAAUACCCAAUUAUACCAAACCCACAAUAUUUUACCAAAGCGCUUAUAAAAACAUCAAGCUCAACUCAUGAAUAUAAUAUAUUCAAUAAAUCAUUAAAAACAUUAUGCACAAAUGUUUCAUCAAUAAAACCAUGCAUAAGAUUUGAAAACAAGAUCCACUCACAAGUAGUCCCACGCUGCUUGACCCUGAGAGGGUCCCGCCUGCUGCGUAUGCGUGGUCGGAGUACCUCACCCGUCUGAAAUAGUGAUCGGAGGAGAGAGAACGGGCGACUGGAAGUUCAGACGAGAAUCGGCCUGAAAUCUGUGUUUUUCGGCGACGAGGAGGCGGCUGGCGGCUGGAGAUGGGUCGGGGAACGUCGGCGAGGUCUGGCCGGUUGUUUUGGGUCCGGUCUCGGGGCUGGCCGUGGCCUGUGGCGGCGGCUCCGCGUCUGCAAAUCGGAGAAGGAGGAAGAGGGACGCGGGAGAGAGAGAGAAUCGGGAGAAAGAGAGAGAAAGAGAGAUAAAACUGAAAAAUCUGAUUUUUACUCUAUCCCUUUUCGAAAUAUUUACAAGUUUGCCACUGACACUAUUUUGCCCGUAACUUUUUCGUUACAACUCCGAUUCAAGCCUACCGCGUGUCUACGAAUUCGUCUCAGUACCACCUACCCAGAAAUACCAGUUACUGCCCCAAACACUUUUUGGGCAAGAAAAUGACCAAUUUACCCCUACCCUGAGGGUAAAUUCGUAAAUUCACUUAAAUAAUUUAAAAUAGGAAUUAAAUUUAGAGUCGGGGUGUUGCAAUAUGGGCUGGUGCUGGGUCUGUAUGACGGCUGUUGCUGCGGAAGCGAUUAGGGUUAGGGCAAGAGACAGUCAAGAUUGACUGCUCUGAUACCAUAUCAGAUUGGUCAAAAAAUAAUACUUCAUUUAUCUUAAUAUAUAACAAAUAGGAAGGUUAUAUAUACAGAGCCUAGAAAACUAUUCUAGGAAAGUAAUUAUGUUCCUAUAAUCUUGCAUAAUUAAAUAGUUGACUUACACUAAUUAGGAAUGUACAGCUCAUUGACAUGUUCAGGCUCUACUUCAAGGGUUUGGUGAGCGACGCAAUGGUUGGAAAUGAGAGAAUGGUGCUGGCUGGGGUUGGGGUUGCUCUAUGCGACUCCAGGGAUAAUUUGGUGUUCGAGGUUUGGAAACCCCUGAUUGGGAAUGGGAUGAGCAAGAAUGGUGCCCUGUUGAAAGCCUUGAUUGAAGGACUUAAUGCUGCUCUUGCUCUGGACUUGAAGCGCAUCACCUUUUUCUGUGAGAAUUUUCCCAUUUUUUUAGUUUGUGAGUUGCUAUCUCUUCUCUGUCUCGUUUCAGUCUAUUGAUGAAAAUUAAUUAGGCUAAUUGUGGGUUUUGCAUUUUAAUAUAACGACAUAUAUGGUUAUGGACGCUGUGGUUUACACUGACCAUGAAAGAGACUCUUGUGAAAGAGGUCUAAAGGAAUGGAACUUAUUAUUAUAUUAGUGUAUACGAUGUUGUAGGUUUUGUUAAUUAAUAUUUUUUUUCUUGGAACAAUAAUGAACUUUCAAUUUUCAGAUAUACUUCAUGAAAUUUGAUAGGGCAAAUCGUAUAUCAUCCAUUGUGGACAAAGAGAUGCAUUCGCUUUGAGAAAUUUUACUUGUGUCUUCUCAACAUUUGCUAAAUUAGUUUGCUAUCUUGUAUUUAAAUUGACCAUUAGAGAAAGUCUUGUGAACAAGGUCUAAAAUAAUGGAGUUUAUUAUGACAUUUAUGUGUGCAAUGUUGUAGUAUUUGUGUUGAAACCAAGAAUAUUGGAUGUACUAGUCACUGUGCUACGGUCUAUUUACACCCAUGAAUAGAGCUUGUUGAAUUUCUGACAUUAUAUUUUAUGUAUGAAGGUUAAUGGUAAAUGGCAAGCAAAGAACUACCCAAGAGCAAGAGAACUCAAAAUUGGACUUUCGAAAACUGCAUUGCAGUUCAGAAAUUGCAUUGCAGUUUUUAUUUAAUUACAAUUGAAUUUUUGCUCUUUCUUUGGUCUUCAACCUCACGAAUUUGAAGAGUAGAGGCUACCCAAAUGAGGAAUUGGGGAAAGAGAAAAGUAGAACUACCCAAGAGCAAGAUAACUCAAAAUUAGACUUUUGGAAACUGCAUUGUGGAUUUAGAAACUGCAUUGCAGUUUUAGAAACAGCAUUACAGUUUUCUUUUAAUUACAAUUUGAUUUUUAUUCUUUUCUUGGCCUUCAACCUCAUCAAUUUGAAGAGUAGAGGCUACCCAAAUGAGGAAUUGAGUGGGCAAGAGAAGAUUAGAACUACCCAAGAGCAAGGGAACUCAAAAUUGGUCUUUUGGAAACUGCAUUGCAGUUUUCAUUUAAUUACAAUUUGAUUUUUUGUUCUUUCCUUGGCCUUCAACCUCACCAAUUUAAUUACAAUUUGAUUUGUGUUCUUUCCUUGUUUUUUUUAAACAUAAUUGAUAUCUACCUUGUAUUUUUAUUGCAGUUUCUGUUUUUAUUUUCAGUUUUUGUGUGAAUAUGUGUUGAAAUGAUUUUUUUUUUUUUUUUUAAACUGUUGAUUGUUGUUAUAAAUAUUGUAUAACUGAAUAAAUAUUACAAAAUCAAGUUUGGUGUAGUGGUUUGUGAGUGAGCCUUCCUCCUUUGAGGGUCAAGGUUCAAGUCCCUUCAAUGACACAAAAUAUUUUUUUUAAAGGUGAAUAAAGGGCAAUGGAGUUGGUCCCCUACAGACGGUGGCAGGUGGUGGCCCGCAACGGUGGCUUGCAGCGGGAGUCCGGUGGUGGUGGCCGGCGAAGGGUGGCUGGAGGCGGGAGUCCGGUGGUGGGAGCCCGGCGGUGGUGGCCAACGAAGGGUUGCCGGAGGCGGUAGUCUGACGGUGGCCUAAGGCGGUGACGGCUGCGGUGGCCGGCGGUGGUGGCUAUAUAUGGACAUGUGGCAUAGUAUGCUUGCCUUAGAAGGAGUGGCAUUGUGUGCAAUUGCAAUUUUUUUUAAGGGAGCUUUAGGUGAUAUAUUGGGUGCAACCGAGUUGCAAGGCCAAGGACCAUUGAAUUACAAAAAUAAAGAUUUGACGGCGGCAACAAAAAACUUCAGUGAAGAAAAAAAACUUGGAGGAGGAGGAUUCGAGGGCAUCUACAGGGUAAAUUAUGUGCUAAAGAGCUCUAAAAUAAUUUAUGUCAGUUCAGUUUAGCACGGUCGAAUAUGGUGUACUCUUUUUUUACAUAAAUAAAGUUUUAAAAAACUGGGAAAAUUGCAUUGUCAAGCUUUUGAUUAUCCAUGCAUAAUGUUCAUUUACAAUUACAUGGUUGGUCAGGGUACUCUAAACAAUGGAAAAGUACGUAGUUGCAGUUAAAAAACUAGCAAUUCUCCAAUCUGACAGGGCAAAGGCGAAUUUCGUAAACGAGGUGAAGCUGAUAUGUAACGUUCAUCACCGGAAUCUCAUUCUUCUUGGAUGUUGUAGCAAAGGACCGUAAUUGCUUCUCAUAUAUGAAUACAUGGCAAACAACAGCCUCUACAGAUUCAUAUUUGGUAAUAAUUUUCGGCUUUUCAGCUCAGCUACCUCUAAAUGCAUGCCUCUCAACUGGAAACAACUAAAUGACAUAAUCCUGGGUACAGCGGGGUCUGGCCUAUUUACAUGAGAAGUUUCAUGAGAUGUAAAAACCAGCAAUGUUAUUUUGGAUGAUAAUUUCCAGCCACCAGAUCUGCCGGAACAUUGUAAGUUAAAGUACUUUCCCACAGGCAUAACCCCUGAUUGAGAUCUAUAUGAUCAUUACUCUUCUACAAUAUUUAUACCGAUAUUGUGUUUUGCCCUACUUAUCUUUCUAUCCGCACACAAAAAGUGUUAUGAAUCUACUACAUACAUCUUGUGUAGCUUCUCACAUUCCAGGAUCGACUCUGCCGUAGCACGAUAUUGUCCGUUUUGGGCCCCCUUCUCUGCCCUCACGGUUUUAUUUCUGAAAACUCACGAGCAACUUUUCAGUGGACCUCCUAUCCUGGGAUUGCUCUAACCCCCAACUCGCUUAACUUCGAAGUUCCCAUGACUCCGAAGCCAGUGAACUCCCAAAAAACCUCGUACUAGAUAGAAGCAGGCAUGUAUAUAUAAGGCACAUCAUCCUCUCUCCGUUGAUCGAUAUGGGAUAUUACAUAGCCGAAGAGGAGUACAUCACCAUCAUGGUGAUGCUCUAUAGUGUUUCUCUCUGUGGAAGUGUUUCUCACUUCUGUUUUAGCCUAUCUGAGCAAUGGUGCUCACGGCACCUCCUACCAAGCCUUCUUUAAAUAACCAAAGAAUUUGGUCCAACAGACACAAAACAUUAAUGCACUGAAAAAGCACAACCACCAGCAUUGGAAAAGAAGCCAGCCGCUCCUCUUUCUCAUGUCCUUGGUGCAGCACAGUGGGGCACACCUGCCCACACAUCUCCUGCUGCCAACGAAGUCCCUCUUUAUGCAUAGCUCAAGUUUGGCUUCUCAAAGAACCCAAGAGCCAAAAGUAAUAGCAAUAAUACAAAGCCUAUUCUACCUCUCUUUUUCUCUCUCUCUCUCAUGAAAAACAUCUCUCAUGAAAAACAAAUGUUAGCUUGUUUGAUGCAUUCAUUUCAUUGUUUUAAGUUUUAGAAAAGUGACACAUACCAUGAGAAAGUGAAAGAAUGUCCAAAAGAUAAAGUUAGAGAGAAAUUGCUAUCAAAGCUUUUUCACAAAGUUAGGACACACAUGCCCACCAAGUUGGAUUCCAAUUGCCUUAGGUGUAGAUCACCCAAGUGCUGGAACCCACUCCAUCUGUGUCUCCAGCCUUUUAACAAAGAUGGCAUGUGCCGUCGUUUCCCCAUUUGAAAAACCCAAGGCAUGACAAAUAAAUGAAGAAAGCUAGCAAACAAACAAUGAUAAAGUAGCCCUUACACAAUUAACAAUACAAUUUGGGCCAAUUUUCAACAGUGAAGGCAUCUUAUUACGGUGGGAUCAUUUGCAUCCUCGGAGCCUUUCUUUUUCGAAAUAAGGAUAGAUUUUAAUCAUUAAACUAGGAAUGUAAACGCUAGAUCUGAAAGCAGAUUCAAGGAUUUCCGUAAAAAUCAUAAUCAACAUUACGUAGUUACAAACAUACAAAAUCCAUCCACAAUUCGUACAGAUACAGCAGAAUUACACGGAGUUUCUGGCUAUGCUUCUUUUUCUUUUAUUCUCUUAUUCGUUUAUGGAAUUCCAUAUAUUACUUGGAAGCAGCUGACCUGGUAAAGGGUGCCUAGAAUGAUACUCGAAUAUCAAGCAAUGUCAUCAACUGAGAAAUAAGCUCUGGUUGGCCAUGCCACGCUGCUGCGGUAACCAGAUUUCCAUCAGUGACACAACGAUCUAUUGGAUCCGCUUCCACAAACGUCCCCCCUGACGAAACCACACGAGCCUUAAUCCCUGGGUAUCCAGUACAUUUCUUCCCCUGAAAUAUAGCCAAUUGAACCAAUUAUAUGACAUGCUAAAAAGUGCCUAAUCCGUUAAUAAGUACAUUAACCACUAAUCAAAAGAAACAGAAAAAAUAUCAUCUCCUUUGCGAUUUUAAAGAGUACUCACCUCCCUCUUCCCCAUAGUUAUUUACAAUUGAGAGGUUAAUAGGUCACAGCAGAUCAGCUCAACAGAACCAAAAUACAAAGCACUACCACUAACUAUGUUUUUUUCUUUAAGAACCAUACCUGCAGAACACCAGCAGCAACUAAAAUUUCCAGGCCAUGGCAGAUGGAUGCAACUGGUUUCCUGGCUUCCAUAAAUUUUUUCACUAGUACAAUAACAUCCUCCUUUAGUGCCAAAAACUCUGGAGCUUUACCUCCAGGGAGUACAAGAGCGUCAUAACUUGAGGCAUCUAUGGAUUCAAAGUCAGCUGUUAAAACAAAAUUAUGUCCCCGGAUCUCACUGUAGGUUUGGCCCCCUUCAAGAUCACGGAUAGCAGUUGGGCAGGUAUCACCGGCUUUCUUCUUGGGGCAAACCACAUCAACAUGGCAUCCUAGAACUUUGAGGGUCUGAUAAGGCACAGUUACCUCAUAAUCUUCCGCGUAGUUCUACAAAUAUUGGGAAGGGGAGCAAUUAAAUGAUGAUGAUUAGUAACUAACAGUUUAAUCAUUGGCUAUAUUUUGUCCCAUAUUUGUCAUUGCAAUAUAAAAGAAACAGAAAAGAAAGCUUACUCCAAUGAUGAUGAGGACCCUUCUCUCUGAAGCACAUAUUUUGCCUCCCAGUGCCUUGAGAAAAAGCCCAAUGAACUCAGGAUUGCCAUAAUAUGUGACCCCAGUAAUUAAAUUAUCAUCAGCAACACACACUGACAAUGUAUCGGGUUCUACCCAGUGAGCACCAGCAGCAACCAAUCCAGGUUUCAUAGUUGAAACCGCUGUGCACUUGCGACCUUUAACAGCGGCUGCAGCUGCUAAGACCAACUGCCCAUGGCAAAUAGCAGCAAUUGGCUUUCUGGAGUCGGAAAAUUUUCUCACCAAUUCUACAACCGAUGCAUUCAUAGCAAGAUGUUCAGGAGAUCGUCCUCCUGGUAUAACUAGACCAUCAUAUUCCUCAAAUUCAAUCUCAUCAAAUGUUGCAUUCAGUGUGAAAUUGUGACCACGAGAUUCGCUAUUAGCCUGUAACCAAAAAGGUACAGAAAACCAAACACAACACACACAUCAAAACAAGAGUAAGGGUUAGGUGAAUUCAAGCUUCUUUCUUUGUCCUGAUCAGAGGAGGUUCAAAAUAAAUUAAUUAACAGGAAAGACAGGGUGUCACCUCAUCAGUGGUCUCUACUUGAAUGGUUAUGGCAGUGGCGCAGAUAUCACCAGCUUUCUUGCCAGGAGAAACUGCAUCAACAGCGACUCCAAAUGCCUGCAGUGCUUGAAAUGGGACCAUUGCCUCGUAAUCUUCCAUGUAGUCCCCGCACAGUAACAACACCCUCCUCCUCCGCUCCUCGCCUUUUGGAUUCCCCAUUUCUUUUCUUAUUUCCUUCUUUAGUUUCUUGCUUUUACUCUCUUCUUUUUCACAGAGAGAGAGAGAGACAGAGAGAGAGAAAGAGACUGAAAGUUUGAGAGUCUGAAGACAAGGUAGGUGAUAGCUAGCGCUGCUCUGCUUUGCUUGCUUAAUAGUAAUAUAUUAAUACUCACGAAAGCGUUUCUGGAGGUUUCUGGAGUCAGCUAGACACGUCGCACUCAAUUUGAGCGACACGUCGCACUCAAUUAUUGUAGCAUCUCCCUAUUCCUCUCUUCGUUUCUGGAGGUUUCGCGCCAUUACCAACAAUAUCCAAGUUUGAUUAUUUGAGGAAGUGACAAGUCUAAAUUAUUUGAGGAAAGAUUCACCAACACCGACCAAGUGAUAAGUCUAAAUUAUUUAAGGAAAGAUUCAACCUGAGUGCAAAGUCAAUGCUUCCAAGCUAAUGUCCCGAAAGAGAGAUGGAUAAUGUAAUGUUCAUCUCUAACAGGUCCUAAAAUCAUAGAGUUUGAUAUCUUGCUUCUCCCAAAAAGACGGUUGAUUUCGUUUUGAGUAGCGCUCGCGUUGAUUUUAUCUUGACUGCCAGAUUUUUCACCAGAGCAGCAAAGCUGCUUGCUUUCUGUUAUGAGGUCUGGUUUUGUCAACAAACUAUAUUGCUUGACCCAAAAGAAAAUGCAAUAUCAUGUCAAUCCUCAUUUUGCAGUUGCAAGAGGACGGUUGUGAAAAUACAAGCUAACUCUGGACAACAUGAUAUUCAUUCAGGUAAACCUUCAAGGUGUACGGUGAGAGAGAUUGCGACCAAAAAUCACUGUGUCCUGCUAAAGCAUAAGUAGUAUAAUACAAGCUUCAUCCACAACCAAACUUGCAAGGAACAUGGCAUAUACAUAUCAAAACCAUGUCACUUAUUCCCUCAUAUAUACAAACGUCACCUUAACAUAACACAACAUACAUGCCUUAUUCUUUCAUGAAUUACAUAUAGUACAUGCAAGCAGCAGACCCAGUAAACAGCAACUAGAAUGAUACUCGAAUAUCAAGCAAUGUCAUCAACUGAGAAAUGAACUCUGGGUGGCCCAGCCACGCUGCUCCAGUAACCAAAUUUCCAUCCGUGAAGCAACGAAAUAUUGGAUCAGGUUCCAGCCAUGUUGCUCCUGACAAAACCACAUUAAGCUUCACUGCUGGAUACGCAGUACAUUUCUUUCCCUAAAAUUUAGCCAGUUAACAACAAUUAGGACAUGAUUAAAAAAAGUUCAUAAUGUGAAAAUAUGUAAAUCAACCCUCAAUCAGAAGAAUCAGCAAAAGGCAAACAGAUUACAACUUCAAGUGGGUUUCUUUUUUACCUUGUCGUAAAAUACUCACUCAGUAAAUCAACCCUCUUACAAAAUUGAUGAUACUCCCAACUCCUCCUAACACCUUCUGAAAAACUGAAACUGCCUAGCUCAGCCAAGCCUUUUGGUUUUCCUUACUAGGUAAUUUCUUGUUUUAUCCCAUUCUUAAACCAUUCCAUCUAGCAUAGAUUUUUACUGCUUCAUAUAUUCCUUCAGAGAAUUUUGCAUUACAGUACACACCUUCCGACUUUUAUAUUACAGCACAAAUGUUCAUGCACCAACUGGCAAGCUUGCUCAUCAACACCCACAACAGAACAAACAUCUAAAUUUACAAUCAACUACAUAGAUAGUGAGUAAAAGAACAAAUAAAUCCACAGAUUAUUUGUAUUGUCUUUUUGGUUAAACAUGUUUAACUUCCCACACAAAAAAUUAAUUUUACUCUAGCAUUUUAGUUGAUGUUAAAAAGCGUAAGAAGUUAAAAUUUUAUGUAAUCUACAUUAUAUCUACCACGGAAAUGCUAUAAUGAGGGGUUGUGGGUGAGGGGUUCAAUACCACUAUCCAAUAAUAUAAAGGAAAUUUUGAACUUGAAACUUUUUUAAUGGUUGGAUGGUUGGAUUGAACCCCUCACUCAAACCCCCCACGCAGAUCCCUCUCAUUGUAGCAUCUCCCAUAUCUACCAUAUCAUGCUUGGACUUUAAAAUUCCAAAAUUUAUAAUCUCGAUUUUGUGAUAUGAUUUUGGAUUGUUGAUGAGGAUUUUGCUUCCUUGUUUGUGUGCCUAACAAAUUAACUUUAUAUUAUUGUUUCUGCAUUUUGUACAUUUCAACUCAUUUAGUUUCAGAAAUCAACUUGGACUUUAGAUUGAACUUCUGGACAGCAUGGGACUGAUCCCAACAACAUGGGACCCAUCCCUAUUAAAAGAUGAGCUAUAUAUACAAUAAAACUACACUGCCACAUAAACAGGGAUUACAGCUUCACUUCGUUUCAGUUGAACCACAUGGAAUUAUAGAAAGUCAGCAAUAUUUUUAACAAUAUCAAUACUAUGUUUGACGACGCAACGAAUUGAAACAAUAUGAAAAUAGUCGGAUGUGAUUGAGAAACUUAAAGAAUAUGGACCAAAUUGAAAUUCAGAUCAAAUUUCUGGAAACAAAAGAGUAGCCUGGCUGAAAGGGAGUAACCUUACCUGUAGAACACCAGCAGCAGCUAAAAUCUGCUGACCGUGGCAGAUGGAUGCAAUUGGUUUCCUGGCUUCCACAAUUUGCUUCACUAAUGCAAUAACAUUCUCAUCCAAUGCCAAAUAUUAUGGGGCUCGACCUCCAGGGAUUACAAGAGCAUCAUAACUUGAGACAUCUAGAGCUUCAAAGUCAGCUGUUAAAGUGAAAUUAUGGCCCGGCUUCUCACUGUAGGUUUGGUCACCUUCAAAAUCAUGGACAGCAGUUGCACAGAUUUCACCAGCUUUCUUCUUGGGACAAACUGAAUCAGCAUGGCAUCCUAGAGCUUGAAGAGACUGAAAAGGCACAAUUACCUCAUAAUCUUCCAUGAAGUCCUACAAAUGUUGAGGGAGAGAAAGUGAAUGAUGCUUAGUAACUGUGAGAAGUAUAAAAUUUUGAUCAUUGACUAGAAUAAUACGUAGAUAACAAUUAGUUCAUAAACAAAAGACACGCAGCUUUAACGUUCUUGUCAAGGGGUUUACUAGAUUUACAGUGGAUUAAAACACGUAGCCAAACUUGAUUUAUGGACCAUCUUAUCACUAUUGAUAUUGACAAGUAAAAUAAUAUUUUGAAUUUGGUGGGCUUUAAAGGUUUGUCAAGUAGCCAAUCUUGAUUUAUGGACCAUCUUAUCACUGUUAAAUAACCAGCUUACAAAACGUGGUGGGCUUCAAGGUUUGUCAAGUUGUAUAACUUUUGGCAUUGCAGGUAGAGAAGUUUAGGUAUGCUUCAAAGGAUUUGGUUUUAAAGAGAAAACAAACAACUGGUUUCAAGAAAUAGGUUCUUAUGAAAUCUGACAGCAACUAAUUUAUGAGUCUAAGGCAGUAGUAGCAUUUCGAAUUUGGAGACCUAAUUGGCUUGGGUAUUGGAGGUAUUCAGUUUUGGGGGAAGGGGGAAAUUGAAAUUCUUCAGUAGUCAACUUUCCGGAAAAUUAAAGUAAAGGAGUCUUUUAAAAUUCAUAAAGGAUGUAGUUGUCUAUGUAUCAUGUUUAGAAUCCAUAAUUCAAACAACUUGAAAAAUGACCAGUAUUCAUGUUUGGAUUUACUUUCACAAGUUCACAACUUACACAAAUGACCUAACAAACAAGUAUUCCAAUGGGCAACGGACCCAGGUAGGCAGACCAAUGAAGCAUACCACCAAAACCUUGAAAAAACACACAUAGGAAUGAAUGAAUGAACCCUAUCACACCAGAAAUGUGGCAAAUCUGGUAAAGCCUAUUCAGGUUACUUUCACUAUCUUUCAGAAGUAUCUGUAAAAGGGCAAAUCUCCAUCAAUUCUCUACAGUUUAUCUUUAUGCCCAUUCAUGCAUGUAUAUAUUAUACGAAGAAGUUUUUGACAUAUGGGCAUGUAUUGUGUGUCAAAUGUAUACGCUUCAUGAAGACAGGUUCAAGAGCACAUACACCAUUUUCACCUUAUUCAUUCAUUUUUGUUUAUUCUGGGUUACUGCAAUUUGAAUCAUAAUGCACAUUAACUUCAGCAGAAUAUUUUGCCAUGAACAAUGCACAUUAAAAAAAAAAAAAUACUGGACAGUGAUAAUCACGAUAAUAUAUAUACUCAAUAUUGAUCGGCAUCACAAUUUCAUAUUUCUCAUUGCACUACGAAGGAAAAUAAAACUUACCCCACAGAGAAACAGGAUCCUCCUAUCUGAACCAGUUAUGUUACCUCCUAGUGCCUUCACAAAAAGCCUAAUGAACUCAGGAUGGCCUUCAUAUGUAGCCCCAGUAAUUAUAUUACCAUCAACAACACACGCCAACAUGGUCUCGGGUUCCACCCAAUAAGCACCUGCAGCAACAAGUACAGGUCUGACAGCUGGGAAGGCCGUACACUUCCUACCUUUAACCGAGCCUGCAGCUGCUAGGACAAGUUGCCCAUGGCAAAUCGAAGCAAUUGGCUUUCCGGAAUCAGAAAACUUUCUCACCAAUUCUAAAACCGAUGCAUCCAAAGCAAGAUAUUCAGGUGCCCGUCCUCCUGGUAUUAUUAAUCCAUCAUAUUUGUUAAAUUCAAUGUCAUCAAAUGUUGCAUUCAGUGCGAAAUUGUGACCACGUGAUUCAGAAUAAGUCUGCAACCAAAGAAAAAAAAUACAGAAAACCAAAAAACAUAUUAAAACAAAGGGGGACCAGAAAGACAUAUAUAUAGCAUUUGAAGAUUUGUAAAUUAACCACAGAUCACGAUUCAGCAAACCUAGGUAGCGCAUUAUCAGAGUAUUUUCACUUAGAGACGAGGGCACUAAUGCAAUUUUGUUUAUUGAAUAUGGUGUACGCGGUGACGUUGGAGCCAAAAAUUUGUUCACGCUGUCUUGUCCCCCAGAACUCAAGCUCAAUACAGGUCGGUUCUCUAGCUAGCUCAUAAUGAAUGAGCAAGCACUCUAACAGAACUCCUAACAUGUGUUCUUGUUUGAGCUUACUUUAGUCUCGCUGUCCACACAACCCAGAACUAUAACCUACGGAUUGCUAUUUGUCAAUCUAAUAGAGUGGCUCUAAUCAACAAUAAAGCUUAUUCAUUUUGUCUUUAAUUAAGGCUACCAACGAUUGGCUGAUGCAAAAAACUAAACUUGAAAGCGUGAUGUUCGUUCGUAAACUUGACAAACUAAUUUCCAGUCCCAACAGAUUCCAAAUUUUAGAGGAGGCAACAUAAUCCCAUAUGUGAGAAUUGUAAGCACUUCAAUCUUUGAGACAAAUUUCUUGUUUUGGGUUUACAAAUUCAAGUGAAGUAAGCAUUCAGUCUUCAAUAUAAUUGAGUGUGCUUAAUGAGGCUAAAGAAAACGUUUUUCAUUAAAAAUAAACAAAGGAAAAGGCAAAAGAAGCAGAGGUGGGUAACCUGGUGAGCAGGAGAAAGUUGAUGAAUGGCUGUGCGGCAGAUAUCACCAGCUUUCUUGCCAGGACAGACAGCAUCAACGGACACUCCAUAUGCCUGCAGUGCUUGAAAUGGAACCAUCGCCUCGUAGUCUUCCACGUAGUCCCCCAAUACCAACAACACCCUGCGUUCGCCUUUCGCCAUUUUCUUGUGUUUAAUUUCUUGGAAUUUCAGAGAGAGAGAGAGAGAGAGAGGAAGGGGUGACAGAGAAUUUCGGCGGACUAAACUCUCGGAUAAAGAAACAGAAUCUCAUGGCUUUCGGCUCUACUCAAUAAAUAGAAUAUGUUGAGAGUAUAGCCGAGCGGCUAUACGUGGCUAUAUACUGUAUAAGUAAAAUAUGUUAAUAGUAGAAUAACAGUACAGCCGAGCGGCUAUAUUAUGUAAAUAGAUUAUUCUACACGUAUGGGCGCCGGGCUGUACUAUAUAAAUAGGAUAUAUGUAACAGUAUAGCCGGGCUGCUAUACUAUAUGAAUAGAAUAUCUAAACGUAUAGCCGCCCGGCUAUACGCUAUAAAUGGAAUAUUUUAAAACUUAUAGCCGAUCGACUAUACUAUAUACAUAGAAUAUUUUAAACCGUACCACGGUCCCGGCCACCACCCUCUACCUAGAUCCAUCAUCGCAAUCACCAUCUUCUUCGUCAUUGUCAUCAUCGUCGUAAAAUUCCGAAGACUUAUCGUCUGAUCCCAAAACUGGAUGAAAUUUCAAAGAGUUGUGGGAGAAAUUCAUAGCUGGGUUUGUUGUUGUUGUUUUGCUGAUAGUAAAACUCGAGUCUCCAAAUUGGCUGUGGCCUCCUAUUUUCCCUUCCAUUACACCGUGUCUCAAGUUUUUCACCAUUGAUGAUCGUUCUUGCUUUUUUCUUUCACUUACCACACCCUUCUCUUUUCUUUCCAUAUCUCUCUCUCUCUCUGAAUUUCUAAACGCACACAGACCGUAAUACAAUAAAGUAACAGCAAUAAUACAACGCCUAUUCUACCUCUCUCUCUCUCUCUCUCUCUCUCUCUCUCUCAUGAAAAACAAAUGUUAGUUUGUUUGAUGCAUUAAUUGCAUUGUUUUAAGUUUUAGAAAAGUGACACAUAUCAUGAGAAAAAGAGAGAAUGUCCAAAAGAGAAAGUUAGAGAAAAAAUUGCUAUCAAAGCUUUUUCACAAAGUUAGACACACACGCCCACCAAGUUGGAUUGCAAUUGCUUUAGGUGUAGAUCACUCUAAUGCUGGAACCCACUCCAUGUGUGUAUCCAGCCUUUUAGAGCAUCUCCACCUAUAAGGGCUAAGGCAAGGGCAAGUAAGGGCUGCCACUAUUCAUGUGAAUAGUGGCAGCCUUGCCUUUUUUGGUUCCACCCCAAAAGGCUAUGGCAAGGGCAAGAAAAAAAAAAAAGGAUAUGCAACAAAAUAUAAAUUUGUUAUGUAUUUUAUAGGGAAAGUGAAUAAAAUUGUUAUGUAUUUAUAGGGAAAACAUCCAUAAUUUUUUGGUAUUUUUUUAAAAAAAAUUUUGAUUUUGAUUUUUUCAUUUUUUUCAAUUUUUUUGACUCGCUGACGUCAGCGUGACAUCACCACUGACAUCAGCGCCCUAGGGCUGAAGCCCAGGCAAAAUCUGCCCUUGGGCUUGCCCAGGCUGGUGGACCCAGGGCUUGCCCGGGCUGCAGGUCGUGCGCUGGAGGGUCUUUUGGGCUGGCAGUGGGCCUUUUGCCCAGGUCGUGCGCUGGAGGGUCUAUAUGAUCAUUACUCUUCUACAAUAUUUAUACCGGUAUUCUGUUUUGCUCUACUUACCGUUCUAUCCGCACACAAAAAUUGUUAUGAAUCUACUACAUACAUCUUGUGUAGCCGAAGAGGACUAGUAUAUCUCCACCACCAUGGUGAUGCUCUCUAGUGUUUCUCUCUAUGGUGAAGUGUCUCUCACUUCUGUUUUAGCCUAUCUGGGCAAUGGUGCUCACGGCACCUCCUACUAAGCCUUCUUUAAAUAACCAAAGAAUUUGGUCCAGCAGCUGCAUGCAUGAAAAAACCGUGCAAGUUGUCUGAGCACCUUCAAAGUCCUCCACAAGACACAGAACAUUAAUGCACCGAAAAAGCACAACCACCAGCAUUCGCAAAGAAGCCAGCCGCUCCUCUUUCUCAUGUCCUUGGUGCAGCACAGUGGGGCACACCUGCACACACAUCUCCUGCUGUCAACCGAAGUCCCUCUUUAUGCAUAGCCCAAGUUGGCUUCUCAAAGAACCCAAGCCAAAAGUAAUAGCAAUAAUACAAAGCCUACUCUCUCUCUCUCUCUCUCUCUCACGGGUACACAGACCAACAAUGUGGCCAAUAAACGAAGGAAAAUGCUGGCAACCUUAUCUCCGACCUUAUUUUUGGACAUUUUCCCUUUUCCUCAUGACAUAUGUCACAUCCCAUACACUUGUAAACAAUGACAUUAAUACAUUAAACAAACUACCUUUUGUUUUCGAAGUUUACCCUUAUUAAAUGUAUUGUCUUUCAAUUUAUCCAAAUUUUUUUACAACUCUCUUACUAUAUUUAAAAAAUUAAAAAAAUUCAGUUAAAAAAAAAAAAAACAUGUCUAUUUUUUUAGAUUGGAAAACGUUUUUUUUUUUUUUAACACAAGAAUGACCUCAAAAAAAAAAAAUCAACGAAAGAAAGAUUGUUUUUUUAUACGGACAAAAGACAUCCUUCUAAAGAAGUCUGUAGUCAAAGGAAGUUCAUUGAUUGGAUUUUCAAACCAUUAAUUCGGUAAGUUUGAUUAUUGAUUUUUUUUUCAAGACCAUUAAUUAGGUAAGUCUUAUUUGGAGUCUUUCAGAAAAGGAAAAAAAAAACAAACGUUUUUUCUUAUUUAAUUUUUUAAGUCUUAUUUGAAUGUCUCCUUAUUCCCUUUGGAGUCUUAAAAAAAAGACUUUUUCUCAAUUAAUUUUUGAACAAGGCGAUAAGAAAAUUGUAAAAAAUUUAGAUAAGAAAUUUAAAGAAAUAUUAAAAUCAAUACGUUUAAUAAGGGCUGAUUUGAAAAACAAAUGUUAGCUUGUUUGAUGCAUUAAUUGCAUUGUUUUAAGUUUUAAAAAAGUGACACAUAUCAUGAGAAAGAGAGAGAAUGUCCAAAAGAGAAGGUUAGAGAAAAAGUAGCUAUCAAAGCUUUUUCACAAAGUUAGACACACACGCCCACCAAGUUGGAUUCCAAUUGCUUUAGGUGUAGAUCACUCUAGUGCUGGAACCCACUCCAUGUGUGUCUCCAGCCUUUUAACAAAGAUGGCACGUGCCGUCAUUUCCCCAUUUGAAAACCCACGGUAUGACAAAUGAAGAAAGCUAGCAAACAAACAAGGAUAAAGUAGCCUUUACACAAUUAACAAUACAAUUUGGGCCAAUUUUCAACAGUGAAGGCAUCUUAUUGCAUUCUCCGGAGCCUUUCUUUUUCGAAAUAAGGAUAGAUUUUAAUUUAAACGCUAGAUCUGAAAGCAGAUUCAAUGAUUUCCAUAAAAAUCAUAAUCAACAUUACGUAGUUACAAACAUACAAGAUCCAUCCACAAUUGGUACAUAUAGAGCAGAAUCCGAGCAUCAUUGUUCCCUCACAGAUACACACAACACCUUCACAUAUGCUCUUAUUCUUUUAUUGAAUUACACGGAGUUUCUGGCUAUGCUUCUUUUUCUUUUAUUCUCUUAUUCGUUUAUGGAAUUCCAUAUAUUACUUGGAAGCAGCAGACCCGGUAAAGGGUGCCUAGAAUGAUACUCGAAUAUCAAGCAAUGUCAUCAACUGAGAAAUAAGCUCUGGUUGGCCAUGCCACGCUGCUGCGGUAACCAGAUUUCCAUCAGUGACACAACGAUCUAUUGGAUCCGCUUCCACAAACGUCCCUCCUGACGAAACCACACGAGCCUUAAUCCCUGGGUAUCCAGUACAUUUCUUCCCCUGAAAUAUAGCCAAUUGAACCAAUUAUAUGACAUGCUAAAAAGUGCCUAAUCAGUUAAUAAGUACAUUAACCACUAAUCAAAAGAAACAGAAAAAAUAUCAUCUCCUUUGCGAUUUUAAAGAGUACUCACCUCCCUCUUCCCCAUAGUUAUUUACAAUUGAGAGGUUAAUAGGUCACAACAGAUCAGCUCAACAGAACCAAAAUACAAAGCACUACCACUAACUAUGUUUUUUUCUUUAAGAACCAUACCUGCAGAACACCAGCAGCAACUAAAAUUUCCAGGCCAUGGCAGAUGGAUGCAACUGGUUUCCCGGCUUCCAUAAAUUGUUUCACUAGUACAAUAACAUCCUCCUUUAGUGCCAAAAACUCUGGAGCUUUACCUCCAGGGAGUACAAGAGCGUCAUAACUUGAGGCAUCUAUGGAUUCAAAGUCAGCUGUUAAAACAAAAUUAUGUCCCCGGAUCUCACUGUAGGUUUGGCCCCCUUCAAGAUCACGGAUAGCAGUUGGGCAGGUAUCACCGGCUUUCUUCUUGGGGCAAACCACAUCAACAUGGCAUCCUAGAACUUUGAGGGUCUGAUAAGGCACAGUUACCUCAUAAUCUUCCGCGUAGUUCUACAAAUAUUGGGGAGGGGAGCAAUUACAUGAUGAUGAUUAGUAACUAACAGUUUAAUCAUUGGCUAUAUUUUGUCCCAUAUUUGUCAUUGCAAUAUAAAAGAAACAGAAAAGAAAGCUUACUCCAAUGAUGAUGAGGACCCUUCUCUCUGAAGCACAUAUGUUGCCUCCUAGUGCCUUGAGAAAAAGCCUAAUGAACUCAGGAUUGCCAUAAUAUGUGACCCCAGUAAUUAAAUUAUCAUCAGCAACACACACUGACAAUGUAUCGGGUUCUACCCAGUGAGCACCAGCAGCAACCAAUCCAGGUUUCAUAGUUGAAACCGCGGUGCAUUUGCGACCUUUAACAGCGCCUGCAGGUGCUAAGACCAACAGCCCAUGGCAAAUAGCAGCAAUUGGCUUUCUGCAGUCAGAAAAUUUUCUCGCCAAUUCUACAACGGAUGCCUUCAUAGCAAGAUGUUCAGGAGAUCGUCCUCCUGGUAUAACUAGACCAUCAUAUUUGUCAAUUUCGAUGUCAUCAAAUGUUGCAUUCAGUGUGAAAUUGUGACCACGAGAUUCUUUAUUAGCCUGUAACCAAAAAGGUACACGAAAGAAAACCAAACACAACACACACAUUAAAACAAGAGUAAUGGUUAGGUGAAUUCAAGCUUCUUUGUCUUGCUUGUCUCUCAAACUCAAACUCAAACUCAAACUCAUCAGAGGUUGUUUUCCAACAACUGUGUUCAAUAUUAAACAUAUAAAAUAUAUUCCUCUUGUUUACAAAUAAAAAAGAACAGGAAAGACAGGAAAGACAGAGUUUGACCUGGUCAGUGGACUCUACUUGAAUGGUUAUGGCAGUGGCGCAGAUAUCACCAGCUUUCUUGACAGGAGAAACUGCAUCAACAGAGACUCCAAAUGCCUGCAGUGCUUGAAAUGGGACCAUUGCCUCGUAAUCUUCCAUGUAGUCCCCGCACAGUAACAACACCCUCCUCUGCACCUCGCCUUUCGGAUUCCCCAUUUCUUUUCUUAUUUCCUUCUUUAGUUUCUUUCUUCUUUUUCAGAGAGAGAGAGUUUUCAGAGAGAUUUUUCACACAGAGAGAGAGAGAGAGAGAGAGGGAGAGAGUCUGAAUACAAGAAGGUAGGUUAUAGUUUGAGCUGCUCCGCUUUGCUUACUUAAAUACUCACAAAAGCGUUUUUGGAGGUUUGUGGAGUCAGCUCGAUACGGUCGCACGCAACUUGAGCAACACAUCGCAGUCAGUUAUCGUGGCAUCUCUCUAUUCGCCGCUUCUUUUCAGUUCGGAUAACUAUUCUAUUAGUUUCGAGCCUAUCACCGUCUCCAUGUUUGAUACGUUUUUUUGUUGUCUUCUUUACCGACCAAGUGAGUCUAAAUUAUUGAAACUUGAGUUCGUUCUCUUCACGGACCAAGUGGGUCUAAAUUAUUGGAGGAAGAUUGAAACUUGAGUUUGUUCUCUUCACGGACCAAGUGAGUCUAAAUUAUUGGAGGAUAAUUAAAACUUGAGUGCAAAGAGGCGAAUUUAUUCCCUUAUUGUGAAUACAAGUAAUGGUCUAAAUUAUUAGAGAAGUAUUCUAACUUGAGUGCAAAGAGCACAAAUUUAAGUGCAAAUGAGUGUACUUACUGUCUUAUUACGAAUGCAAAUGAUAGUCUAAAUUAUUAGAGAAAUAUUCAAAUUAUAGUGAAAAGAAGCGUACUCACUGUCUUAUUGUGAAUAUUCGAAUAUUCGAGCUCAAUGCUUCCUUUUCGAUUGAAAAAAAGAAGCUCAAUGCUUCCAAGCUAAUGUCCCUAUACUAUACAAAAGCUCUUUAGAGUCGUCAUCAUCUUCUUCUUGCCUUCAUUGUAGCACGUGUGUGGCCUAAUAGAAAAGUUCUUUAGAGUCCUCAUCUUCCUCUUGCCUUCAUUGUAGCACGUGUGUGGCCCAAUAGAAAAGCUAAUGUCCCUAUACUAUAAGUAGGGGUGGGCAUCAAUCCGGCCGAUCCGACCAAACCGGCCGAACUAAACCGUAUUUUCCAGUUUGGUUUGGUUUUGACUUUAAAAAGUCAACAGUUUUAAAAUCCGAACCAAACAGGAGUAAUUUGGUUCAGCUGCAGUUUUAAGUUUUAAAAAACUGUGUUAAUCCGAACCGAACCGUUUAAAUAUUAAUUAAUUAUAUAUAUAUUAAUUUACAUGUGUCAAUGGUUGAGUGGCUACUUAGAAGUGUUAGUGUACACCCAGCCACAUUGAAUUGGACUCCAACCCAUCUAUUUUCAGACUCAACGCAUUCCAGAGUUGUCUUCCUUACGCAGCCUCCCUCACUCAACCACUUCAACCCUAGAAAAGCCACCAUUGAUUUGAACCACCACAACCUCCACUGCUUCAAUCAAACCCAUUCUCACAUAGCAAAAAUCUCUUUGGCGUCGCACCUCCAUCGUCAUCGGUGCACAGCCAUCGUCAUCGUCGCACGGCCAGAGUCAUCGUCGCACAGCCAUCGUCAUCCCUGCACAGCAGCGUCAUCGUCGAACACCAGCGUCAUCGUCACACACCAGCAUCAUCGUCGCACAGUUGAUUGAUGUUCGAGAAGCCCAAGAAGUGUAUGUUCUAAUAUUUAAUUUCUAAUUAUCUACAUAUUUUUCUUUUGAUGGAUGUUCUGAUUUCAAUUUCUUGGAAUGAACUUUUAGUUGUGGGUUUAUCUAUAUAUAUGAUCAUAUUAUAUUGAGAAGUUCAAAUUUGAAAGUUAGCAAUUAACUUCUGAGUCUCAAUUCCAAAUAACACAGCAGCAGAGGAUUUAAUUAAUUACCUUCCACCAUAACCUCUUUCCAUAACAACCACGCCUCCAUUGCCAAAGUUAUUCAGCCUCUCAAAUUGCUCCACUGUCCAUAACCUCAAAUUGCCUCUAUAAGGACCAUGCGGAUAAAUAAAUGUAAUGUUUAUCUCUAACAGGUCAUGCUUUUUGAGCCGUGAUAGUUUUGGAAUAGCGUUCGAGUGCAUUUUACCUGGACUGCCAUGUUGAUUUUCACCAGAGCAGCAAAGCUGCUUGCUUUGUGUUAUGAGGUCUAGUUUUGUCAACAAACUAUAUUGCUUGACCUAGAAGAAAAUGCAAUAUCAUGUGGAUCCUUAUUUCGCAGUUGCAGGAGGAUGGUUGUGAAAAUACUAGAGCUAAUUCUGGACAACAUGAUAUUUGUGGGGGCGAUUUCUUCCCACGAGAAUAUUCAAUUGAAAGAUUCCUCUUUCAUCUUCGUCGCCCCUUUCUCCUUGCAAAAUAGAUCGAAACAACAGGACCACACUCGUGAGGUGUUGGCCAAAAGCCAUGAGAUGCCCAAGUUAGUUCAAUUGAUUCGUAGAGAAAACAAUAGCUAAAUAGGGUAUAGAGAUAUAUAUGUAAGGUGUAAACCGGGUGGCCGGAGCCGUGAGUGUUGGUCGGAGCCUUGUGUAAAAGGGAGAGAGGGUAUGGCGGCUAGGGUUUGUGAGGGAUAGGCAGUGUCCCUCUUACAAAAUUGAUGACACUCCUAACUCUUCCUAACAAAUUCUGAAAAACUGAAACUGCCUAGCUCCACCAAGCCUUUUGGUUUUCCUUACUAGGUAAUUUCUUCUUUUACCCCAUUCCCGGGAACUUGUCCUCCUUGGCUCAUUGAAUGUUCGUUAUGUCUCCACCCAUACUCAGCCAAACAUUUGAUGUACUUUAAAUCUUUAGUAUUCAAUAAUACAGCAUAACUGUUGAUAUUUACAUGAAUGGUUCAUAAAACUGAAGUGGAGAAGAAACUAUCUUAAGAGUUGAGAAUGAGUUUGGGUGGCUUGAGUGAAAAAACUUUAUCCAUCAACACAAGGAGAUGGUGAAGGCAUCUUAUUAUGGUGGGAUCAUUUGCAUCCUCCGGAGCCUUUUUUUUUCAAAAUACGGCCAGAUUUUAAUCAUUAAACUAAGAAUGUAAACGCUAGAUCCGAAAGCAGAUUCAAGGAUUUCCAUAAAAAGCAUAAUCAACAUUACGUAGUUAAAAACAUACAAGAUCCAUCCACAAUUGUUACAUAUACAGCAGAAUCAGAGCAUCAUUGUUCCCUCACAGAUGCACACAUCACCUUAACAUAUGCUUUUAUUCUUUUAUUGAAUUACACGGAGUUUCUGACUAUGUUUCUUUUUCUUUUUUUACUCUUAUUCGUUUAUGGAAUAACAUAUAUUACUUGGAAGCAGCUGAACUGGUUACGUUUGCUUAAAAUGAUACUCGAAUAUCAAGCAAUGUCAUCAACUGAGAAAUAAGCUCUGGUUGGCCAUGCCACGCUGCUGCGGUAACCAGAUUUACAUCAGUGACACAACGAUCUAUUGGAUUCGCUUCCGCAAACGUCCCCCCUGACACAACCACAUGAGCCUUAAUCCCUGGGUAUCCAGUAAAUUUCUUCCCCUGAAAUAUAGCCAAUUAAACCAAUUAUGUCAUGUUAAAAAGUGCCUAAUCAAGAAAUAAGUACAUUAACCACUAAUCAAAAGAAACAGAAAAAAUAUUAUCUCGUUUGCGAUUUUAAAGAGUACUCACCUCCUUCUUCCCAAUAGUUAUUUACAAUUGAGAGGUUAAUAGGUCACAACAGAUCAGCUCAACAGAACCGAAAUACAAAGCACUAGAUGUAACCUUUUUUACUUCCUUUUCAAGUUCAAUCGAUAAAGUAUUUCAAUCUGUUUUACUUUAUCUUUAAUAAGUAGCAUUAAAACUGGAAGCAUNNNNNNNNNNNNNNNNNNNNNNNNNNNNNNNNNNNNNNNNNNNNNNNNNNNNNNNNNNNNNNNNNNNNNNNNNNNNNNNNNNNNNNNNNNNNNNNNNNNNNNNNNNNNNNNNNNNNNAGAUGGAUGCAAUUGGUUUCCUGGCUUCCAUAAAUUGUUUCGCUAGUACAAUAACAUCCUCAUUUAGUGCCAAAACCUCUGGAUCUUUUCCUCCAGGGAGUACAAGAGCGUCGUAACUUGAGGCAUCUACGGAUUCAAAGUCAGCUGUUAAAACAAAAUUUUGUCCCUGCGUUUCACUGCAGGUUUGGGCCCCUUCAAGAUCACGGAUAGCAGUUGGGCAGGGAUCACCGGCUUUCUUCUUGGGGCAAACCACAUCAACAUGGCAUCCUAGAACUUUAAGGGUCUGAUAAGGCACAGUUACCUCAUAAUCUUCCACGUAGUCCUACAAAUAUUACAAAUAUUGGGGAGGGGAGCAAUUAAAUGAUAAUGAUUAGUAUCUAACAGUUUGAUCAUUGGCUAGAAGCCUAAAACCAUGAACUUGUCGUGGCGAAACUGGUAAAGCCGACUCGGGCUUUCUCCCCUUUCUCUUUUAAUAAUAUUAAGGUUGGUUGUCACUUGAACUUGAGCAUACUAUUUUGUCCUAUAUAUGUCAUUGCAAUAUUAAAGAAAAAGAAAAGAAACCUUACUCCACAGAUGAUGAGGACCCUUCUCCCAGAACCAGAUAUGUUGCCUCCUAGUGCCUUGAGAAAAAGCCUAAUGAACUCAGGAUUGCCAUAAUACGUGACCCCAGUAACUAUAUUAUCAUCAACAACGCCCACUGACAAUGUAUCGGGUUCUACCCAGUGAGCACCAGCAGCAACCAAUCCAGGUUUUACAGUUGGAAACGCUGUGCACUUGCGACCUUUAACAGACUGCCCAUGACAAAUAGCAGCAAUUGGCUUUCUGGAGUCAGAAAAUUUUCUCACCAAUUCUACAACCGAUGCAUUCAUAGCAAGAUGUUCAGGAGAUCGUCCUCCUGGUAUAAGUAGACCAUCAUAUUCGUCAAAUUCAAUCUCAUCAAAUGUUGCAUUCAGUGUUGUUUGUGCAAAUAAUCUCACGGGAGAAUAUUCGCCCAAGAUUCCUUCGUCUUCUCCGCCUCUCUUUCUCCUUGCAAAACAGAUUGGAGUAAAAGGACCACACCCGGGGGGUGUUGGCCAAAGGCCCUCCGAUGCCUAAGUUAGGUAAGGGAAUUGAAGGAAAACCGGGUGGCCGGAGCCGUGUGUGGUGGCCGGAGCCUUGUGUGAGAGAGAGAAAGAGAGGAGGUGCCUAGGGUUUUUGAGAAAUAAUUUAUGCAGAGUUUCAGUAGGAAUUUAGACGUACCUCAUCCUUGUGUGUAACCAGGUAUUUAUAGUGGCCUUUGGAGAGGUAGGUGGGGUUGGUGUAGUUGGUGUGGUUGGUGGGGUUGGUGCAUUUAGGGAUUAUGGAUGAACCGAAUCCCUAAUUAAAUUGGGGAUCAAGUAACCCCCAAUUUGAUUAGGUAAUUCCCAAUUAGGUUAGGUAACUCCUAAUUAGGUCAAAUAAUUCCCAAAUUGAUUGGCCUAAUUAAUUGACCUAGGGUUUUGGUUUAAUUAGGUUCCCACAAAUGCCCCCCAGCUUCUGCAUGGCGCGUGGUGGCAUGUAAGAGAUGUAAAUUAUCCGUUGGGCUGUCCAGCUGUAACUGGGCUUCCUUCGUGGACAUGGGCUCCCGCGUAGAGGAGGUGUUUGACUUGCCAAUUUUAUGAACUCCCAGGUUGGAAAGAAUUUGUGAUUCCUUGUAGGUCAAGGAAUUUUCAUUCUUAUAAAUGUAGGGCUCCUCCAAUUUAUUCUUCACAUCCAAAAUCCAUUCUGAUUUUAUUAGUGAGAGAGAGUAAACUUUGGAGAAUUUUUUCCUUCUUCUUGAGCUCUUGUCUUCAUCGCACACCCAAGGUAAUUUAGACUUGAGUUAUAUAUAUAUAUAUAUAUUUUGUUCCAAUUUCCCGCAGCUUGGCUCAUGCUUCUAGCUGAUGUGGGGAGCUGAAAGGGAGGUCAGCAGGCUUGGGACUGUACAUUUUGGGCUCGAGCAUGGAGGUCCAAGGGCUAUGGGUUCUUGCUGGAGCAAACUGGCUGCAGCUGAGGCAAGGAAGGGUUAGGCCUGGCUCACGGUUGGGCUGCGCGCGGAAAGCCCAAGGCGCUGGGCUUCGAGCAAUGGCCUGAAGGCGCUGCUGGGCAGAGGCGACGGGCCACCUACGCUGGGCUUCGUCUGAUUGGGCUAAGGUGAGAGCUGGAGCUGGCCUGCGCGAUCUGGGCUGGAGACGAUGGGUCACGCGUGCUGGGCUGCGAGCUGGAGCUGGUCAUCUGGGCUGAAGGUGAUGGGCCACGCGUGCUGGGCUGCGAGCUGGAGCUAGUCAUCUGGGCCUCCGUGCUGGGUUGCGAGCUGGGCUGCCUUCUGUUUUUUUUUUUUUUUUUUUUUGGCAUUCUAACAUGUAAAAUUAUUUUAUUAUUAUUUUUUUUUUCAGCUGCUCAACGACCAUGUCUUCUGAAGGAAAGAGCCGAUCACCAAACUCAAGAGUGCCUUUGUACCUGUGGGGCGGUUCUCAAGUUCCCAAAGAGAAGUUUGUGGCCAAUUUGCACCGUGUCACCAACGAGGCCCAGUUCAAAACGUGGCGUGCCCUUUUCGACUCUGCUAUACCCAAGGAUGUACAUGUCAAGUUGGCAGAGCCCUCAUCUGACAGUAUACCUCGUGUGGACCCGAACAAUCCAGGCGCCAGGAUUAUCACGUUCCGCCCCUUCUAUUUCUCGCUGGGUUUCACGUUUCCGUUGUCGAAAUUUUUCAGGGAGGUGUUCUGCGCCAUGGAAUGUGCCCCGAGCCAGUGUACUCCGAAUGUUUAUCGGGCGGUCAUCUGCUUUGAAAAUUUGAGCCGCUUCUUCAAGUUGGAUUUGACCGUGAAGGAGUUCUUCUACUUCUUUGAGGUGAGACACUUCGAGAAAUAUGCCCAACUCCGCGCAUGCGAACCCAAGUUGUUUGAUAGUCUGAGUCAGGGCGAUCAUGUGUGGAGCAAGGAUGUGCUAGAGGUUAGUGGCAGAUGGGAAGGAGAGGUUGGCGACGGUCCGCUCGUUCCUCUCACCUACUGUGAUGGUAAGUUGCAUCCCUCUGAUCUGCUACUAUUUUCCAUGGGAUUCCUUAGUGUGUCUGACUAACUUUUGUCUUAUGCUUGCAGAUGAUGCCAUUCGAAAGAAGCUUGUUCUCGACCCGGACAUGACGAAGGUUCGACAAGCUUUGAGCAUCCCUGCUAAGUUUCGUGAAUGGCGCUGGUUGCUGAGCGAACACCGGAAGAAAGUCAGUGGCCUGCCCCCUGCUGAAGAUAUUGAAAGGUGGAAGUCGCGCUGCUUGAAACUAAGUGACUUGCCAGUUGAGCAGGAGUCAUCGACUGAGUCCCCCGAGGGUGGGAAAACGUGCAGCAGCUCUGCUCGGGAUAAAGUUGCAGUUUCCCGAUCAGUAGAUACAUCUCCACAGCGACAGCAGCCGAGAUUUUCUCUUGCCACGAACAAGUCUUCCACAAGGGAGGUCUCGCCUGCUCAGAAAGCCCAUAUGGGAAUUGUUCCUACUCCAUCUGCCGGGAUCAGCAAGAAGGCCAAUGGCAUGCAGGAGGUUCGGGAAAUUCUGCUCAAGUCCUUGCCCGUACCGCCUAAGACCCGUGAUCUGCCAUGCAAGGAAACUGCUGGGAAGCAAGGUUUGGGUCGUCCGUGCCGAUCUGGGAAUCAAGCUGAGAGGACCGUACCUCUGCCUUGCAACCAUGACUCAUCUGUGGGGCCACGAGCAGUCAAGCGCGGGGCUGACUCAAUGUUACAAGCUGCAGUCAAAAGAGCUAAAGAGUCGUCUGCUCGAGCGAAGAGUCCUCCAAUCGCGCGAACUGCUGGUCCGGGAAUUGGUGAUGGCUCUGCUGGGGGGAGCCCGUGUCUGAUCUGCUGAAAACAGGCUUUCUGUCAAGUCCGUCUGCUUGCGCUCAGCUGGCUGAUCACGUGUAUCGAGCCUGCGACCUUUGUGCUUUUUCGAACCUUCCUUUGGAUAAGCAAGAAGAAGCUGCUAUGUAUCAUCUUCAAAAAGGAAUGGUUUUUGCUGUUGGGGCCAUGCGGAACUCGCGUGAUGUUACCCCCUCUUCUGCCCUGCUUGACGAGCUGGUGAAGAAGAAUGCCGACUUGACUGGCAAGCUCUCGAGCGAGCGGAUUCGCCAUGAUGCGAUGAUUUCCGAGAUGAAGGAGAGUUUGUCCGUGCUCAAGAGUUCUGUUGGCCAAAAGGAUGGUGAACUCAAGUCUCUUGCUGCUACCCUGCUCGAACGUAAAGAAGCCUACUUCUGCCUCGAACACAAGCAUGCUGCUUUGGCCCAGGAUCGUGACAAACUGCUGGUCAAGUUUGACACCCUUGUGGAAGCCACGGAGGCAUCCAAACUGGAGAUUGCUGCUAACGCGUACAAGCUGGGAUACCUGGAUUGCCAGAAUGGUGUUUCUCCUUGCUGCUCUCUCGAAGAUGAUGAUGGUGAGCAGACUGGUCUUGACCUGCCCCCCGCUCAGAGUGAGCAGGUGGAUGUUGUGGAUGCAGAAGCAGCGGUAAUUGAGGAAGAUAAAUGCCAAGGUGGGUCAACUGAUGAGGCUAAGGCGGAUGCGAAGGAGCAGGCAGCCGAGGCGGUUGAGCCAGUUGUGCCCGUUGGGUAGAAUGAGGCUGUUGCCAGCGCAGUUGAGGAUGUGAUCGGCUGAGGGUCACCUGCUGAAGUUCCUUAGCAGUUGUAGUCCAUUUUUGCUAUUUUUGAACUUUGUUAUUUUUCUUUCAAUAAGUGGUCUUUGGUUGACCAUCUUACUUCUUGUUGAACUUGGCUGAUUGGCCGCUUUGUUAUUGAAUUUUCAAUUGUUUUUCAAACUUCAAUUCUCUUUGUAUCUUGUAAGUGUGCGUCUGGAGACAUAGCACUUGAAAGACAUAGCACUUGAAAAAAGACUCCAUUGAGUUUGUGCUCCGGGGAGCAGCUCGUCUGCAAUGGAGGUAAGGCUUGUCGCCUGUGAGCGUAUGUCGGGGACAUAGCUCUUAAAAAAGACUCCAUUGAGUUCGUGCUCCGGGGAGCAGCUCGUCUGCAAUGGAGGUAAGGCUUGUCGCCUGUGAGCAUAUGUCAGGGACAUAGCUCUUAAAAAAGACUCCAUUGAGUUCGUGCUCCGGGGAGCAGCUUGUCUGUGAUGGAGGUAAGGCUUGUCGCCUGUGAGCGUAUGUCGGGGACAUAGCUCUUAAAAAGGACUCCAUUGAGUUCGUGCUCCGGAGAGCAGCUUGUCUGCAAUGGAGGUAAGGCUUGUCGCCUUUGUGUAUAUGUUUGUGGGACAUAAAGCUCGAAAAAAGUACUUCAUUGAAAAGCUUGCUUUUGUAUUGAUGUUGAUGUGAAUACAUCGCUUUAUUGAAUAAAGGAAAUUAAUAACAUAGGUAACAUCAAAAGCAGUUUGCCUUUAAUAGAAGUAUGAGAGGCUCGUUGUCUGCUAGGAGUCGAGCUGGUAAGCGAAGAGCUUCAUGGAUAGUAUCUCCGAAGGUGGUGGGCAUUCCACUGUCUUGGAAUUUCCUUCCCUUCUAGAGUGUCGAGGGUGUAACUUCCUCUGCCCCCAGACGGCUGAUCAUGUAGGGGCCUUCCCAAUUUGGCUUCAUCUUCUUUGAUCCUUGCCUUGGUGAUGUGAUAAAAGUCUUUCUGAGCACAAGGUGCCUUUUCUCGUUCUUCUUCGAGCAGGUCAAGGUUAAUUCUCAUCUGCCUGCAGUUUUGAUCAAGACUGCCCACUUCAAUGCUCAUGGAAGGGACUGUGAUGUGUGGGGGAAUGAUUGCCUCCGUCCCAUAAGCCAAGGAAAACGGUGUUUCUCCGGUCGAUCUCCUUUUGGUUGUGCGAUAAGCCCAUAGAACUCCUGGCAGCUCGUCGACCCAUUUUCCUUCUGUGCCUUCCAGUCUUUUCUUUAGGCAGUCCAGCACGAUUUUGUUGGAUGCCUCUGCUUGACCAUUGCCUUGCGGGUAUCUGGGAGUUGACAGGUGCUGCUUGAUGCCAUACUUCGCAAAAAAUGCAGUGAUCUGCCUGCCCACGAACUGUGUACCAUUGUCAGUAACUAUCGAUUGCGGGCAACCAAAUCUGCAGAUGAUGUUCUUCCAGAUGAAACGUUCAACGUCAGCUUCCUUGGUAGAAGACAAAGCCUCGGCCUCGAUCCAUUUAGUGAAGUAAUCAGUGGCAACGAUCAUCAUCUCUUUAUUGGCAGGUGCUGUCGGCAUAGGUCCCACCAAGUCAAUGGCCCACUGCAUGAACGGCCAUGGGCUGUUCUGCGGAUGGUAUUCCUCAGCUGGCAAGCCAGGGACUGGCUUGUACCGUUGGCAUCGAUCACAUCUUCGAGCAUACUCCGUGGAAUCUUUACGCAUGGUAGGCCAGAAAUAGCCGAUGCUGAGAGCCUUCUGAGCAAGCGACCUGCCUCCAGCGUGAUUUCCACAUUCGCCGUCGUGUAUUUUGCAGAGAACCUCGAGCGUUUGCGGGUACUUGAUGCAAGUGAGAUGAGGCCCGUAGUAUGAUCUGCGGAUAAGCGUGUCGCCUUUCAUGUAAUAUCUUGCAGCCUUCUGCUUGAUUUUUCUGGCCUCGGACUUGUCUUGGGGCAAGUUUUCAUUCACUAGGUAGUCGAUGAUGGGUUCUUGCCAGCUAGGAUCCUCGUCGAUUUGCAUCAGGUCUGGUUGUUCUGCCUCUUCUAUGCUAGGCUGAUCAAGGUGCUCGACCGGGAUGGAGCGUCUGAAUUGGGUAUCCAGUGCUGAUCCUAAGCUUGCCAGUGCAUCUGCGUGUGCGUUCUCUGCUCGGGGCACCUGCUGGAUGGUGAAGGUGGAAAAUGCCUUCAACAGCUCUUGGACUUUGUCAAGGUACAAGAUCAUCCUUGGGUGCUUCGCCAUGUAUUCUCCUGAGGCUUGACUUGUGAUCAGCUGGGAAUCUGAGUAGAUGGCCAGCUUCUUGAUUGAUAGCUCCUUUGCCAGGCGCAAGCCAGCGAGCAAUGCCUCGUACUCUGCCUCGUUAUUUGAAGCUGGGAAGCCAAGUGUGAUAGCUUUCUCUAACAGGGUUCCAUCUGGAGUGACGAUGACGACACCUGCUCCAGCUCCUUUCUGGUUCGACGCUCCAUCUACGCGUAGCUGCCACAUGUCUCUGGGUUGGUCAGGUUCCGCGGAGGUCUUGUCUGCUCUCGAACUUUCCUUCUUUUUGCUGACCAGCUUCUCUUCUUCGGCUGAUGGUGUGUACUCUGCAACAAAGUCUGCUAAGGCCUGGGCUUUUAUAGCAGUCUUUGGCCGGUAGAGGAGGUCGUAUUGGCUUAGUUCUAUCGCCCACUUCAUAAGCCGCUGAGAAGCAUCAGGGCUGUGGAGGAUUGAUCUUAAAGGAAAGUCAGUCAUAACGAUGACUCGGUGAGCUUGGUAAUAAGGCCGCAGCUUUCGCGCGGAAACGACAAGGGCCAAAAUGAGCUUCUCCAAUUUUGGGUAGCGAGUCUCUGCAUCGAGGAGAGCUUUUGACGUAUAGAAUAUCGGAUGUUGGGCCCCAAGUUCUUCUCGGAUGAGAGCUGAGCUGAUGGCUGAGUCGGACACUGCCAGGUACACGAACAAGUCUUCACCAGGAACGGGCUUCGAGAGCAGGGGAGGUGAAGUAAGGUAGGUCUUUAGACUCUGGAAAGCUACUUCGCACUCCUCGUCCCACUUGUCUUUUUGCCCCUUCUUCAAAGCUUUGAAGAAUGGUCUGCACUUGUCGGUAGACUUUGAGAGGAAUCGGUUGAGAGCUGCUGCUCUGCCCGUCAGACUUUGUAUUUCUUUCACCGUGGAAGGUGACUUCAUCUCGAGGAUGCCUUUAAUUUGGCAUGGGUGUGCCUCGAUACCUCGUUGUGUGAUACACCGAACGUGCAUUUACUUGGAUUCAGCUUCAUGCGGUAUUGGCGGAGCAGGCUGAAUGCCUCGGUGAGGUUUUUGAGGUGGUCUCCACGCUUGGGGGCUUUGACCAGCAUAUCAUCCACGUAGACUUCCAUGGUUCUGCCGAUCUGCUCCUUGAAAAUCUUAUUCACGAGCCUUUGGUAUGUUGCUCCAGCGUUCUUCAACCCGAAGGGCAUGACCUUGUAGCAGUAGGUUCCUCUCUCAAUGAUGAAAGAGGUCUUCGCCUUGUCAUCGUCGUACAUCAUAAUUUGAUUAUAGCCUGAGUAGGCAUCCAUGAAGCUGAGCAGCUGGUUGCCGGAAGUUGAAUCCACGAGCUGGUCGAUCCUCGGCAAUGGGAAGUUGUCUUUAGGGCAUGCUUUGUUGAGGUCGGUAUAAUCGACGCACACUCUCCAUUUUCCCUUUUCUUGUUUUGCCACCAAAACGACGUUGGCCAGCCAUUCUGAGUAUGAGACUUCUUCAAUAAAUCCGGCUGCUAGAAGCUUGUCGAUCUCGGCUUCAAUGAUCGCGACUCGCUCGGGAGCGAAGUUACGUCUCUUCUGCACCACGGGCUUGCUGGCAGGGUUGACAUGGAGGCGGUGGCAGAUGAUGUUUGGGUCGAUGUCGGGCAUGUCAGAUGGUGACCACGCGAACAUGUCUUUGUUGUUUUGGAGGAAGGUGGUAAGCUCCACCUUCUCGUCUGGGCUUAGGCGCGAGCCGAUCCGCGCUUUCUUAUCUGGCUGGUUAGGAUCGAGGGGUACUAACUCGACGUCUUCCUCAGGCUUCCAACCCUCUUCAAGGGAGCCUUCCGGGCGGAUUCCCUCCUCUCGAUCCUUCUUGUUUGGAUUCUAGCACGAGCCGAUCUGUGCUUCUUUGUCUGGCUGGCCAAGAUCAGGGGGUACUAACUCAACGUCAUCCUCAGACUUCCAACCCUUUUCAGGGGAGUCUUCCGGGCGGAUUCCCUCGCCUUGAUCCUGGCUCAUUAAUUGCUAUUGUGAGGUAACAGCUCCCUUCUCGUUCGAGCUUGCUUGUCUGCUGGGAGCACUUCGUGCCUCGUUGGCAGCUUGCAUUACUGGUGUGAACUGCAUCUGCUUGCUCUUCUUGAGUCCGUGAGCUGUGCAUCUUCUUGCCAUGGCUUGGUCACUAUUGAUCUGCCCGAUUCCGCCUCCAGGGAUGGGGUAGCGAAUCUUCUGGUGUAGAGCAGAUGUGAUAGCCUCGAUCUUGCUGAUCCACGGUCGGCCCAGAAUUCCGUUGUACGGGGAGAUCUCGUCGAUGACCAUGAAGGUUUGUGUGCAGACUACUGGGGGCGAGUGGACGUCAAGGUCGAUCUGUCCAACAGUGAUUGAUGUGGCCCCAUUGAAGCCAGUGAGCGACCUUGCAAGUUUGCUAAUCUUGGGCUCCAAUCCCAUCUGUUGGAUGACAGAUAGUUGCAGGAUGUUGGCUGCGCUGCCCUCAUCCACAUGAACUCGCUCGAUCACAGCUUGUUCAAUCCGAAUGCACAUGACUAGGGCGUCAUUAUGCGGCAGGUCAAGCCCGAUCAAGUCUUUCUUCUGGAAACCAAUGAUGGGUGUAUCCACGAUAACUGGUACUCCUGUUGUGACUUGGGAGACAUAAGUCGCCUGCGCGAUCUUCCUCUUGCGCUCCUUGGUGGUCAACCCGGACUCCUGAGAGUCAGCUAGAAUGGUGUUGAUUCGAAUGACCUUUUGGGGAGGUUCCUUGGCAGCCGCAUCACGAUCCUCGAUCUGUUGGAUGGCCUUCUUUGCGACGAAUUCUGUGCAAUGACCUUCUCUGACCAGCUCCUCCAGAUGCCUUUUCCAAGCAUUGCAAUUGUUGGUGUAAUGACCGUGCUCCCCGUGGAAUGCGCAGUAUUUACUGGUGUCCCUCUUAGAGGGGUCUCCUUUCAUGGGUGGCGGUCUCCUCACCCACGGCUUGUCCUUCACUUGAGCCAGGAUCUGAUGAAUUGGGAUAGCGAACUCAGUAAAGGUCCCAAUUUCUGAGCUUCCCUCUCGGGGCCGCGAUCUGCGCUUAUCUCGGGCUUUUUGCUCGAACUGAUUGCUCUUUUGGCUUGCCUGCUUCGUCGGGUGUUCAACUUGCUUGCUAGCUUUCUUUGCGGCGAUUCGAUCAUCGUCCCAAAGUGCGUAGCGUUCUGCCGUCGCGAACACUUCUGCCAAGGUUUGACUUGGUGUUAUGGCCAGUUCCCGGUAUAGCUCGUGCUCGGUUGGCAAGCCCUUCUUGAAGGCUGAGGAUGCAACUUGGUCAUUGCAUCCUAUGAUGUUAGCCUUUUCAGCCUUAAACCGUCUCAGGUAGUCUCGUAGAGACUCGUCUGGCUUCUUGCGCAGGUUGAACAGAUGGUCCGCAUGCUUUCUGACCGUCUUGUAGGAGGUGUACUCCUUUGUGAAGAUGAAGGCCAACUCCUUGAAGUUUCCUAUCGACGCGGACGGUAGAGUGUGGAACCAGUCUUGAGCUGCUCCUCGCAGGGUCAUCGCGAACACUUUGCACAUCAGGGCAUCAUCUGCCUUGUACAGGAUCAUGGCGCUCUUGAAGUGCCUCAAAUGGCUCUCAGGGUCAAAGUCCCCCUUGAAUGGAGUGAUGGAUGGCGUUGUGAACCGCUUCGGUGGAGGAGCUCGUUCCACUUUGUCGGUAAAGGGCGAGCAGUCAACUCGAUCAAUUUCCUUAUGCAGGGCCUCCUCCGCGCUUCCUUUAAGUUGGAGAACUUGGAGUCGGUCAUUUACUAGCUUCUCGACGUCCUCUGCUCGCAGGACUGGAGUCUCAGGCCGGCGUCUUCGGUGCCUCGAGCGCGACCGGCUAACCUCUUCCUCGGUUCCCAAAGGUCGAUCCCCUUGGGUGUUCUGCCCGUGGGGCAGAUUAGAAGAUUGAGCUUGUGAGGAUUCCUCUACAUCUUGUCGCCACGUGUUGGUCCUCGAGCAGGUUGGUGGGCGUCGAUCAUCACCUUCUACCCGCAAGGAGGGUCGCUCAGGUCGACGUCUUUGGUGUCUCGAGCGUGACUGGCUAACUCCUUCCUCGAUUCCCAAGGGUCGAUCCCCUUGGGUGCCCUGCCCGUGGGGCAGAUUAGGAGAUUGGGCUUGGAAUGAUCCCUCUACAGCUUGCCGUCGCGUGUUGGCCCUCGAGCGGGUUGGUGGGCGUCGGUCGUUGCGUUCGUCACGCGACUGCUCACGAACUCGAGCUCCUUGUGGGCCCAAGCGGGCGUGGACAUUGGAUUGUGGGCCUAAGCGGGCGUGGACAUUAUUCUGUGGGCCUAGCCUCUCGAGCACAUUGGUCCUUGGUUCUAGCCCGAACGGCUCAGAGUACGGCUCGCGGCUGUCUGCGUCUCAUCUACUCGAUCUCGAUCUCGAUCUCUCCUCUGCCGGUUUGCCCUUGUCUGACCAGCUUGGGACCUCUCGAACUGCUCGCCGACAUGCUGGUGUGCCCUCAUCUCCUCGUCACGGGGUCCAAGGUUAAGGCCUUGAUUCAAGUUGAUCUGCCUGAGCAGCUGGCCAAUCAGGUUGUUCUGAUCAUCGACCUUCUGUGUGAGUUAAUCGACCCGUGAGUUAAGGUCCACCUGACUGCGCGGGUCAAGUAGAGUGAUGUGCAUCGGGCCCACGGCAAAUGGGCUAGGGCUCCAUUAGACGCGUACACAGGUGCAUAUGUCGAGUGUGAUAGCAGAGGAGGGAGAGAAUGGAUCUGCUCCAGGACUGGGAAGACGUCGGAGUAGCCAUGGGGCUGAGCAGCAAAUCCGGUAGUUGAGUGGUGUGGCUGCUGCUGUGCUACGACGGCAGGACAGCGGGGCAGAGCAGCUCCUGUAAUCGGCGCUGGCAACUGCAAGGCUGUGGAGGUCCCGAGGUCAUGGUCCGGCUGUUCUGCAAUUCCAGCAGCUGAAUGCGGCUGCAAAGCACUGGAGGACGACUGCAAGGCGUUGGCAGCCACGAUUCCGUGCGGUUGCAUUGAGGUUUCCACCACGAAACCAUGAGAUGGGCCCAUCGUGGUGGCGUUACUCUUCGUACGUCUUGUAUCAACCAUAGUUGUUUGAAAAAAUGUGUGAAAGAUGGAUUUAGAGCACGCUUUGAAUAUACCUCGUGCUCUCAAUGAAAGCACCAAUUUGUUUGUGCAAAUAAUCUCACGGGAGAAUAUUCGCCCAAGAUUCCUUCGUCUUCUCCGCCUCUCUUUCUCCCUGCAAAACAGAUCGGAGUAAAAGGACCACACCCGGGGGGUGUUGGCCAAAGGCCCUCCGAUGCCUAAGUUAGGUAAGGGAAUUCAAGGAAAACCGGGUGGCCGGAGCCUUGUGUGAGAGAGAGAAAGAGAGGAGGUGCCUAGGGUUUUUGAGAAAUAAUUUAUGCAGAGUUUCAGUAGGAAUUUAGACGUACCUCAUCCUUGUGUGUAACCAGGUAUUUAUAGUGGCCUUUGGAGAGGUAGGUGGGGUUGGUGUAGUUGGUGUGGUUGGUGGGGUUGGUGCAUUUAGGGAUUAUGGAUGAACCGAAUCCCUAAUUAAAUUGGGGAUCAAGUAACCCCCAAUUUGAUUAGGUAAUUCCCAAUUAGGUUAGGUAACUCCUAAUUAGGUCAAAUAAUUCCCAAAUUGAUUGGCCUAAUUAAUUGACCUAGGGUUUUGGUUUAAUUAGGUUCCCACAAGUGUGAAAUUGUGACCACGAGAUUCGGUAUAAGCUGUAACCCAAAAAGGUACGUAAGUACGUACAGAAAACCAAACCAAAUACACACGUUCAAACAGGAGUAAGGGGAUACAAAAUAAAUAAAUUAACAGGAAAGACAGAGUUUAACCUGGUCAGUGGACUCUACUUUAAUGGUUAUGGCAGUGGAGAAGAUAUCACCCGCUUUCUUGCCAGGAGAAACUGCAUCAACAGAGACUCCAAAUGCCUGCAGUGCUUGAAAUGGGACCACUGCCUCGUAAUCUUCCAUGCAGUCCCCGCACAGUAACACACCCUCCUCUGCUCCUCGCCUUUCGGAUUUCCCAUUUCUUUUUUUAUUUUCCUUCUUUAGUUUCUUUCUUGCUUUUUCUUUCUUCUAUCUUCUUUCUUCUUUAUCACAGAGGGAGGUGGUCUGAUAAAGGAAGGAAGGCCUGCUUUAAAUAUAAUACUCACACAAGCGUUUUUGGAGGUUUGUGGAGUCAGCUAGACACGUCGCAGUUAGUAAUCGUGGCAUCUCUCUCUAUUCCUCUUUUCUUUUCAGUUCGGAUAACUAUUGUAUUAGUUUCGAGCCAUAACCAUAUCCAAGUUUGAUAUUAUUUGUUGUCUUCUUCACCGACCAAGUGAGUCUAAAUAAUUCAAGGAAGAUUCAAACUUGUAAUGUUUAUCUCUAACAGGUAUGGAUAAUAAAUGUAAUGUUUAUCUCUGACAGGUAUGGAUAGUGUUGAAUAGCCUUCGCGUUGAUUUUACCUCGACUGCCAUGUUGAUUUUCACCAGCGCAGCAAAGCUGCUUGCUUUGUGUUAUGAGGUCUGGUUUUGUCAACAAACUAUAUUAAUUGACCCAAAAGAAAAUGCAAUAUAAUGUGGAUCCUCAUUUCGCAGUGACAGGAUAUGGUUGUGAAAUACAGGCUAACUUUGGACAACCUGAUAUUCAAAAGAAAAUUCAAUAUCUUGUCGAUCCUCAUUUUGCAGUUACAGGAUGGUUGUGAAAGUAUAAGCUAACUCUGGACAACACGAUAUUCAUUCAGGUAAAACUUCGAGGUGUACAGUGAGGGAGAUAGAAACCCUUGAGCUGAAAUCCUUGGCGCCGACGACUAAUAAAUCAUAGUGUCCUUCUUGUUGAUGUGUAACCCUUGAGUUGAAAUCCUUGGCGCCAAAGUUGUUUUUUAUUUGCAUUUUAUUUCUUUUUUAUAUGUUUAAACUCUGUUUGUAAUAUGAGCCAUUGGAUCAUAGUCCAAGUGGUCUCUUAUCUAGCCUAGGAUAUAAUCUGUCAGAUUGUGACAAGUGUAAUCAUCUCAUAGGCUGAUAGGAUCAAUUGUUAGGAUUAAAUCCCUGUGUAAAUUAGGUAGAGAAGAAUCUCUCUUCUCUCUCCUCUAACGGAUAUAUUGGUAUAGUGGAAAUGGAAGCAUAACAGCUCCUUUAGCAAUAUUGCAGCUCAAUAAUCUCUCCUAUCUUUCCAAAAUCUAAAAUCUCCAGAAAACUAGAACACUAAAACUAUGAACUCUAAUAUGGUAUCAGAGCUAGGUUGGAUUGCUUAAACUGGGCGUGAAUCUGUGAACAGAGAAUCGGACUCGAUUCGAGCUAUUUUUUGUUGUUGAGCUUAUUUGAAGAUCGAAGCUGUGAUUUCUUGAAUCCAAUGUCUAAUAUGGCAGGAUCGGGAACAGCUGAGCUUCACACACCAGUUUUCAAUGGAGAAAACUAUUAGUGUUUUGGAGCAUUAGGAUGAAAACCAUUCUGAAAUCUCGUGGAUUGUGGGAUCUGGUCUAGAAUGGGAUAGAUAAUUCAGAUCUGAAGAAGGAGAACGAGGAGGCUACGGUUACUGAGAAGUCCACUAUGGCUCAGAUUUUGAUGAAGGAUGCUCGCGCACUUGGAUUGAUUCAAAGUGCUGUCUCAGAUAAGCUAUCCCCAGAAUUGUGAACGAAGAGACCUCAAAGGGUGCCUGGGAUAUUCUGAAGCUGGAGUUCAGAGGCGAUAAACAAGUAAGAAAUGUCAACUUGCAAGGGUUGCGUAGAGAAUUUGAAUAUACUCAUAUGAAGGAUAGUGAAUCUCUAUCUGUAUAUCUUGUUAGAUUGUUUGAUAUGAAUAAUCAAAUGAAGAGUUAUGGUGAGGAAUUACCUAGAGAGAGAGUUGUGCAGAAAUUGUUGUUUAGUCUGCCGAAAUCAUAUGACUCUAUUUGCUCUGUGAUUGAACACUCUAAGGAUCUUGAAACUCUGGAAGUUCAAGAGGUGGUUGCCCCUUUGAAGAGCUUUGAGCUCAUAUUUGAUCGCCAUACUGAGAAUUCUAUAGAAAGGGCAUUUACUAGUCUGAAUAUUGAGGAAAAGAAUUCUAAGAGUGGAAAUUUUCCUGGAGAUCAAAAAUCUCAGAAAAACUGGAAGUCUAAUGAUGAAAACAAAACAGCUUGUAAACACUGUAAUAAGCUGCAUUAUGGCAAGUGUUGGUUUGAAGGGAAACCUAAAUGCCAUGGGUGUGGGAAAUUUGGGCAUAUGAUCAGAGAUUGCAGUGGGAAUAAAAAUGUACAUAAGGUGAAUUAUGCAAAUCAAGUUGAGGAAACUGGUACUUUGUACUAUGUGUGCAAUGCUGCAACAGAUGUGAAAGUGAAUUAUUCAUGGUACAUUGACAGUGGUUGUAGUAACCACAUGACAGGAGAUGAGGGACUUUUAGUCAAUAUUCAAAGGAACUUGACCUCUAAGGUGAAGAUGGGAACUGGAGAAGUAGUUCCAGUUGCAGGAAAAAGGACUCUUGUGAUAAAAACCAAGUUGGGUAAGAAGCACAUUCAAGAAGUAAUGCUUGUACCUGGUCUUGAAGAAAAUAUGCUUAGUGUUGGGAAAAUGAUUGAGGAUGGAUACUAUCUUGUGUUUGGAGGGAAUAUGGUGAAUAUUUAUGAUGAUUAGUCACGGAGAAAUCUAAUUGUGAAGGUUCAAAUGACCGAUAACUGAUGUUUUCCACUUACAAUGAUGCCUGCAAGUGAUUUGGCCUUAAAGGCAAGUGUUACACACUGCUUGCAGACAAGGCAUAAAAGAUUGGGGCACUUAAAAGAAAGAAGCAUAAAAUUGCUUGAGAAUCAAUGCAUCGUUCAUGGCUUACCUCAUUUGGAGCAGAUUUUAGUAGUAUGUGAAGGCUGCAUGCUAGGAAAGCAACACAGAGAUUCUUUCCUUUUGGAGUCCACUUGGAGAGCUACAAGUCCUUUGGAAUUGGUUCACACAGAUACCUGUGGACCAAUGAAGACUGAAUCCAUUUCUGAAAAUAGGUAUUUCUUGCUAUUUACAGAUGAUUGCACUAGAAUGUCAUGGGUGUAUUUCAUCAUAAACAAGUCAAGUGCAUUUGACUGUUUUAGAAAGUUCAAGGCUAUGACUGAGCUACAAAGUGGAUAUAAGAUAAAAGGCUUGAAGAGUGACAAGGGUGAAGAGUUUUUAUCCAGUGAAUUUUACAGGUUUUGUGAUGAAUUUGGAAUUCAAAGGCAGCUUAUUAUAGCAUACUCUCCUCAGCAAAAUGGAGUAGUUGAAAGAAAGAACAUGACAGUAGUGGACAUGGCAAAAUCUAUGCUGCAUGAGAAGGGUAUUUCUUAUGAAUUUUGGGUGGAAGCUGUAAAUACUACAGUCUAUCUACUGAAUAGAUGUCCCACCAAGUCUCUCAAGAAGGUAACACCAUUUGAAGCUUAUACUGGCAGAAAACCAGGAAUUGCACACUUAAAGAUUUUUGGAUCUCCUUGUCAUGUGCUCAUCCCUUCAGCAUUAAGGCAUAAACUUGAAGAAAAUAGCCACAAGUGUAUUUGUGUGGGUUAUGGACUCUGUGAAAAGGGGUACAUGCUAUUUGAUCCAAGCAUUAGAAAGGUUAUUCUGUCCAGAGAUGUGCAGUUUGAUGAGAAUGGCUCAUGGAAGAGGGAGAAUGCAAGUGCAUGAGAAAUGACAGUCCCUGUGCCUACUGAGAAUCAAAACUGUAAUCCAAGUCAAAGCUUGGGUACACCAAUGCAAAUGGAUGAAGGAAUCACACUACAGAAUGAACCAAGUCAAAGCUUGGAUACACCAACAUAAAUGGAUGAAGGUAUUACUCUGCAAGAUGAAGGAAUAAGUGAAAGUUCUCAAGCUAUUGAUCACACACCAAAGAAAUGGAGAAGUGUUAACGAAAUCAUGGCUCAAUGCAAUAUCUGCAUUGUGGAACCUGAAAGUUUUGAAGAAGCUAAUCUUGAUAAGUCAUGGAGAAAUGCAAUGAAGGCUGAGCUGGAAAUGAUUGAGAAAAAUAAUACAUGGAAACUAGAGACAAACCAUUUGGCAAGCCAAUUAUUGGUGUCAAGUGGGUCUUCAAAACUAAGCUAAAUCUGGAUGGAUCUGUGCAGAAAAACAAGGCCAGACUUAUGGCAAAAGGCUACUCUCAGAAGCCUGGAAUAGACUAUAAUGAGACGUUUGCUCUAGUAACAAGAUUGGAUAUUAUUAGAACGUUGAUAGCACUUGCUGCACAGAAGGAAUGGAAUCUAUAUCAACUGGAUGUAAAAUCUGCCUUUCUGAAUGAAGUGUUAAAGGAAGAGGUUUAUGUGGAGCAGCCACAGGGUUUUGUGAAGGAAAAUGAAGAAAUCAGAGUGUAUAAGUUGAACAAGGCCUUCUAUGGACUAAAGCAAGUCCCAAGAGCCUGGUAUGAUGAGAUAGACUCUUACUUCAACAAGGCAGGAUUCAAGAAAAGUCCUAGUGAAGCAACACUCUAUGUCAAAACUAGUGAAGAUUCAGGUAUUCUUAUUGUUUCACUCUAUGUGGAUGAUAUUGUCUAUACUAGAAGUUGCCCAAAGUUACUUGAAGAGUUCAAAAAUGAUAUGAUGCAACAUUAUGAAAUGACUGAUCUUGGACUACUCUACCAUUUUCUUAGCAUGGGAGUAGUACAAACAGAUAAACAUAUCUUUCUUCAUCAGAAGAAAUAUGCAUUGAAGGUGAUUGAAAAGUUUGGAUUGAAGGACUGCAAGUCUGUGGUAACUCCAUUAGUUGCAAAUGAAAGCCUGUGCAAGGAAGAUGGCAGUGAGGCAGCAAAUGAGAGUGAAUAUAGACAGAUUGUAGGUAGCCUGCUUUAUUUGACAGCUACAAGACUAGACAUAAUGUUUGCCUCUAGCUUGCUUGCUAGAUUCAUGCAUAAUCCAACUAGAAAACACAUGGGAACAGCCAAGAGGGUAUUAAGAUACAUUUAGGGCACACUUGAUUUUGGAAUUGAAUUUAUAAAAGGGAAGACAACUACCUUGAUAGGGUAUUGUGACAGUGACUGGGCAAGAAGUGAAGAUGAUAGAAGAAUUACUUCAGGAUAUGCAUUCACACUAGGAUAUGGUAUGUUCUCAUGGGCAUCAAUUAAACAAAACACAGUAGCUUUCUCCACUGCAGAGGCAGAAUAUGUUAGUGCUGCUGAAGAAACAUCACAAGCUAAAUGGCUAAGGUUCGUACUUGAAGAUUUUGAAGAGGAGCAAGUGGAAGGUACACCAAUUCUGUGUCAUAACACCUCUACCAUAGCAAUGGCAAAGAAUCCAGUUUUCCACCAGAAAACCAGACAUAUUAGCCUAAAGUUUCAUUUCAUUCGAGAAGCUAUUCAAGCAAAGGAGAUUGAACUAAUCUACUGGAAAACAGAAGAUCAUAUUGCAGACAUCCUAACCAAGGCUUUGUCCAAGGAUCGUUUUGUGUAUCUCAGAGAUCUACUUGGUGUGAAAUCAGUCAAAGGGUUAUAGAAGGGAGUGUUGAUGUGUAACCCUUGAGCUGAAAUCCUUGGCGCCAAAGUUGUUUUUUGUUUGCAUUUGAUUUCUUUUUUAUAUGUUUAAACUUUGUUUGUAAUAUGAGCCAUUGGAUCAUAGGCCAAGUGGUCUCUUAUCUAGCCUAGGAUAUAAUCUGUCAAAUUGUGACAAGUGUAAUCAUCUCAUAGGAUGAUAGGAUCAAUGGUUAGGAUUAAAUCCCUGUGUAAAUCAGUUAGAGAAGAAUCUCUCUUCUCUCUCCUCUAACGGAUAUAUUGGUAUAGUGGAAAUGGAAGCAUAACAGCUCCUUUAGCAAUAUUGCAGCUCAAUAAUCUCUCCUUUCUUUCCAAAAUCUAAAAUCUCCAGAAAACUAGAACACUAAAACUAUGAACUGUAAUACUUCUAAAGCAUUAGUAUAAUACAAGCUUCGUCCACAACCAAACUUGCAUGGAACAUGGCAUAUACAUAUCAAAACCAGAAUGUCACUUGUUCCCUCAUAUAUAGAAACGUCACCUUAACAUAACACUUACAUAUAGUACAUGCAAGCAGCUGACCCAGUAAACAGCAAAUGAUACUCGAAUAUCAAGCAAUAUCAUCAACUGAGAAAUGAACUCUGGGUGGCCCGGCCACGCUCUCCAGUCCAAAUUUCCAUCUGUGAAACAAUGAUCUAUUGGACCAGGUUCCAGCCGUGUUGCUCCUGACAAAACCGCAUUAAGCUUCACCACUGAAUACGCAGUAUAUUUCUUUCCCUAAAAUUUAGCUAGUUAACAACAAUUAGGACAUGAUUUAAAAAAGUCCAUAAUGUGAAAAUAAGUAAAUCAACCCUCAAUCAGAAGAAUCAGCAAAAGGCAAACAGAUUACAAUUUCAAAGUGGUUUCUUUUUUACCUCGUCAUUAAAUACUCACUCAGUAAAUCAACCCUGUUACAAAAUUGAUGAUACUCCCAACUCUUCCUAACACCUUCCGAAAAACUGAAACUGCCUAGCUCAGCCAAGCCUUUUGGUUUUCCUUAGUAGGUAAUUUCUUGUUUUACCCCAUUCUUAAACCAUUCCAUCUAGCAUAGAUUUUUACUGCUUCAUAUAUUCCUUCAGAGAAUUCUGCAUUACAGUACACACCUUCCGACUUUUAUAUUACCGCACAAAUGUUCAUGCACCAACUGGCAAGCUUGCUCAUCAACACCCACAACAAAACAUACAUUUAAAUUUACGAUCAACUACAUAGAUAGUGAGUUAUAGAACAAAUGAAUCCACAGGUUAUCUGUAUUGUCUUUUUGGUUAAACAUGUUUAACUUCCCACACAAAAUUAAUUUUACUCUAGCAUUUUAGUUUAUGUUAAAAAGCGUAAGAAGUUAAAAUGUUAUGGAAUCUACAUUAUAUAUGUAUAUCUACCACAGAAAUGCUAUAAUGUGGGGUUGUGUGUGAGGGGUUCAAUACCACUAUCCAAUAAUAUAAAGGAUAUUUUGAACUUAAACUUUUUAAUGAUUGGAUGGUUGGAUGGUUGGAGACCAAGUAUAAAUAUCCUAGUUCUUUGUGAAUGUACAAAUCAUCCAAUUUCAAACAAAUUAACUUUAUAUUAUUGUUUCAACUCAUUUAGUUUCAAAGAUUGAAAUUCUGGCAGAUGGAUGCAAUUGGUUUCCUGGCUUCCACAAUUUGCUUCACUAAUGCAAUGACUUUCUCAUCCAAUACCAAAUGUUCUGGGGCUCCAGUUGUACGGCAUACAACAGUGAGGUUAAUUCUCAGUCUCGCAGCUAUGCACAAGUGGUCUUUGAGGCAAUUGAAUGUUAAGAACGCAUUCUUACAUGGGGAGCUUGAAGAAGAAGUUUUUAUGAGGCAACCUCAAGGUUUUGAAGACCCCAAGCAUCCUGAGUUUGUGUGUAAGCUGAAUAAGUCUCUGUAUGGACUUAAGCAAGCUCCACGGGCAUGGAAUGCUAAAUUUACAGGAUAUUUACCAGCUAUAGGGUUCAAAUAAUCUCGUUCUGAUCCCAACUUAUUUGUCAAGCAUGACGGCACUGAUAUUAUAAUUUUAUUAUUAUAUGUUGAUGGUAUCAUCUUGACAGGCUCCAAUGCAAAUUUAGUGCAGACAGUGAUUGAUGAUUUAGGAGCAGUGUUUGAGAUGAAGGACAUGGGUCGCCUUACCUAUUUCCUUGGUCUUCAAGUGUCUUACAAUUCUACAGGUGAUAUUUUUGUCCAUCAGCACAAGUAUGCUAAAGAUCUACUGCAAAAGGGCUGGUCUGAGUAAUUGUAAGGCUUCUCCUACUCCUUGCAAGCCACAUAAUCAAGUCUUAAUGUCUGAAGGAGAACCACUGCAUGAUCCUACAUUUUAUAGAAGUAUUGUUGGUGCCUUACAAUACUUAACUUUCAUAAGACCUGACUUAUCCUAUGCUGUCAAUACUGUGUGUCAGUGUAUGACUGCUCCCACUGAGAUACAUUUCAACCUGGUCAAAAGAAUUUUGAGAUACAUUCAAGGUACCAUGAAUUAUGGAAUUCACUUUAUUCAUGGUCCUUGGAAAUUACAAGCUUAUAGUGAUGUUAACUGGGCGGGGGAUUUAAAUGCUAGGAGGUCAACUACAGGUUUUGUGGUAUUGCUUGGACAUAAUCCUAUCUCAUGGCAGUCUAAGAAGCAAGGGUCUGCAUCCAGAAAUUCUACAGAGGCCGAGUAUAGGGCUUUGGCUAGUACAGCUGCAGAUUUGGGUUGGAUUCGAAAGGUUUUGCUAGACUUGAAAGUGUGCUUGCCUCUACCUCCUACCAUCUUUUGUGAUAAUCUAUCUGCUUUGGCACUUAGUAGUAAUCCUGUGUUUCAUUCACGAAUUAAACACUUGGAUACAGAUUUUCACUUUGUUCGUGAAAGGGUUCAAAGGAAUGAUCUGAUUGUUUAGUAUGUUCCCACUCAAGAGCAAAUCGCAGAUGUAUUUACUAAAGGACUGCAUAGUCCUAUUUUCUUGAGUCACUGUACUAGUAUGCGACUUGGAAAUCCAUAGCAGGAUCCAGAGUUGGGUUUGAGGGGGAAUGAUAACAAUAUUAGUUAGUUUGUUAAGCUGUCACGUGUGCUCACGUGUUGUUAGUUAGUAGUAACUAUAAUUAGUUAAGAGUGUUAAGUCUUGGUUAUUGAGAUAUAACACUAAUGAAACUGCCGUUGUAAUUCAUUAUAUACAGAGCAUAUCAUUUCUUCUUCCUUCUUAGUCUUCUCAAUUCUUAAGCUUCCUUUUCUAAACUGUUAUCAGAUGGAACCCUAUCACACCAGAAUUGUGGCAAAUCUGGUAUAGCCGAUUCAGGUUAUUUUCACUAUAUAUCUUUCAGAAGUAUCUGUAACGGGGCAAAUCUCCAUCAAUCCUCUUCUUUUCAGUUUAUCUUUAUGCCCAUUCAUGCAUGUAUAUAUUAUACGAAGAAGUUUUUGACAUAUGGCAUGUAUUGUGUGUCAAAUGUAUACCGAUUCAUGAAGACAGGUUCAAGAUCACAUACACCAUAUUCACCUUCAUUUCUUUUUGUUUAUUCUGGGUUUCUCCAAUUUGAAUCACAUUAAAAAACAAAUACUGAACAGUGAUAUAUUCAAUAUUGAUCGGCAUCACAAUUUCAUAUUUCUCAUUGCACUACGAAGGAAAAUAAAACUUACCCCACAGAGAAACAGGAUCCUCCUAUCUGAACCAGUUAUGUUACCACCUAGUGCCUUCACAAAAAGCCUAAUGAACUCAGGAUUCAUAUGUAGCCCCAGUAAUUAUAUUACCAUCAACAACAGACGCCAACAUGGUCUCGGGUUCCACCCAAUAAGCACCUGCAGGCUGCAGCAACAAGUACAGGUCUGACAGGUGGGAAGGCCGUUAUAGUAUAGCCGCGCGGCUAUACUCCAUAAGCAGAAUAUUUUAAAAGUACAGCCGCACCGCUAUACUCCAAAAAUUAUAAUAUCGUAAAAGUACAGCCGAUCGGCUAUACGCGAUAAAUAAAAUAUUUCAAAUGGCUAUACUAAAGGAACUUAAACGUNNNNNNNNNNNNNNNNNNNNNNNNNNNNNNNNNNNNNNNNNNNNNNNNNNNNNNNNNNNNNNNNNNNNNNNNNNNNNNNNNNNNNNNNNNNNNNNNNNNNNNNNNNNNNNNNNNNNNNNNNNNNNNNNNNNNNNNNNNNNNNNNNNNNNNNNNNNNNNNNNNNNNNNNNNNNNUAUUUUCACUUAGAGACGAAGGCACUAAUGCAAUUUUGUUUAUUGAAUAUGGUGUACGCAGUGACGUUGGAGCCAAGAAUUUGUUCACGCUGUCUUUUCCCCAGAACUCAAAGCUCAAUACAGGUCGGUUCUCUAGCUCAUAAUGAAUGAGCAAAACUCCUAACAUGUGUUCUUGUUUGAGCUUACUUUAGUCUCGCUGUCCACACAACCUAGAAACUAUGACCUACGGAUUGCUAUUUGUCAAUCUAAUAGAGUGGCUCUAAUCAACAGUAAAACUUAAUUCAUUUUGUCUAUAAUUAAGGCUACCAACCACUGGCUGAUGCAAAAACCUAAACUUGUAAACUUGACAAACUUAUUUCCAGUCCCAACAUACUCCAAAUUUUAGAGGAGGCAACAUAAUCCCAUAUGUGAGAAUUGUAAGCACUUCAAUCUUUGAGACAAAUUUCUUGUUUUGGGUUUACAAAUUCAAGUGAAGUAAGCAUUCAAUCUUCAAUCCAAUUGAGUGUGCUUGAUUACAGAGCAUGGAAAAGACCAAUUGACAGUGCUCAAGUGAUGUAAUGAGGCUAAAGAAUAAAUUUUUAUCAUAUAAUCAUUAAAUAUGUUCACUAAAAGAUGUGUCAUCGUUAUAUGUAAAAAUUUUAGAAAUAUAUAAACUAGCUAGGAUUUACGUGAAUUCGAAUUUGAAUACAUGAAAUAUUAUUACCUACUACAUCAUUUGAUGAACAGAUUUGAUGUUCCUAACAAUUCUAUGCGUACUAGUAAAGUACUUUGUCUUUAAUUUGGAAGUACCCGAAAGCAUAAUGUUUUUCAUAUAUUAUCUGGCAGGAGGCAAUUCAAGAAAAAAAGCCAUCAUUAUUGGAGUCGUAGUUGGAGGUGUAGGUCUUUUAUUCUCAUUGUUGGAGUUUUUCUCUAUUUUAAACUUUCAAGAAAGCCCGAGGCUGCAACAACCACAGAAUUCGAAGUUGCACUUCCUCUUGCAUAUAUACUAUUACAGUCAUGAUUUCUUGGACUACAAGUACAAGGGUUCAAGAGAUUUGUGAUCACUCACCGUUUGAUGUAAAUUCAACGGUUCACUCACUGUUGCACUUCUUUUAAGAAAUUUUUUUGAACCAUUGGAUUAAUAUCUAACGGUGGGUGACCACAAUCUCUUGGACUCCUGUAGUCCAAGAGAUCGGAUUGUAUACUAUAAGUCCUGAUCUCUUAGACUACAAGAGUACAAGAGAUUUGUGGUCACUCACCGUUGGAUAUAAAUUCAACGGUUCACUCAUUAUUGCACUCCUUUUAAGAAACUUUUUUGAACCAUUGGAUUAAUAUCCAACGAUAGGUGACCACAAUCUCUUGGACUCCUGUAGUCCAAGAGAUUUGUGGUCACUCACCGUUGGAUGUAAAUUCAACGGUUCACUCACUCUUGCACUCAUUUUAAGAAACAUUUUUGAACCAUUGGAUUAAUAUCCAACAGUGGGUGACCACAAUCUCUUGGACUCCUGCAGUCCAAGAGAUCGGGACUGUAUACUAUCAAUCCUGAUCUCUUGGACUACAAGGGUCCAAGAGAUUUGUGGUCACUCACCGUUGGAUGUAAUUCAAUUAGCUCAUGCUCUAACCAUGUAUAUAUAUAAACAUAACAAAUUUAAAAAAAUUUGGUAUUAGACAUAAUUAUCUUUACUAAUUAGUAUUCGAGAUAAACAAUAUUUAUGUUUUAGUUUUAAUACAUAGGAAUUGAAUUUUGUUUUGGAUUUGGACAAAGAGGAGGCCCAGAUUCAUUAGCCCACCUUAUAUUAAUCACUAAUUUUAAUUUAAAAACCUGACUCAAAUUCGUUGGUUUACCUUUUUUUUAAGACUGCUGCUAAACGAACCCUAACAUUAACUGAGUACACCCUAUGAUCUAAGUACACUCUGAUAUUUUAAUUUAAAUGUAAAAUUAACUAAGCACACCCUAUAGAACUACCAAAAAUAUCUCUGGUACACCAUAAUAUUUGUAGCAUUAUUUUAUAGUUGAUUUUUAGCUUGAUUUUUUUAAUAGUGUUUAUAAAUCUUUGACUUUUCAUAUGGAUUUAUGCUUCUACUAAAAUUGUUGACACUUUUUUUGCAAUUUCAAGUUCUUGCAAUCACCACCUCUUUCGUUAAUAAUGAUUUUUUUAUGCAUGUUUCAGUUAUAUACUACUAUGCUACUAUGAAAUUUAUUCGUUCUCAACGAAGUUAAAAACAAGCUAAACAAAUAGAGNNNNNNNNNNNNNNNNNNNNNNNNNNNNNNNNNNNNNNNNNNNNNNNNNNNNNNNNNNNNNNNNNNNNNNNNNNNNNNNNNNNNNNNNNNNNNNNNNNNNNNNNNNNNNNNNNNNNNNNNNNNNNNNNNNNNNNNNNNNNNNNNNNNNNNNNNNNNNNNNNNNNNNNNNNNNNNNNNNNNNNNNNNNNNNNNNNNNNNNNNNNNNNNNNNNNNUGUAUGAAGCAUCCGUUCCAAAAUUUCAAAAGUAACCCAACUUGCAAAUCUGCAUAAAAACAUAAGAGAAAAACAAUAAGAAAGGUGCAUGAGUGGCAAACGAAAGUCACUGCAAACUUCAUCAAAUUGGCCCUAGUAGUACUAAUUAAGAUAUUUUUAAUCAUACACGCUCACAAGCCAGAAAAACUAAGUCCUAAAAGAGGGAUGAAGAUGCUGCCACCACAAUUUUCAUUCAUGUUGUUAGUGAACUAGGCAAAAGUAAUAUGCAUAAAUUCUAUUUUUACAGUAUAUAAGUCAAUUCACCAUAAUAUUUUUUUGACAACUUAUUGGAUUGUCAGGAAUUCAAUGAUCAAUCAGGCCUUCACAUAAUCUCCACCGCUGCGCUUCCUUUUGGACCGUGAGAAGAAGCAGAUUUGAGCCCAAGUCUUCUUCUGCUUAGCAGGUUGUGCUUUAACUUCUCUUUUCACGACAAGCUCAAUCAUGUAUUGAACAACAGCCUAAGAUUAUAUUUGCUCCAAACCAUUCUGACUCGCGGAUCACAAAGAUGAGAACCAAAUAAUCUCUUGAGUAGGGUUGAAUACGAUUAGUAGGGUGUACUUAUUAAAAUUAUAUUUGUUUCACAAUUUCAUAUAUCAUUUUUGGUCAUUUUAUAUUAGAGUAAAUCAGUAAUUCAAUAUAUGCUUUUGUAGUAGGGUGUACUCAGUUAAUUUUAGGGUUCGUUUAGCAGCACUCUUUUUUAAUCAUAUCAGAUCUGCUAUCAUCAAUCCAAGAUCAAGAGACCGAUCUGCGAUGGAAUUCUCAACCAUCUUCCUCCUCUACCCAACCCCCCCACAAAUGACACUGUUCGGACCAUCCUCAACACCCCAACACACGUCGCCCUCAAGUCCGAAGAACUUAUAAGAAUGGAGCAGGAAUUGAAAGACUACGAAAUCGAAAUGCGGAAAGCCAAAGAGGAUCUCAACCGUCGGAUUCACGAUGAUCAGGUCGCGAGGGAGAUCAUGAAGAUUCCAUAGGACGAGUGGCAAGAGUCUGGCCAACUCUUCGCCAAACCCUUCGGUGAAGGCUCCUCCUCAUCGUCGUUGACGAAGAGGGUCAAGAGUGAAAGAGUGUUCUAUCAGAUUGGUCAAAAAAUAAUACUUCAUUUAUCUUAAUAUAUAACAAAUAGGAAGGUUAUAUAUACAAAGCCUAGGAAACUAUUCUAGGAAAGUAAUUAUGUUCCUAUAAUCUUGCAUAAUCAAAUAGUUGACUUAGACUAAUUAGGAAUGUACAGCUCAUUGACACUCCCCCUCAAGUUCGAGCAUAUAUGUCGUCAAUGCCCAACUUGCUAAGUGAGCUGUGAAAUACCCUGCCUGUGACUGCUUUGGUAAGGACAUCUGCAAGUGAUCUUCGGAUUUAACAAAUGAUACCUUAAUGAUCUUGCCUCGAGCUUCUCCUUGAUGAAAUGUCUGUCAACUUCAACAUGCUUGGUUCUAUCAUGUUGCACUGGAUUAUGUGCAAUGUCUAUUGCAGCUUUGUUGUCACAAUUCAGUUGCAUGGCAUGUUUGGGUUUGAACCCCAAUUCCUCCAACAAAUUCCUUAUCCAGAGUAGCUCACAUACUCCGUGCGCCAUACCUCGAUAUUCUGCUUCAGCACUUGAUCUUGACACUACUUUCUGUUUUUUACUUCGCCAAGAUACUAGAUUGCCUCCUACAAAGGUAAAGUAUCCAGAUGUAGAUCGCCUGUCAGUAACAGAGCCCGCCCAGUCUGCAUCAGUGUGACCCUCAACAUCUAGAUGACCAUGUCGUGCGAACAUCAAUCCUCUUCCAGGAGAUGACUUCAAGUAUCUCAAAAUUCAGUUUACCGCAUCCAUGUGGGCUUCACUUGGUGCAUGCAUGAACUGACUCACCACACUUACAGCAUAUGCUAUAUCAGAUCUAGUGUGUCCUAGAUAGAUUAACUUACCCACAAGGCGUUGAUAUCUUUCUUUGUUGGUGGGUACUUGAUCAGGAUAUUCACCAAGCUGAUGAUUCAACUCCAUUGGCGUAUCUGCUGGUUUGCUGGCUAACAUUCCAGUGUCAGUCAAAAUGUCAAGGAUAUAUUUCCGUUGUGAUAGAAAUAUUCCUUGUUCUGAACGAGCCACUUCGAUGCCUAGGAAAUACUUCAGAGCACCAAGAUCUUUCAUUUCAAACUCACUUGCCAAGUGGUGCUGCAAUGCUGCCUUUUCCACUAGGUCAUUCCCGGUAACUACCAUGUCAUCAACAUAUACAAUAAGGGCAGUGACUUUACCUUUCUUAUGUUUCAAGAAAAGAGUAUGAUCUGAGUUACUUUGCUUGUAUCCAAAAUCCUUCAUUGAUUUGCUGAACUUUUCAAACCAUGCUCUGGGUGACUGCUUCAAGCUAUAAAGAGACUUUCUCAGUUUACACACCAUGUUGCUAGUAUUGGACCCCAUCUUACAUCCUGGAGGGGAAUCCAUAUAGACUUUUUCUUCUAGGUCGCCGUGCAAGAAGACAUUUUUGACAUCAAACUGGUGUAAUGGCCAGUUUAGGUUUGCUGCCAGAGAAAAAAGUACUUGAAUUGUGUUUAUCUUGGCUACAGGGGCAAAUGUCUCCCUAUAGUCAAUCCCAUAAGUCUGGAGUAUAACCUUUCGCCACCAAUCUUGCUUUGUAUCGUUCAAUGGUGCCAUCUGCCUUGAACUUUACUGUAUAUAUCCAUCUACAACCCCACUGUUCUCUUCCCUUUGGGAAAGGAUAGUCAUCUUUCAAGUGGAAUUCUUCUGGAAGGCCUCCAUUUCAUCAUUCAUUGCUUGAGUCCACUUGGGGAUCUUUAGAGCUUCCUACCCAUUUACUUGGAAUAGAUACAGUGGAUAAUUGACAUACAAAUGAUGCACAUGACGGAGACAACCUAUGUAGGGACACAUGAUUAGCAAUAGGGUAUUUAACUUUUGUUUUUGGGUCCGGGUCAUACUGUUGUCUAGGAAUCCCUCUAGUGGUACGAAUAGGUAACUGAUAACCUGUGUUUCCUGUAUGACUCGACUCAUGUAAAGUACUUAAGUUGGAGUUUAAAUGCUCAGUUACCUGCGGGGAAUCUUCAGGACCUGAUUGGAUGAUUGGUGAUGGUACUGUAGUUGGAGGGAAAUUAUCUGAACCAUCAUCUGGAGUUUCUAGUAACUCUUGAUCUUGUUGCACUACUGUAGCUGGUUGCUCGGAAACUGACUGCUCUAAAAUAGUUUGUUGAAUUUGGAUGCUCUGAGUAUCUUCUGCAAAGAUAGAGCUCUCCCCCUGCAGAGGAUGCUCAGAAACUCCCCCUGAGUAAUAGAACUCACUCUCGUGGAAAGUCGCAUCUGCGGUAACAUGCAUGGUCUGAGUGGGAUGAUGGAAACACUUAUAGCCCUUCUGAGUGCCAGCAUAACCCACAAAGACACAACGCAGUGCACACGGAUCAAGCUUGCCACGCUGAUGUGGAUACACCUGAACAUAAGCAACACAACCAAAGAGACGUGGUUCGAGAUUUGGUGUGGAUGGCAUGGUGAGGAGAGUGGUCAAUGUCUGAAAUGGAGUUUGAUACUGAAGAGUGCUGGAUGGUGUUUUAUUAAUGAGGUAAGCAGCAAAACAAAGAACCUCCCCCCAAAAAUGAUGAGGNNNNNNNNNNNNNNNNNNNNNNNNNNNNNNNNNNNNNNNNNNNNNNNNNNNNNNNNNNNNNNNNNNNNNNNNNNNNNNNNNNNNNNNNNNNNNNNNNNNNNNNNNNNNNNNNNNNNNNNNNUUAAAAAAUUAUGUAGGUCAUGGUUGACUUACUCUCCUCCAUUGUCAGAUCGAAGCGUGGUGAUUUCUGUCAAACUGAGUAGCAACAUAUUGAUAAAAUAACUUGAAUUUGGCAGUGACUUCACUUUUCUGCUUUAAGGAAAAAAUCCAGGUCAUCCGGGUGCAAUCAUCAAUAAACGUCACAAACCACUUAAAACCGCUAAUAGUAGGAACUCGUGAUGGUCCCCAAACAUCAGAAUGGACAAUCAUGAAAGGCAAAGAACUUUUAUUCAAUCUUAAUGGGUAAGAAAUACGAUGGCUUUUGGCCAAAAUGCAAGUUUCACAACGAAAGUCUGAUUCAGCAAACUGGGAAAACAAAUCUGGAAAUAAAAGUUUCAGAUAACCAAAAGAAGCAUGCCCUAAUCAUCUAUGCCAUAGCCAAAUUUUCUUCAUCCUGAUAGACUCAUCUCCUCUCACAUGAUGUGUCUGACUCAAUCUUGUACUGCUGUCUUCUGUCAAGUCCAGAUAAUACAACUUUCCCCUCUUAGUACCACAUCCAAUCACGGUCCUGGUGAGAAGAUCCUGAAAUAGACAAUACAAUGGCCAAAAACACACAGUACAAUUAAGGGAAUCAAUGAUUUGAGGAACAGAUAACAAGUCAUAGUCGAGUGAAGGGACAACUAAGACAUGAUCAAGACUUAAUGAAGAUGUAAGAGAUAAAGACCCUUCUCUCAUAACUUGGGAGGUGGUUCCAUUAGAACUGGUAAUAUGUGUUUGGCUUGAUGGUUUGGUAGAGUGCAACCCAGUAAAACUAGAUGUCAUGUGAUCAGUAGCGCCAGUGUCAAUAAUUCAUGAUCUAUUACAAGUAAGUGAAGAUGUGCAAGAGGUACCUGAGGUGGCCAAGGCCUUGGAGCCAGAUGUACCUGAUGGAGGUUCUGAUGCAGUCUCCUUGGAUGACUGAGCGGAUGCAAAUGAGGCUCUGGUAGAAUCCUUUUUUCGCCCUUUGUGGACCCAUCCUUCUGGAUAACCAAUGAUCUCAUAACAGCCCUUAAUUGUGUGGUUAUCUAAACCACAUUUGGUACACUUCAUUGGAGGCCGGUUACAAGUAGGGUCGACACUAUAGUUGUUCGGCCGAGAUUGUUUGGACCUCGCAGUAGCCAAGGCUGUGGCUUCGGAGGUUACACCAACUUCAGACAUGGUUCCCUGUCGGUUACUUUCUCUUUUAAUAUGUGCAUAUGCGGCCUCCAGUUCGGGUUUUGGCUCCAUCCGCAAAAUCUCUCCUCGGAUUUGAUCGAAAUUAUUGUCCAAACCUGCAAGAAAUAUAUAAACUCGGAGACGAUCAACCUCUUUGCGUCUAGUCUCAAUGUCUUUCGGAUGCUCCAUGGUGCUUGGACUUAAUUGAUCAAGCUCCUGAAAAAUCUCAGUGAGCUCACUAUAAUAUUUGGCAACUGAUGCGCCAGCUUGCUUCAUUAUUAAUGACCGUCUGUGAAGGUCAUAAAUCUUGUCUUCAUCAGCACCAUCUGAAUAGGUUUGCUUGAUUGCGGCCCAGACUUGCUUUGCUGUGUCAUAACGAAUAAAUCGUUUAAUCUGAUUAGGUUGCAUGGCGUCGAACAACCAACUCUUGACUUGGCAAUCCGAUGCACGCCAUUUAUUAAAUGUGGGAUCUGUGUCUGCAGGUUGGGCAAUAUCACCGGUCAAGUGGCCAUGUUUUUCUCACCCAGCUAUCUUCAUCUCUAUGAUUUGAUGCCAUAGAGAAUAAUUAUUCUCAUCCGGUUUGAUUCCUGCGGAGAAGUUGGAGGUGUCACUCUGCAAAGUGACGAUUUAUGUGGUAGUUUUGGAGCCUCCCGACACCAAGGAUUGAUUGGUGUUUACUGACCCGUCAUCGUUGGCCAUGAUAUUGGCUGACAACCAAUGAAAAAAGGACAAAAAAGAAAUAUCAAGUUGAGGAAAAGCAAGUGAACGGUGGACAAAGGCAAUAAGACAAACUGUUUUGCAAUAAGAAAUAUUGGGUUGAAAGGGAAAAAAAGAACAAGGGGAACGGUUUGAAUGGGUCUGUGAGUGGAAAGUGAUUUGCAAUAUUGCAAAACGUGAUUUGACUAGAGGAAAGGUUUGAAUGGGUUUGUAAGAUGGAAUAUGGGUGGUAUUGGUGCUGGGUUUGUGAGAUGGAAUAUUGCUUUUGGUGCUGGUGCUGGUGCUGCGUACUGGAUGGAAUAUUGCAAAACAGUGAUUUGAGAUGGAAUAUGGGCUGGUGCUGGGUCUGUAUGACGGCUGUUGCUGCGGAAGCGAUUAGGGUUAGGGCAAGAGACAGUCAAGAUUGACUGCUCUGAUACCAUAUCAGAUUGGUCAAAAAAUAAUACUUCAUUUAUCUUAAUAUAUAACAAAUAGGAAGGUUAUAUAUACAGAGCCUAGGAAACUAUUUUAGGAAAGUAAUUAUGUUCAUAUAAUCUUGCAUAAUCAAAUAGUUGACUUAGACUAAUUAGGAAUGUACAGCUCAUUGACAUGUUCAGGCUCUACUUCAAGGGUUUGGUGAGCGAGGAAAUGGUUGGAAAUGAGAGAGUGGUGCUGGCUGGGGUUGGGGUUGCUCUAUGCGACUCCAGGGAUAAUUUGGUGUUCGAGGUUUGGAAACCCCUGAUUGGGAAUGGGAUGAGCAAGAAUGGUGCCCUGUUGAAAGCCUUGAUUGAAGGACUUAAUGCUGCUCUUGCUCUGGACUUGAAGCGCAUCACCUUUUUCUGUGAGAAUUUUCCCAUUUUUUUAGUUUGUGAGUUGCUAUCUCUUCUCUGUCUCGUUUCAGUCUAUUGAUGAAAAUUAAUUAGGCUAAUUGUGGGUUUUGCAUUUUAAUAUAACGACAUAUAUGGUUAUGGACGCUGUGGUUUACACUGACCAUGAAAGAGACUCUUGUGAAAGAGGUCUAAAGGAAUGGAACUUAUUAUUAUAUUAGUGUAUACGAUGUUGUAGGUUUUGUUAAUUAAUAUUUUUUUUCUUGGAACAAUAAUGAACUUUCAAUUUUCAGAUAUACUUCAUGAAAUUUGAUAGGGCAAAUCGUAUAUCAUCCAUUGUGGACAAAGAGAUGCAUUCACUUUGAGAAAUUUUACUUGUGUCUUCUCAACAUUUGCUAAAUUAGUUUGCUAUCUUGUAUUUAAAUUGACCAUUAGAGAAAGUCUUGUGAACAAGGUCUAAAAUAAUGGAGUUUAUUAUGACAUUUAUGUGUGCAAUGUUGUAGUACUUGUGUUGAAACCAAGAAUAUUGGAUGUACUAGUCACUGUGCUACGGUCUAUUUACACCCAUGAAUAGAGCUUGUUGAAUUUCUGACAUUAUAUUUUAUGUAUGAAGGUUAAUGGUAAAUGGCAAGCAAAGAACUACCCAAGAGCAAGGGAACUCAAAAUUGGACUUUCGAAAACUGCAUUGCAGUUUCGGAAAUUGCAUUGCAGUUUUCAUUUAAUUACAAUUGAAUUUUUGCUCUUUCCUUGGUCUUCAACCUCACCAAUUUGAAGAGUAAAGGCUACCCAAAUGAGGAAUUGGGGAAAGAGAAAAGUAGAACUACCCAAGAGCAAGAUAACUCAAAAUUGGACUUUUGGAAACUGCAUUGUGGAUUCAGAAACAACAUUGCAGUUUUAGAAACAGCAUUACAGUUUUCGUUUAAUUACAAUUUGAUUUUUGUUCUUUCAUUGGCCUUCAACUUCACCUAUUUGAAGAGUAAAAGCUACCCAAAUGAGGAAUUGAGUGGACAAGAGAAGAUUAAAACUACCCAAGAGCAAGGGAACUCAAAAUUGGACUUUUGGAAACUGCAUUGCAGAUUUGAAAACUGCAUUGCAAUUUCGGAAACUGCAUUGCAGUUUUCAUUUAAUUACAAUUUGAUUUUUAUUCUUUUCUUGGCCUUCAACCUCAUCAAUUUGAAGAGUAGAGGCUACCCAAAUGAGGAAUUGAGUGGGCAAGAGAAGAUAGAACUACCCAAGNNNNNNNNNNNNNNNNNNNNNNNNNNNNNNNNNNNNNNNNNNNNNNNNNNNNNNNNNNNNNNNNNNNNNNNNNNNNNNNNNNNNNNNNNNNNNNNNNNNNNNNNNNNNNNNNNNNNNNNNNNNNNNNNNNNNNNNNNNNNNNNNNNNNNNNNNNNNNNNNNNNNNUAUUUUUAUUGCAGUUUCUGUUUUUAUUUUCAGUUUUGUGGGAUAUGUGUUGAAAUGAUUUUUUUUUUUUUUAAACUGUUGAUUGUUGGUAUAAAUAUUGUAUAAUUGAAUAAAUAUUACAAAAUCAAGUUUGGUGUAGUGGUUUGUGAGUGAGCCUUCCUCCUUUGAGGGUCAAGGUUCAAGUCCCUUCAAUGACACAAAAUAUUUUUUUUUUAAAGGUGAAUAAAGGGCAAUGGAGUUGGUCCCCUACAGACGGUGGCAGGUGGUGGCCGGCGACGGUGGCUUGCAGCGGGAGUCCGGUGGUGGUGGCCGGCGAAGGGUGGCUGGAGGCGGGACUCCGGUGGUGGGAGUCCGGUGGUGGGAGCCCGGUGGUGGGAGCCCGGCGGUGGUGGCCAACGAAGGGUUGCCGGAGGCGGUAGUCUGACGGUGGCCGAAGGCGGGUGACGGCGGUGGUGGCCGGCGAUGGGUGGCUGGCGGUGGUGGCCGGCGAUGGGUGGCUGGCGGUGGUGGCUAUAUAUGGACAUGUGGCAUAGUAUGCUUGCCUUAGAAGGAGUGGCAUUGUGUGCAAUUUUGAUAUUUUUUAAUGAUAUGUUUGUAAAAUUGAGUACUAUAUUUGGUCUUUGGUCUUAUGCUAAUUAGAUGAAAUUGUAUUCUUAUCUUUCAAAUUAGUAAAUUAUAUUAUGUUUUGAAAACUAAAGCUCCCCCUAAAAAUAAGUAAAUUUAAACAAUUGAAGACACGUACGAGCAAUUUUUUUUAAGGGAGCUUUAGGUGAUAUAUUGCGAGUUGCAAGGCCAAGGACCAUUGAAUUACAAAAAUAAAGAUUUGACGGCGGCAACAAAAAACUUCAGUGAAGAAAAAAAACUUGGAGGAGGAGGAUUCGAGGGCAUCUACAGGGUAAAUUAUGUGCUAAAGAGCUCUAAAAUAAUUUAUGUCAGUUCAGUUUAGCACGAUCGAAUAUGGUGUACUCUUUUUUUACAUAAAUAAAGUUUUAAAAAACUGGGAAAAUUGCAUUGUCAAGCUUUUGAUUAUCCAUGCAUAAUGUUCAUUUACAAUUACAUGGUUGGUCAGGGUACUCUAAACAAUGGAAAAGUACGUAGUUGCAGUUAAAAAACUAGCAAUUCUCCAAUCUGACAGGGCAAAGGCGAAUUUCGUAAACGAGGUGAAGCUGAUAUGUAACGUUCAUCACCGGAAUCUCAUUCUUCUUGGAUGUUGUAGCAAAGGACCGUAAUUGCUUCUCAUAUAUGAAUACAUGGCAAACAACAGCCUCUACAGAUUCAUAUUUGGUAAUAAUUUUCGGCUUUUCAGCUCAGCUACCUCUAAAUGCAUGCCUCUCAACUGGAAACAACUAAAUGACAUAAUCCUGGGUACAGCGGGGUCUGGCCUAUUUACAUGAGAAGUUUCAUGAGAUGUAAAAACCAGCAAUGUUGUUUUGGAUGAUAAUUUCCAGCCACCAGAUCUGCCGGAACAUUGUAAGUUAAAGUACUUUCCCACAGGCAUAACCCCUGAUUGAGAUCUAUAUGAUCAUUACUCUUCUACAAUAUUUAUACCGAUAUUGUGUUUUGCCCUACUUAUCUUUCUAUCCGCACACAAAAAGUGUUAUGAAUCUACUACAUACAUCUUGUGUAGCUUGUCACAUUCCAGGAUCGACUCUGCCGUAUCACGAUAUUGUUCGUUUUGAGCCCCCUUCUCUGCCCUCACGGUUUUAUUUCUGAAAACUCACGAGCAACUUUUCAGUGGGUCUCCUAUCCUGGGAUUGCUCUAACCCCCAACUCGCUUAACUUCGAAAUUCCCAUGACUCCGAAGCCAGUGAACUCCCAAAAAACCUCGUACUAGAUAAAAACGAGUAUGUAUAUAUAAGACACAUUAUCCUCUCUCCGUUGAUCGAUAUGGAAUGUUACAUAGCCGAAGAGGAGUACAUCACCAUCAUGGUGAUGNNNNNNNNNNNNNNNNNNNNNNNNNNNNNNNNNNNNNNNNNNNNNNNNNNNNNNNNNNNNNNNNNNNNNNNNNNNNNNNNNNNNNNNNNNNNNNNNNNNNUCAGCACAAGUAUGCUAAAGAUCUACUGCAAAAGGGCUGGUCUGAGUAAUUGUAAGGCUUCUCCUACUCCUUGCAAGCCACAUAAUCAAGUCUUAAUGUCUGAAGGAGAACCACUGCAUGAUCCUACAUUUUAUAGAAGUAUUGUUGGUGCCUUACAAUACUUAACUUUCAUAAGACCUGACUUAUCCUAUGCUGUCAAUACUGUGUGUCAGUGUAUGACUGCUCCCACUGAGAUACAUUUCAACCUGGUCAAAAGAAUUUUGAGAUACAUUCAAGGUACCAUGAAUUAUGGAAUUCACUUUAUUCAUGGUCCUUGGAAAUUACAAGCUUAUAGUGAUGUUAACUGGGCGGGGGAUUUAAAUGCUAGGAGGUCAACUACAGGUUUUGUGGUAUUGCUUGGACAUAAUCCUAUCUCAUGGCAGUCUAAGAAGCAAGGGUCUGCAUCCAGAAAUUCUACAGAGGCCGAGUAUAGGGCUUUGGCUAGUACAGCUGCAGAUUUGGGUUGGAUUCGAAAGGUUUUGCUAGACUUGAAAGUGUGCUUGCCUCUACCUCCUACCAUCUUUUGUGAUAAUCUAUCUGCUUUGGCACUUAGUAGUAAUCCUGUGUUUCAUUCACGAAUUAAACACUUGGAUACAGAUUUUCACUUUGUUCGUGAAAGGGUUCAAAGGAAUGAUCUGAUUGUUUAGUAUGUUCCCACUCAAGAGCAAAUCGCAGAUGUAUUUACUAAAGGACUGCAUAGUCCUAUUUUCUUGAGUCACUGUACUAGUAUGCGACUUGGAAAUCCAUAGCAGGAUCCAGAGUUGGGUUUGAGGGGGAAUGAUAACAAUAUUAGUUAGUUUGUUAAGCUGUCACGUGUGCUCACGUGUUGUUAGUUAGUAGUAACUAUAAUUAGUUAAGAGUGUUAAGUCUUGGUUAUUGAGAUAUAACACUAAUGAAACUGCCGUUGUAAUUCAUUAUAUACAGAGCAUAUCAUUUCUUCUUCCUUCUUAGUCUUCUCAAUUCUUAAGCUUCCUUUUCUAAACUGUUAUCAGAUGGAACCCUAUCACACCAGAAUUGUGGCAAAUCUGGUAUAGCCGAUUCAGGUUAUUUUCACUAUAUAUCUUUCAGAAGUAUCUGUAACGGGGCAAAUCUCCAUCAAUCCUCUUCUUUUCAGUUUAUCUUUAUGCCCAUUCAUGCAUGUAUAUAUUAUACGAAGAAGUUUUUGACAUAUGGCAUGUAUUGUGUGUCAAAUGUAUACCGAUUCACGAAGACAGGUUCAAGAUCACAUACACCAUAUUCACCUUCAUUUCUUUUUGUUUAUUCUGGGUUUCUGCAAUUUGAAUCACAUUAAAAAACAAAUACUGAACAGUGAUAUAUUCAAUAUUGAUCGGCAUCACAAUUUCAUAUUUCAUAUUGCACUACGAAGGAAAAUAAAACUUACCCCACAGAGAAACAGGAUCCCCUUAUCUGAACCAGUUAUGUUACCUCCUAGUGCCUUCACAAAAAGCCUAAUGAACUCAGGAUUCAUAUGUAGCCCCAGUAAUUAUAUUACCAUCAACAACAGACGCCAACAUGGUCUCGGGUUCCACCCAAUAAGCACCUGCAGGCUGCAGCAACAAGUACAGGUCUGACAGCUGGGAAGGCCGUUAUAGUAUAGCCGCGCGGCUAUACUCUAUAACACUUUAAAGGUAUAGCCGCACUAUACUCCAUAGAAUAUCGCAAACAUAUAGCUGCGCGGCUAUACGCCAUAAGCUGAAUAUUUUAAAAGUACAGCCGCACCGCUAUACUCCAAAAAUUAUAAUAUCAUAAAAGUAUAGCCGAUCGGCUAUACGCGAUAAAUAAAAUAUUUCAAAUUGGCUAUACUCGAAAAAUAGAAAACCAAAAAACAUAUUAAAAUAAAGGGGACCAGAAAGACAUAUAUAUAGCAUUUGAAGAUUUGUAAAUUAAACACAGAUCACGAUUCAGUAAACCUAGGUAGCCCAUUAUCAGAUUAUUUUCACUUAGAGACGAAGGCACUAAUGCAAUUUUGUUUAUUUUGGGUUUACAAAUUCAAGUGAAGUAAACAUUCAAUCUUCAAUAUAAUUGAGUGUGCUUGAUUACAGAGCAUGGAAAAUACCAAUUGACGGUGCUCAAGUGAUGUAAUGAGGCUAAAGAAUAAAUUUUUAUCAUAUAAUCAUUAAAUAUGUUCACUAUGUCAUCGUUAUAUGUAAAUUUUUCAGAAAUAUAUAAACUAGCUAGGAUGUACGUGAAUUCGAAUUUGGAUACAUGAAAUAUUAUUACCUACUACAUCAUUUGACGAACAUAUUUGAUGUUCCUAACAAUUCUAUGUGUACUAGUAAAGUACUUUGUCUUUAAUUUGGAAGUAUCCGAAAGCAUAAUUAAUGUUUUUCAUAUAUUAUCUCGCAGGAGGCAAUUCAAGAAAGAAAGCCAUCAUUAUUGGAGUCGUAGUUGGAGGUGUAGGUCUUUUUAUCCUCAUUGUUGGAGUUUUUCUCUAUUUUAAACUUUCAAGAAAGCCCGAGGCUGCCACAACCACAAAAUUCGAAGUUGCACUUCCUCUUGCAUAUAUACUAUUAUUCAAUUAGCUCCUGCUCUAACUAUGUAUAUAAGAAUGUGAAGGCAAAGAGUCCCACAUUUGAAAGUUGUGAAACCUAGCAAGGGCUUAUAAGAAGUUGGGCUACUCCCCCCAUUGCCAAUUGGUUUUGGGCUUAUCAGAGCGGGUUGCCCACGUGUGAAAGCCCAAUCACGACACGUGCUCCACGUCACCCAAAAUGUGUUGUUUACGUGUUAGGCUUGAAAAUUCUCCACACGUGCAGGGACGUGUGAGAAUGUGAAAGUAAAGAGUCUCACAUUGGAAACUUGUGAAACCUUACAAAGACUUAUAAGGAGUUGGGCUACUCCCCCCAUUGCCAAUUGGUUUUUGGGUAAAUUAUAUGCUAAAGUGCUCUAAAAUAAUUUAUUAGUAUGCAUCAUACAUAGAGAUACAAAAACUAGCAAUAUUAUUUUGGAUGAUAGUUUCCAGCCCAAAAUCAAUUUUGGGCUGGCAAGGCUUCUACCAAAUGAUUAGACUCAUCUUAUUAGAACCAGAUCUGCUGGAACAUUGUAAGUUAAAUUACUUUCUCACAGGCAUAACCCUUGAUGGAGAUCUAUAUGAUCAUUACUCUUCUACAAUAUUUAUACCGGUAUUGUGUUUUGCCCUACUUACCGUUCUAUCCGCACACAAAAAGUGUUAUGAAUCUAUUACAUACAUCUUGUGUAGCCGAAGAGGACUAGUAUAUCUCCACCAUCAUGGUGAUGCUCUCUAGUGUUUCUCUCUAUGGUGAAGUGUCUCUCACUUCUGUUUUAGCCUAUCUGGGCAAUGGUGCUCACGGCACCUCCUACUAAGCCUUCUUUAAAUAACCAAAGAAUUUGGUCCAGCAGCUGCAUGCAUGAAAAAACCGUGCAAGUUGUCCUGAGCACCUUCAAAGUCCUCCACCACAAGACACAGAACAUUAAUGCACCGAAAAAGCACAACCACCAGCAUUCGCAAAGAAGCCAGCCGCUCCUCUUUCUCAUGUCCUUGGUGCAGCACAGUGGGGCACACCUGCACACACAUCUCCUGCUGUCAACCGAAGUCCCUCUUUAUGCAUAGCCCAAGUUGGCUUCUCAAAGAACCCAAGCCAAAAAGUAAUAGCAAUAAUACAAAGCCUACUCUCUCUCUCUCUCUCUCUCACGGGUACACAGACCAACAAUGUGGCCAAUAAACGAAGGAAAAUGCUGGCAACCUUAUCUCCAACCUUAUUUUUGGACAUUUUCCCUUUUCCUCAUGACAUAUGUCACAUCCCAUACACUUGAAAACAAUGACAUUAAUACAUUAAACAAACUACCUUUUGUUUUCGAAGUUUACCCUUAUUAAAUGUAUUGUCUUUCAAUUUAUCCAAAAAUUUUUACAACUCUCUUACUACAUUUAAAAAAUUAAAAAAAUUAAAAAAAUUCAGUUUAAAAAAAAAAAAACAUGUUGUUAUAAAACUAGAGGGAGAAAAUGUAGAGAGAAGUGAUAUGCUAAAGACAAAGUUUCACCAUGUUUAUUCUACCUUAAUCUUUGGUAGAACCACCUAUUUAUAGGCUUACAAGAUAGGAGAUUGAAUACCAUCAUUUACAAUAUACCUAUAGGUUACAAGCAUUAAUUACAAAUACUUAGUGCAUAGGUUACAUAAAAUCCAACGGUGGAAUAUUAAGAGGUAUGGUGGUCAUCCACCAACUCAUGCAUUUACAACACUCCCCCUUGGAUGUCCACCAUACAAUGACAUUGUUUCCUCAUUAAAAACCUUGCUUGGAAAACCCUGUGGGACAAAACCAAAGCGAAGGGAAAAAGAGUGAAACUUUCUUCUGAAUCAUUGAUAUGGUGUUGGAUGAGCUUAUAUUGCCUCGUUAAAACCUUGCUAGGAAAAACCCAGUGGGACAAAAACCUAGUCGAAGGGAAAAAGAGUACAACGCGCAUAUGCCUUGAAUGUAGUAGAAUUGGGAUGCUCCCCCUCAUUGAUAUCUCCCCCUGAUUAAUAUCUCUCCUUCUCUGAUUUGAGCAAUACAAGCAACAUUGUCUUCAUACAUGAUCGUCUAUCACACUAUUCAACCUGCUUUUCACUUUUCAAAUGAUUGAAAUCUUUAGGAGUAUCAACAACUAAUUUAGUAGUUAGAAUAUGUUACAACAAUAUCAAAUUUGAAUUCAAAAUACUCAAACUCUUAGUGUUAACUCUUAAUUAAGAAUAUUGUGGUACUUUAUAUCCUUCAAGAGGUUGCUUCAUCUGAUAUAUCUCAAAUAUUUCAUGAGCUUUGAGGAUUUCCAUGUACCAUAUAGUCUUAAUAAAUAUGCAUUUAACACAUACUAUAAGUUUUGCGUUAAAGUAACAACCGCACUUAUAGAAAUGUGGAUGCAUUUACGAUGAGAUUGGAGACUAAAACCACAUGUACCUCUCCCAGGAAACCUUAUGUCAUAUUAGUGAUCUUAUUUCACUUCACAAACACCAAUUCGUAACCUUCAUACUGAACAUUUGUAAUUUGGUGUUUGAGUUAUAGGUUCAAUAUCCAACUCUUCUUAUUUAGUGAUAAAUGGAAUUGCCUAUUUCCAUUUUUGGCCAAUCACUUAACUUGUCGACAUUCAUGAAACGUGAUUUAAUAUAAUCAUAGCCCUUGAUGAUUGUAGUAGUUACUAAUAAACCAAAUGUAUCAUCAAUUUGUGAUCCCACAAUUCUCAUGUGCAUGCGCAUGCAUAAUUUAUAAGCAUCUCAUUACUUUAGGGUACCAAUGCCUCUUCAAGGGCUUAUGUUGUCACUUAUGGGACAAACAUCUCUUUUACAAUAAAUUAUUUAGAAUAUGUGGAUCAUAACCUCCUAUAGAGCGUUAUUUUUUAUAGAGCUUGAAUUUUUCAAAUAAUCUCCAUUUCUAGGGAGUUAAGUUUUUAGAACCUAUAUUUUUGUCAUGCUUCAGGCAUGCAUUAUAUAUAUAGUCACCAUGUUAAUGGAUUGUGAUACGAGAAUAUCAAUCCAUGUUAGCAUAUGUACAACUUAUAUAUGCAUUUUCUUGAUGAGACAAAAGUGGAUUGAUUCAACACUAUUUCACGAUGUUCUUCAGGAACUGUCAUUUCUCCCCCUAACGGCGGGAAAAUUAUCUCAAAAUUUAGGAAAAUAAACUCACCAUCAUUAUCAAUUCAAAUUGACUGGAUUGGAUAAUGUGGGAGUUGUGCUCGUCAGCGUCUUGACAAGAGAUAAAUAUGUAACCACUUUAGUAGGCAUAUUCAACAAAACUGGUGAAGUGAUCCAUAAUUAAAUGUUGUAUAGGCUCACAAAUAUCCCAUUGAAUUAUGGCUCAAAGUCAAUUUUUGACUGAGAUGAUCUUAUGACAACUUUUAUUUGUGAGCGUUCUUUGUAAUGAUAUUGUUGGACAAGACAAUAAUUUGAGUCUUUAAACGAUGUCCUUACAAAUUUAUAAAAAUCUUAUGCAUCAUUGUGGGACAUGGAUUGCCAAGAUAGUCAUGUCACAACAUAAAAGUUAUUCGGUCAAUGAACUUCUAGUUCAUGACAUCAUAAUCUUCAACUAUAAUAGUUGUGUAAUAUUGGGGGCCUCAAGAACUUUUGGUUCAUAACAUCAUAAACUUCCUACCCACAAAAGAAAGUAGGAAGUUUCUCCAAUAGACGCCUCUGGCUAUCAAUAUUGGGGCGGUAAUACAAAACAUUACCAUUGUAAAACGAAAUUAAUUAAUAACCUAACAUAAAUAAAAUAAAAUAUAAUAAAAUAAGUAAAGUGGUAUAAACAAGGAAUAAAAUAAAUCAAUUAAAGAUUAUGAAAUUCCAAGAUAAUCCAGUAUUAAUGUGGAUUCAAUAUGUAGAUAAAACUACAAGUUUAAGAAUUGGAUUUCCAACCAAUUCAGGUUCAUAUAGGCACAAAUAAGUAAUGAACUUUAGGUUCAUAUCAAUCUAUAUUCGAAACUUCGGGUUCGAAUAUGUAGAUCUAAAUAAAUUGAAUUAAUAGUUGUGCUUUGAACUUCAUACUCAAAUCGAUGUAUAUGCACUCGAAACUUCUGGUUCGAGUUCUUGACACAUGUAGGCCUCAUGGAAUUCUGAUUUUGAUUAAUACAAAAUCGAGGAGUUUCAUGUCCUUAUGUGCUCUUUAAAUUCGCGGAACUUCACGCCCUCAAUUAUUUGGAAUCAAAGAACUUCAGGUUCUGAUUCAAUCAAAAGGACUCUAUAUCCUAAUCUAGUUAUAUGAUGAGGAUCACGGAACUUCGGGCCCCUGAUCUUUUGUAUAAUUCAAACUCAUCAUAAUAAUUAAGAUCAUACUUAAAAUUAAAUAAACAAACAAAUAAAAACAAAAACAUGGCAUUAUAUUCAUGUGUAAUAAGAAUAAGAAUUUUUUUUCUUAAACAAGCAUGAUGAAGUCUGAUGGUGAGUACAAAGAAACUCUAUACCAUGUGAUGACUCUAGCUCAUAUAAGAAGAAAGAAAAUUCAGAGAAAGAAAACAUACCAAGAGCAAUGUCGUGCUGAUAACAUGUUAUAAAACUAGAGGGAGAAAAUGUAGAGAGAAGUGAUAUGCUAAAGACAAAGUUUCACCAUGUUUAUUCUACCUUAAUCUUUGGUAGAACCACCUAUUUAUAGGCUUACAAGAUAGGAGAUUGAAUACCAUCAUUUACAAUAUACCUAUAGGUUACAAGCAUUAAUUACAAAUACUUAGUGCAUAGGUUACAUAAAAUCCAACGGUGGAAUAUUAAGAGGUAUGGUGGUCAUCCACCAACUCAUGUAUUUACAACACAUGUCUAUUUUUUUAGAUUGGAAAACGUUUUUUUUAACACAAGAAUGACCUCAAAAAAAAAAAAAAAUCAACGAAAGAAAGAUUGUUUUUUUUAUACGGACAAAAGACAUCCUUCUAAAGAAGUCUGUAGUCAAAGGAAGUUCAUUGAUUGGAUUUUCAAACCAUUAAUUCGGUAAGUUUGAUUAUUGAUUUUUUUUUUCAAGACCAUUAAUUAGUUAAGUCUUAUUUGUUGGAGUCUUUCAGAAAAGAAAAAAACAAACAAACGUUUUUUCUUAUUUAAUUUUUUAAGUCUUAUUUGAAUGUCUCCUUAUUCCCUUUGGAGUCUUAAAAAAAAGACUUUUUCUCAAUUAAUUUUUGAACAAGGCGAUAAGAAAAUUGUAAAAAAUUUAGAUAAGAAAUUUAAAGAAAUAUUAAAAUCAAUACGUUUAAUAAGGGCUGAUUUGAAAAACAAAUGUUAGCUUGUUUGAUGCAUUAAUUGCAUUGUUUUGAGUUUUUAAAAAGUGACACAUAUCAUGAGAAAGAGAGAGAAUGUCCAAAAGAGAAGGUUAGAGAAAAAGUAGCUAUCAAAGCUUUUUCACAAAGUUAGACACACACGCCCACCAAGUUGGAUUCCAAUUGCUUUAGGUGUAGAUCACUCUAGUGCUGGAACCCACUCCAUGUGUGUCUCCAGCCUUUUAACAAAGAUGGCACGUGCCGUCAUUUCCCCAUUUGAAAACCCACGGUAUGACAAAUGAAGAAAGCUAGCAAACAAACAAGGAUAAAGUAGCCUUUACACAAUUAACAAUACAAUUUGGGCCAAUUUUCAACAGUGAAGGCAUCUUAUUGCAUUCUCCGGAGCCUUUCUUUUUCGAAAUAAGGAUAGAUUUUAAUUUAAACGCUAGAUCUGAAAGCAGAUUCAAUGAUUUCCAUAAAAAUCAUAAUCAACAUUACGUAGUUACAAACAUACAAGAUCCAUCCACAAUUGGUACAUAUAGAGCAGAAUCCGAGCAUCAUUGUUCCCUCACAGAUACACACAACACCUUCACAUAUGCUCUUAUUCUUUUAUUGAAUUACACGGAGUUUCUGGCUAUGCUUCUUUUUCUUUUAUUCUCUUAUUCGUUUAUGGAAUUCCAUAUAUUCCUUGGAAGCAGCAGACCCGGUAAAGGGUGCCUAGAAUGAUACUCGAAUAUCAAGCAAUCUCAUCAACUGAGAAAUAAGCUCUGGUUGGCCAUGCCACGCUGCUGCGGUAACCAGAUUUCCAUCAGUGACACAACGAUCUAUUGGAUCCGCUUCCACAAACGUCCCUCCUGACGAAACCACACGAGCCUUAAUCCCUGGGUAUCCAGUACAUUUCUUCCCCUGAAAUAUAGCCAAUUGAACCAAUUAUAUGACAUGCUAAAAAGUGCCUAAUCAGUUAAUAAGUACAUUAACCACUAAUCAAAAGAAACAGAAAAAAUAUCAUCUCCUUUGCGAUUUUAAAGAGUACUCACCUCCCUCUUCCCCAUAGUUAUUUACAAUUGAGAGGUUAAUAGGUCACAACAGAUCAGCUCAACAGAACCAAAAUACAAAGCACUACCACUAACUAUGUUUUUUUCUUUAAGAACCAUACCUGCAGAACACCAGCAGCAACUAAAAUUUCCAGGCCAUGGCAGAUGGAUGCAACUGGUUUCCCGGCUUCCAUAAAUUGUUUCACUAGUACAAUAACAUCCUCCUUUAGUGCCAAAAACUCUGGAGCUUUACCUCCAGGGAGUACAAGAGCGUCAUAACUUGAGGCAUCUAUGGAUUCAAAGUCAGCUGUUAAAACAAAAUUAUGUCCCCGGAUCUCACUGUAGGUUUGGCCCCCUUCAAGAUCACGGAUAGCAGUUGGGCAGGUAUCACCGGCUUUCUUCUUGGGGCAAACCACAUCAACAUGGCAUCCUAGAACUUUGAGGGUCUGAUAAGGCACAGUUACCUCAUAAUCUUCCGCGUAGUUCUACAAAUAUUGGGGAGGGGAGCAAUUAAAUGAUGAUGAUUAGUAACUAACAGUUUAAUCAUUGGCUAUAUUUUGUCCCAUAUUUGUCAUUGCAAUAUAAAAGAAACAGAAAAGAAAGCUUACUCCAAUGAUGAUGAGGACCCUUCUCUCUGAAGCACAUAUUUUGCCUCCCAGUGCCUGAGAAAAAGCCUAAUGAACUCAGGAUUGCCAUAAUAUGUGACCCCAGUAAUUAAAUUAUCAUCAGCAACACACACUGACAAUGUAUCGGGUUCUACCCAGUGAGCACCAGCAGCAACCAAUCCAGGUUUCAUAGUUGAAACCGCGGUGCAUUUGCGACCUUUAACAGCGCCUGCAGGUGCUAAGACCAACAGCCCAUGGCAAAUAGCAGCAAUUGGCUUUCUGCAGUCAGAAAAUUUUCUCGCCAAUUCUACAACGGAUGCCUUCAUAGCAAGAUGUUCAGGAGAUC
rnacentral:lncRNA from 1 species